rnacentral:lncRNA from 1 species
UUUUGAUGGCGUCUUCACUCAAGUAAGAGGAGAACUUGCUGGCAAUGAAGUCAUGAAAAAUGAAAUAGUUCCUGCAGUCCCUUUUAGGAGGGUAUCCUUCUUCUUCUUCUUCGUUGAUAUAGAUGGAACUUGACAGCAGCAACUUAUUCCGCAUGUUGACUUGAACCAUCCAGAAAGGGUCACGGAACUUGUCCUCGAGGCGGAAGCAAAUGACAUCUGGAUCAACCAAGCUCACCACAGGAAAACUUGGCAUCACUCGUGGGAGGCGACUCUUGGCAGUGUCGUUGUAAAGAUUGAAGAACUCGCUGGCUCCCAUGGUCAAGUUGACAUCCUUCUCCCAUCUACCUUGGUGGAUAUCAACCAAAGUCCAUGUUUCUAUGGUGAAGGGAUAAGGAGAAGGGUGCUCUUUGGUAAUAAUGCAGACGAGCUUAAUGAUGCCACCAUCACAGACACUGAGACGCCGAAAGGAAUCAGGUUCACCGUCCUUGUACACACGGCCAGUCUUCAAAGCCUUAGAUGGGAGUGGUAUAUAACGGAGCCUGCUGUUGUUGUUGCUGCCAGCGAGGACAUCAAUGAGCAGCAUACCAUGGUAGUAGUCAACCCAGCACAAGCACCUCUCGCCAAUAGUGACGACGGCAUCAGUCUUAAACGAGUAGAGGCUGAUCUUCAUAUCGGCAGGGAUCUGCAGCUUCUCAACACUCCAUUUCAUUUCAGCAUCAGAGGCAGAAGGGGGAUGGUGCAGCAAGCAGAGUUGGACCUCCUGGUUGAAACGGUAGGUGAGAUCCGCCACCGUGAAUUCACCCUUGUCUCCAUGGCAGAGGAUGCCCAUAUCUUCUUCAAUCAUGGUCCGCUGUUGCUGGCGCCGGUGCGGUUGUAACCACUUAUCCAACUCGGGGUCGGUGCGUCCACCGCCGAAGCAAAGGGGAACCCGGGUGAAGCAAGGGGGAAGCCGAGUAAGGGACGGCGGCGACGAGGAGGACGAGUAGACAAAGUAAUCAUCAGGAAAGUAGAUCAUUCGGCUCCAGAAACAGGGAUCGUCGAAGGGGACAGACACCCGGAAUAGAAUGGAGUUGUGGUGGGCGGCGAUGACGACAGGCUCCUUCAUGCAGUCAAUGGCUGGAAUGCUGGUCCAGUGGACGUAGAGACGGGACACCGCGGGGGGGUCCGCGAUCCGGAGGGAGGCACGGAUCGGCCGGCCGACGCACUCGUGGGCGAGCGCCGAGGUCGUAGCGUCCCCGCACCGCUUCCGGCUGCGGUGGACGAUGCGGUCGAGGAUCAGCCAGCUAUGGUCUCCGGUCACCGGCGCCGAAGGAUCAGUCCACCAUGGAGCGGGCGGCGGCGGAGGCGACUUGCUCAGCUCCAGACCAGAAUCCCUCUCCGACGAGACACCUUUACCGCUCAGCUCCAGACAGGAAUCCCUCAUCGGAGAGACACCUUUGCCGUUGGGCGUGGGCUUAGCCCUGCGGCUUCGAGGACCUCCUUCCAUGAUGUCGGUGGAAUUGAGGAACGGGCAAACGCCGGUGGCAAAAGGGGGCCGUGCAGUCGACGCGGUGACCGGGACAGCACAGCAGAGUGGGGUCUGUAAAUGCGAUGGAAAGGUGCCCGCCGCCGCCGGAGAGAGAGAGGGGAAAGGUGCCCGCCGCCGCCGGAGAGAGAGAGGGGAAAGGUGUCCGCCGCCGCCGGAGGGAGAGGGGAAAGUGUAAGCGAGGACAAACGCUGAAGCCACUGGCCAAGGAUACGGGCGCGCAUCCCAUGCGAAAUGUUUGGCCUCUGGAGUUAUGCAGUGCCCACCGCACCCCGCUCGAGUAUUCUGCACACGGCAAAAUUUCUCUGGUGUGCUCUAUGUACUAUUCCUUUGCCCUCUGGAGUUAUGCAGUGCCCACCCCACCCCGCUCGAGUAUUCUGCACACGGCAAAAUUUCUCUGGUGUGCUCUAUGUACUAUUCCAGGCUGAGGCUGGUGGUUCCCCUACCUUAUUAGCUAGAGGAUUUGGAAGUGGACAGCCUGGAUCAGAGCAAUUUGAGAUGACAGUUCCUGAUAACAAUUUUUUUUUUUCUCUCGGUGCUAACGAUGUUGUUUUAGUGUACCAUUUUAUAUGUUCAACCAUUACCUGUAUUUCAUAGGUCGGUCUCAUUAUCGGAAAAGGUGGUGAGACAAUUAAAGGCAUGCAGACCAAAUCUGGUGCUCGUAUUCAGGUGGAUAUGUCGCUUGUCAUGGUGGCUUGCCAUCAUAAAACUUUUACAACUUGUAUACAUUGAGAGGUCUAAGGAGAUUUAACUUAGUUUUUUUUUGUAGUUAAUACCCCAACAUCCUCCAGAGGGUGUUACAUUGACUGAAAGAAUUGUACGUGUUACUGGGAAUAAGAAGCAGAUUGAAGCUGCAAAGGAUUUGAUCAAGCAAGCUAUGAAUCAGGUGAUGUGAUCUUCCUUUGUGAUUUUUUGGUAGUCGAUUUGUGUUUCCAUUGUUAAGUCAUGGUAGAUGCUGGUAUGAUACUAUAUGCUUUUAAUUGUUCAUGCUUUAUGUGAUUUUACUCUGAUGGUUGCUGAUGAUGUCAUCACAUUUCAUGAUUCAUUGUUCAUGAUAUGGUUACUUUAGUGAUCGUAGAUACCGAAUUCAAUGUUGUCUUCAUGGUAUUUUUUGACCAAGGCAAAUUCAACCUAUUGAGAACAUUGCCUUAUUACAAUGCUAUAAUGGACCAAUUGAUUUUUUAGCUUUGGGUUUCAUAAUAUGCCUGUUUUUAUCAUUGCAUACAUUUUUUACAAUUUUCCUGAUCAAGCCAAACUUGAGAAUCCAUGAUAAGCUUUGUAGCUUGCAUAUAUUUGGGUUCCAUAAUAUGCCUAUUUUAUCAUUGCACGCAAUUCAUAGUUUCAUACUGUCUUUCUGUUCAAACUAAGCUUGAGAAUUCCCUGAUGAGCUUUGUAGCUUAUAUAGGUGUCCCAAUUGUACUGAUAUUUUUGUUAUGAACAAAAAAUGAUUUGAUUUUGUACUUCAUUCAUACUGUGAAUAUAUUACUAUUUCUCUUGUAUGGGACCCUUGAAUUUUAAGUGUUGUUUUAAACUAAUCAAUCUUCUCUACACUUGGCCUUGUAUGAAGUAUCCAUGAUAUAUAGCAGAGCCUAAUUGGGCUGGAAGGUAAGUUUCUUUUAAUGUUUGAGUUCUCAUCUUUAGAUGAAAGACAAAUGGGACACCAUUGGCGUUUUCAAGAUUAUAAGGAUGUAAAACUUUUAAAUCGGAUUUAUUACCUCAAUGAAUAUUUCACUUUCUUUCCCUUGUCAAAAUGUCUUAUCCUGGGUGUUAAGCACUGCGAACUUUGGCUUAUUUUGCCUUCUUGUUUUUACUGGAUCAUACACGCUUCCAUUCUGUACCUGUUCGUUGGAGCAUAGUUCUUGAUUUAUGCAUUAAUGACAUAUGAUAUAUGAAUGGAAGAGUAAAAAAAUGAGUGCAUGGUCAUACGAUUCAGAAAUGAACUUUUGAGCUGUAAUACAUAGCAUAUGAUUCGUCUGGAAAUCUGGGUACUGAUUGAAUUCUUGAUCCCAUUAGCUUGACUAUUCUUCGUAGGAUAUACACUAUGAGUAGGACUUCUCAUCUAUCAGCCUUAACAGUAAACAUGGGCAUGCUUAAGCCAAUUGGAUCAAUGUCCAUGACUAUAGCUUUGCAAGUGUUGUAUACCAGCGGAUCAUCCAGUUGCUAGAUGAGAUAUGAUUCUGUUUCCUCCUGGUCAGGCUGGUUAUGCCUCCUCUGCGCCAGCGGCCAGCCAGAGCCUGCCUAUGGCCAGGCAGGAUACACCCAGCCACCUACAAAUCCUCCAAGUUAUGAUCAGUCUGCAGCACCAGCGGCGACUCAGAGCGGUUAUGCUGCGCCCCCUGCAAAUCCACAAUAGCCUGCUGCAGCAAAAGGGGUCUCGCCACAGCCUGCUGCUGCUGCUGCUGGAUAUGGUGCUAGCGGGCAGUGGACGGCAUGAGCUUUGUCUUCCCAACUUCGAUGACAGCAAGGUCAGGUUGGAUAUCCGCUUUUGGCGCGUGUUCGAAUGUUUGCAUCUUUUGGACGGUAUGUAUGAGCCUCGUCUUCCGAACUUCGAUGACAGCAAGGUCAGGUUGGAUAUCUGCUUUUGGUGUUUGCAUCUUUUGGAUGUCUGUGGACGCAUCAUGCAUGUAGGGCUUUACCCCGUUAUCGAAAGAGAUUGUAACCCCUUGAGUUGUGAUACUUGACAUCUACGAGUAGUUGCUUAAUGUACUUUUAAACAUUCUAUUCAGUUUGGAUGUUCCUUGUCUUGCUACUUCACAGCUUGCCAAGUCAGUAAUCUUAGGAUUCAUGUUUGGCUUGCUCUUUGGUCUUUGCUGUCGUUCCUGUAAAUAAAUAUUGGCGUUUAAUUUGGCCUUCUCUUACGUCGUUUAUGGGAUGAUGGGGUGCCGUUUCGAGUUGGCAAUAAUAGAUCUGUUGUUCAUCCAAACUCAGUUGGUUUUGUUUUGUAUUUGUUCCGAAUCAUGUUGGUACAGUUAGCAUGUGAAUGGACAAGCCAUUAGCCACGGUCUAUUUUUUUUGUUUGUUUGUUUGAAAAUGCCAUGUUUUUUGGUUUGCUUGAAAAUUGAAAUGAAAGCUAAAAGUUUUACCAUCUCUAUUUUAUACCACUUUCGUUCUCAAAUAUUUAUCGCUUCAUUUUUUAACUAAAUCGCGACAAAUAAAAUAAAAAAGAUGACAGAGUAUAUAAGGCUGGCUCUAGCAUAGACCACUAAACAGUCACGUCCGCUGAAUUUAGCGGACGGCAACGUACGUCCAACAAGGUACUCUAUACGAUACGCUAUAAUUUAGUGGUGGUGUCGAACACGGUAAAUGUGGCAGACUUCUAUCGUCUGCUAUCACCACCGUCGAGGCUGAUCAUUCGCUCCCGCGCGCGGCUCGGAACCUUCAACGCAUUGUCGGUUUUCCGUCCUCACUGUUCAACUCGGCAAGCUCUGGUGGUCCUGCUCCCCGUCGCAGAGGGUGCUGGUGCGAGAGGGACGGGAGCUGGUGGCAGAGCUCGGUACUCCUACACGCAGGGAUGGGUGACGAGCACAUGCGGCAUCAUCACUGUCAAGAUCAACAUCCCCACUGGAUAUUUGUUUUUAUUAUUAUUAUAUGUUCGUAGUGAAAAAUGUUAAUUACUUUUUUGAAUUAGGUACGUGAGCUCGAAUUCAAAUUACAUGAAAAAUAGAGAAUAAAUAUUGUAGGUAAUAGAUUCUAUUAACACUGUAGAUAUAGAGGAUCGAUUUUAGAGGACGUUGUUGGAGAUGAAGAAAAUAUAGAGGACGAAUUUUUUAGAGGAUGCUGUAAAUGAUAAAGAAUAUUACUUUAAAGGACGAAAUUUAGGAGACGUUGCUGGAGACAGCCUAAUACUAGAGCAAAAGGCGCCCUUACGGCCCCCCUAUCUGGUAUCAUACUAUUUAGAAAAUAAGAUAUCACAACCAAAAGUCUCCUAUCAAGCCUACACUGAUAGCAAUGCAAAGCACUCGCUCUGCCAUCAUUUUCUACUGGAUAUUUCUCGCUCACGUCAGCGCUUCGAUUUUCUCAAUGCACCUCAGGUGCAUCCACACCACGGGCAUUUUGCUCCACUUUGAUCACCUACAGUUACAAAGAGCAAAAAGAAACAAAAUUCAGUGGUCUAAGAUAUAAACUACAGACUGCAAGUUCAUAACCUGCUAUGCAUCAUACAAAAAGAUAUUACCUCCGUUCUUAAAUAUUUAUCAUCCGCUAGUUCAUUUUUGAACUAAACCGUGAUAAAUAAAAAAAGAACAAAAGAAAUAUAUUGUUGCACAUAUUAAAAACAUAGUAGCAUUCAAACCAUACAAGUUCAUCAUGAAUAAACAGAACAAACUGCAUCAGAGCACUACCAACCAGACACGGUCUAUCUCAGAUUCUAGCGUUCCAUGCCAAAAUACCUUCAUCCGAUAGCUGUUUUCAAAAACUUUCAGUUGCUCUAGAUCCUCUUCCAUUUGUAAUGGUUGGACUAUUGGUGGAAGUUCUAGAUAGAUCUUCAAAAAUCUUGAAUGAAAGCCCUGUGUGAGAGAGAGCAGUUAGUCAAUUAAUUAGCCAAAUGAAAGUCGGUUAAUCAAAGGACCAUGUAUCAAAUAUAAAUAAAUAAGCAUAAGCUUGAUAAGGUAUGCGAUUCCAAGAUGAAGAAGAUAUGGAUUUUUUGGAUUGACGUUCCCUGAUCUGAAAUGGUCAGGGCCAGAAGAUUUUCAUGUGAAAAAAUACAGUCAAUAUAAGAGUUAAAUAGCUAUUUGUGCCUCACUUAUUGAAUGGAAUCAGCCCUCUUAAAAAAUAUCACGUAGCCCAGAUUAUCCACAACACACUUCACUCUAUUCGUAUCGAAUGCAUCUUCUAGUUUCAGUGAAGUAACAGCUGUGCUGAAAACUGCAGUACUGAAUAUAAUACCAGAGUUCAUUUCUUGAAUGCGAAUAACUAUGAAAAUCGAAUAACUAUGAAAAUAUUAAUUAUUUACAUCUAAAACAUUGGUUUUGUAUGUGUAAGCAGUCAUUAACAUUCAUGAUAGAUCAAGAAAAAACAUACAGACUCAGCCUACCAGCCAGCUCCAAUGGAAAUAUCAACAGGUUCAUAGCCUCUGCAGUCAAACACCAUCAAACAAGUCUUCGUUUCUUUCUAGCUCUGCUCAAUAGUACUACCUCCAUUUUUAUUUAUUUGACGCUACUUAAUUCAAUUUUGUACUAACCGGCAACAAAUAAAAACAAGCGGAGGGAGUAAGUGGCAUCCACUGACCAUGAAUCAUCACAAUUGUUCCAUCUCUCCCACAAAGCUUGCACUGAGAGAAGACGACAGCUUACAUGGUUCAACAAAAUAUACAGUCGACACGCUAAAGAACCGAUAAUGCAAAAACCAUCACCCUGCCAAUGAUCACAAUACAAGAAAUCAUAUUAACAAAAAAGCAAUCCCAUUGCUUGUGAAUCAUAAAGCAUAUAUUUUCCUAGGUAACCUAGUUUGCAAAAUAGCAUGACCCUUGAGAAGGAACAAAUGAACAAUCCUCUGUUGUUGUCCUUUUACAAAAAUAUGCCUCCUGUCCACCCAAUUUUAAUCAUGAAUCAGUACCCCUCACAGAAUCCAACCCAACCUACUAAGCAAAUAACAUAAAAGAAGGAAAUUCAGAAGACUAAAGGAAUCUCAAUUAACCACGUCAUGAGUCAUCUCAUUUGCUGUCCUCAUAUCAUGUAGUACCAAAAUACGAAAAUGAAUGCAUUUUAAAAAUUGAAGAAGGCAUAGUAGGAGCAGCUAACAUCAGUGUCGAAAAAUCAAGUGACAUCAGUAAAAUCAAUUGCAUUCCUCAACUGAAUGUAGAUAAAGACACAUAGACCAAAUUAUUGGUGUUCAGAGAAAUCUAACAGAAAGCAAAUGCUCUCAAACAUCUAAAAGUCAAUAAAACAUAAUAUCAGUGGUCACUGCACAGUAUUAUGCACAUACAGGAAGCGAGAUCUUACAUCUACCACCGUCUUAUCAAUUUCACAUAUGCCAAUCUGCUCCACAGAGAUAUGUCGUGAAACCUAACACAGAACACCACCGUUCCCCUCCAAUAACCAACACAUGUGUAUCAUGAAACAAUUGAACGUUACAUCCAAUAAAUUUUAGAUAAUAUACAUAUUCAUCUGUGUACAUAUUCAUCAUUUUGAAAACUACAAAUACCAAAAAAUUCACCUAAUUAAUGAACCUGGCAGUACGACUGCAUCCUAACAAUUUUUUACUGCAGACUUCUCCAGGCAUUACAAGUUCAAACAAAUUACAAGACAAAAUUAUAUGAAGUAACCAAUGACAUAUUCUUAAAGAUGGUUUAAUUGAUGCAAAUAGCAUCAGAGCACACCUUUUAGUGCUAAAUGUACCAAAACAUGUAUGAUAAUAUCGUUAGCUAUGAUGCUAGCACGCAUUUCAUUUUUUGUCAACAAUAAUAUUGUAAGCGGCCAAUUGCAGUUUCGAUUCGAAUUUUUGGCAUCAAAAUAAAUAAAGCGUGCAUUCUACUUUUUUUUUGUUACCAACGCCAUCGCACCAGGCUUACCACCGGGAAAAAAAAUCUAUACAUACCGCAUGUGAACACCACCUUUUACAGCCCCUCACAUGCACCACUUAAAGGCCCACAAAGACAGAUCAAAAUUUACAAAAUAAUCUUUUAGUAAUUUAUUUUUUUCUUCUAUUUAUAUAUACCAGCAGCUGGUGUAUGUGAGGGGCUGUAAAAGAGAUUCUUUACAUCCCAGAUGUAAAGAAUUUUUUUUCCUACCAAUAGGCAAAACCCACAUUAGUAGUGAACUGGAACAACAAAGAGCAGUCCAUCAAAGAAGAGAGAUGGAAGGGACAUCAUACCUUCAAGCUUCCACGAAGGCAUCGUAGCAGCGAGACGGGACGCGAGGUCAGCGACGACAUGGGGGUUAGGUCGUUGCGGCUGCGUCGCGCGUGGCCACGUAGGUGAGGAGGGAGUCAUACCGCGGGCGGGAUCCGCAGCGGCAUGGUGAGGAUGGCGGCUAGGAGAAUGUACGCCGCGCAGACGAGAGAAUGUCAGUGUCAGGGCCGUUCCUGACUUUUCAAGGCCUUGAACGAAAUCCGAUAUGGAGGGUCCAUCCACACACAAAUAUAUAUAAUUAUACAUACAGUAUCGAAUAUUUAACAUAUAAAAAUUAUUAUGCUCUGUUUUGAUGCUUAUAAGAUAACAAAUGUAAAAUAUAGCUAAAAGCACUUACUUCUUAUUUGAUAUCAUUAAAAAUAUCUUCUAACAUUUUGUGAUACAAAGUCAUCGCUUAUAUCAUUGAGAUCAAUUUCAUCCAACAACUUUUUUUCGAUAUAUAGAAUCGUCAAGCCGUUUAACCUCUCUUAAGUUAUUGUUGACCAUAAAUAGUUCACAAAAAUAUUUCAAUUUUAAAAAGCUUCUCUCUGCCGAUGCAACCAUCAUGUGUAUAGUAAAUAAUACUCUCUCUAUAUCAAAAUAAAAUUUGUUUUGCUUCUUUAGUGGAUUCAUCAUCAUCUAGUUGAAUAUAAACAUAAAAAAUCAAGAGCUAAAACAAAUACUAUUUUUUAUCGGAUGGAGUAUUCGAUAAGCAAUUGAGACAUUAGUUUAACAAUCUAAAUGAGACUAGUUGAUAGCGCAUCGCUCUUUGCGUAUUUGUGUCUAGAAUAGAUAGGUUUAACAGGAAAAAAGUGUUAGCGUCUAGUGGCUAGGGGACCCUCUGAUUUUGGGGGCCUGGUGCGGCCGCACCCUUGGCACCCCCACAGGUACGGCCCUGGUCAGACAUACUGCCAUGGUCACCACAUAGGUUGGCAAGUGGGGAGGCAACUGGAGGUCAAUACAAGGCGAUGAAGCUGUUAGCAAGCAAUCAUAAGUGGAAAGGGAUGAACAAGACAACAGAAACAGACGCGGCAGAAGAGAAGGCUUAAGCGCAGUCGAGGAGAUCAAAGUGCGCCAGCCCCUGGCCAAAUAUAAAUGUGGUUGGGCCACGUUGGGCCAUGUAAUAUGGGCCUCAAUACUGAUACACUUGUGUGACCGCGUCCAUAUAUAAAUGGCGUGUAUCUGUACAGGAGAGGGUAUCGAAGAACAAAAAUAACAAUUCUAUUAUCGCCUUCCCUGCUAUCUUCUUCUUCCCCAUGUCAUAUCUUCCCGUUCUCCACACCUCUAGCGACUGUUAGUUCGUGCCCUAGCCGACAGAGUUGCUAACAGAGAAGAGGGGUGAGGUCUGUCAAGAAUGCCGCCAUGUCAAGUCGGAUUCCGCGCCGCCAUGGAGACAAACGGGGAGGGGUCACGGAAACUGCGGUGGCGCGAGGAGUAGCAUGCUUCGGGGCGACGACACGAGAAGGAGAGAGGAGUAUGUUAGGACACCCGAAGGAGAGACUACUAGGGAAUGGCAGGUGACACAGACGCCUCAGCUGAGAGAUCGAGAACCUCGAAGAAGAGAGGAGUAGGAGAAACAACAGUACCAUGCGUGCCGAUCCGAGCAGGGAGAGGGGCAGCGCGGAGAGGAAGAUGGCGGGAUGGGGCCGACGUUUGCUGCGGUGGUGCGGGGAGGAAUAGUAUGCGGAAGGGGGCGGUAGAACUUCUCAAAGGAUGCAAAUGCACUAGAACUUCUCAAUCACUCACUAGAAUGCGAUCUCAAGCAACAAGUAUGAGAGUUUGAGUUAGAGGAUCACAAAUGAGCUCAAUGUAUGCUAGGAGUGGUCAAGAGAGCCCUCACACACAAGCUCCAUUUCUAUUUAUAGCCCACAACUCAAACCUAGUCAUUAUGUGCAAAUAGCACAACUUCUGCGCACACAUGGACGGUCCACGCCCCAUGGCCGGACGGUCCAUCGUACCAGUAACGGCUAUAAAGACCGUUGAAACCUGUCAGUGCUGUCAGAAAAAGUCAAGCCUGGACGAUCCACCCUCCUGGGCCGGACGGUCCGGGACCUGUCAACAUGGAAUAUCAUAGCACUCGUCAGUUAAAACAAUCCGAGCGGAGUGUCCGCCAUUUUAUGGCCGGACGGUCUGCACAUGGACCACUUACCGUCCGGCUAAAAACCCCGGACAGUCCAUAGUGCAAGGACUCAAAAACACACUUUCCCUGCCCAAACUCAAUUCAGUUUAUGCGGACGGUCCAGCCUCCUGGCUUGGAUGGUAGCGAAGGGAGACAGAGACAAGGCGCCAGCAGACUUCUCUGACAGAGUCGCGGACGAGCUGGCCUCCUGGCUCGGACGUUCUACCAACCACAGAGUUGAUAUUUUUGCGCUUUUUCAAAAGAUUUUGUAUUUUAAAAAACGAAGCGUUGUUAGCCCUCAUGUAAAUGCAACCGUUUAUAUUAUACGAGGCACUAAGUUUUACACCGAUCAAGUUCAUUGACCCCUCUUAAUAGUACGACCGUCUACCCUAUUAAUCCGGUCAAUUUCUUCUCUAAACACCUGCUGACCGGCAAAAAACAAAACCUAUAUUUUUCCUUUGUCUUCUUCACUUGAUCGAUUAGUUUCAUCCAAUUUUCACACUAUUAAACGAUUGUGCUUGAGACUGAUUCAAUUUUUCUUUAGUUGAUCUAGUUGACAAAUUAUUAGCGGCUCCAUUCUGGACACUGAAACCAUGAUAUUAUGAACUAUGUAAUCCAGCAUUGAAUUUCCAAAAAUGGUAUCUAGAAUAAAAGGAGACUUUUCUGUACCUCUGGCAAAAAUAAUAGGUGACGCGGCUCUCAUAGGAAAUAAAUAUUUGACAUAAAGAGGAAGAGGCUCAAUGGGACACCCACAUGGAGUUUCUUUGCACUCUAAUGACAGGCCAAAUAUGAACGACAAAAAAAUGUCAAAGACAAGAAAAUAUAGGAAAGAAAUAUUUGACAUAAAAAGGAAGAGGCUCAAUGGGACACCCACGUGCAGUUUCUUGCCUACAUGUAUAGAUUAGUAGACUGUAGUAAAUGGUCCUUGAUGUCUGGUCAUUUCUAAGGAUAAAUUCUAAUCAUAUUUAACAGCAGUUGUGAAAUUCUUUAGCUUGUAAGUUCCCUUAACGACUGACAAACAUGCAUAUUAUUAUGAAGAGUACCGUAUUAGAACGGCGUAUUCAUUGAAUACAACAAGAAAAACUGAGAACUCUAGGAAUAAAUAAUACUCAUUAUUAUAAAUAAAAAUAAUUACAUCGUGAUACUAAUCUGCACAAGUGUGUUCCGAUUCCAUCUAUAAGAGACAUUUUUAAAGGAACUGAGCAUCAAUUCUGCAACUAACAGUAAAGUUUCUUUGAGUCUAGGUUGGGGAUCAAACAAUCACCUAUAAGAAAGGAUGUGGCGGAAAACUUAUGAUGCUGACAAUCCUUAGAAACCAAGUAGAUUCUAAAGAAAAGUUGCUUCUGCUGCUUCUCAUCUGAAGAGCUUGUUUCAAGUGUUGGUAGCUGGACUACUGGGUAACCAAAAGAAACCUGAGGGUUACCAAGCUCUCACCUAAUCUUUCUCUAGAAUUGCGCAUCUCGACAAGGGCCUUCACUAACUGAUGGGAAAGCAUGAUUCGGUAAUUUAGGCCCCCGAGCCAGAUGAUUUGACUGUAAUGAAAGGCAAAACAAAGGAACCAAUGUCACACCAAAUGCAUAUGGAGUAAACUUCAUGAAUCCGUUGUAAGGUUCUUUGCUUACUCGUGUCCUAUGAUUGUUUCUAGUGAACGCUCAUACUGCACAUAGACCAUUAGAAACCUGGUAUUCAUGAGGAUUUCUAGCACAUCGGAGUUCCUAUGCAACUCAUCACCUUCCUUGUCUUGAAGUCAGGUGGCUGCAGACGAAGCAUAAACUUGUUUGGUGCAAUGACAUGCAAAUCGAAUUGAACCCUGGAAAACAAAUCCUUUACUAUUGAAUAUUUAAGCUAACAAGAUUUCAUGUUUGUGCUCAAAGUAUAUAUGAUAAAGUGGAAAAGCAACAAAAAAAACACUAUGACUAACCUCAUGACGAGGUCAGAGAAGGCUCCCGAGCUGAACCCCUCGACCUGGACAUGGUCACAGAGCACGGUUGCAGUCCCUCGGUCGGAGCUCCGAUUACCAAUGACUAUCUGGGUACAUGACAAUCACCAUAGGACCUAGGAAGAAGCAUAGCGUUAUCCUGCAAGAAGCACACCAUGGCCAUCAAAUGCAGCACGGACAACACCUCAUACCAAGGAUCUGCCAAUGCCAUGGAUGUCUCCUGCACUCUAGUCAUGUAGUACUCUUAAAACAUUCAGAAGAACUUGCAUAGGUGCAUAUACAAGGGGACUCAAUUCUCACCUCAGCCACAUCUUCUUGGUUAGCCCGUACAAACUGCUGCAAUAUUGAUGUCCGAAUCAUGAUAAAUUAUCAGGAAAGCAAUUUUUUAGUGUAAACAGCAACAGUAGGGACAUUUCGCACGUAUAAUCACCUUCCACCAGUUCUAGCAGAGCCUGGAUAGAGGAGAUUAGCAGUGCUAGACCCUCUUGCAGAUCAAAGGCCACAAACAAAGCAAGAAUUCUGUUAUUCACAUUUAGUAUGAAUAACCACGGCAGGGUUCAUAUGCUACAACAACCAUUGUGCUCUUGUACCUAGAAUAAUUAGAGCAUUUGUGCCAGAAAUUCCAGUCACCUGAAAAAUUCAAGCGGUAGAAAAGAAAACAAACAAAAAAGGCAACUAAUGUACCAUUUUGCUUGUUAGAGUAAUAUGUUGGGAUUUUUUUUAUUGUAAACAGCACCUUAUCCACCAACUUAUUUUGAUGUCAAAAGGAACCCAAACAAGAUGAAUCCUGGAUAACAUCCUCUUUGGGGCAGAGGCGGGAUAUUGUACACCAAAGUUCAAACAUUGAAACAUAGCAAUUGCAAAGUGUAAAAAUCCAGAUUACCCUCACUACACAUGCUAAAUAAAUUCACUACAUAAUUAUUUAUCAGUGUAUUUAGUUGGGCUAGUAGCUUAGAUUCAUGCCAAAGUUUGAGUACCGAUUAAGGUUUCUCACACAUGACAAAGGCAGAGAAUUGGCAGUGGGCGUCUUCAAAAGAUUGUCAUUCGUUCAACAAAUCACUGUCGCUUGUUCACACUUUUGUGCCAUGCUCGCCUCUUUCACCUUCUACAUUGUCUCACUUAAUUCCCGACUGCAAGGAAGAAGAAAAAAACUGUCAUAAGGUGCUACAUAGAAAUUUUUAAUCUCUAGUUACAAACAACUGUGGUAGAACUUAAAUUACGCACAUAUAGUCAUAAUUCUUCUUCAUGUGAUAGAAAGUAUGCAAAAUAAUGAGCUAGCCAAAAGAAAGAAAUAUUUUUUUAUCAGAAACAGGUAUAAAACCAAGUUGGGUUGUUCAUCUUUACUACUCUAUUAAGAGUACAACGAAGGCGUCCACACCCCUUGCCCCCGCCUACUGCCGCCCGCGCGCCCCGCCUGCUCGCCCACAGGGCGAGGCAACGCCUCCGCCCCGACGCCCUCGUCUUACCCAUCAGCCGUGCAAUACCCACCCCCAGCCUUCGACCCAACAGAUGACGUGCGGCCGCCGCGCUGCGGCCGCCGCGCCCCGCCCGCUCGCGGCGCAUGCCCCUUGCCCCGCGUGCGUCGUCUCCCGUCACACCACCCCCUCGACCGCCUCGACGUCGGCGCGAGGCUCCAGGCCAUCGGGGACGAAUCCGGGCCAGGGCUCCCGAGCAGGCCACGGUCUACGACGAUGCCUACGAUCCCUGGACCCUGGAUGACACCGACGUGUGAGGUCCUACCCUGCCCCCACCCGCGUGUGUCGUCUCCCCUUGUGAACUUGUGAUCUAUUUUGUUUAGAUACUCUAUGAUUUGAAUUUUCCCUCUUUUUUUGUUAUUUGUCUUCCUUAACUAUAAUGAUUGUGAUAAACUUUAUUGUUGUGGAAUUUCUCAUCUAUGUUACAAGAUAGAUAUUCACCACUUUGAGGUCUGAAAUAAAACAUAAUAGCACUCCUAGGCUCACUUUGAGGUCUUAAAUAAAACAUAAUAGCACUCUUACAUGAUUACCACAUAGCUAUUUACCACUUUGAGGUUUGCAGGUCUCAGGCUCACUUUGAGAGGCUAGCAGAUUUGCUUACUUCAGAUAUUUUGAAGCCUUGUACCAAGCCAUCAAGGAGUAGGGUUGCAUCGGUCUUACUGCCAAUGAUGAUCCAUACAAUGCUAAUGAAAUGAGCCCAAGUGACCAAAGACAAAACCAUGUUUCAACAUCGAGAAAAAAGCCUAUUUCCCUCCCAAAAAGUGACAUAUGUCCCAAAAACCAUGUCUCCACUUUUCCCUCUUAUUGGUUGAUGCCUGACAUAUGUCCUGUUCAAACACAGUUUAUCACAUUUUUCCAUGCACAAAAAAUUAUUUUUCAAGAAAGAGACUAAGAGAGAAUGACGAUGAUAUGAUCCCAAGUCUUAAUUCAUGGUUCACCUGUAGUUCAACAAAUGACAAUGCAACAACUAACAGAGGGACAAUGCAACAACAAUUAGUGGGAGCCAGUUUCUCAUCCUAAAUUAUGUUGAGCACUAUUGAAGAAAAACGAAAAGUAUCAUAGUAAUCUGUCUAAAGCCAAUAAUAUAGUAAAAAAUGACAGUAAAGAAAUAUGGAUAGUGAAACAAAAAAAUAUUAGCGUUAUACACCCUCCUCCUAAUUAUAAGUCGUUUUAGCUUUUCUAGAUACAUAAAGGACUUAUAGUUUGGGCUGCAACAGGAGAGUGUAUAGCAAAAAAUAUCAAUAUUGUGCAACACAUGUAGAUACAACAUUAGGAAUCUUAUAUAAACUGACCAACAAAUUGUAAGAUGCAAGACCAGAGCGAUCCAUGGACAAAUGAAGGAGAGUCAAAAUAUUGAAUUAAUAUGAGUUAGUCUCAUUUAAUAGAUCUUUGACGGACUAAAGACUAAAACAGUUUAGUCCCUGUUUUAUUGCAACUUAUUUGCCAAUUUAGCUACUAAAUAAAACUAAAAUGAAUGAAUUAAUUUUUAGUCCCUAAAACCAAACGGAACGUGGAAUACUGCUAUUAAGAUCUCCAUCAUGAUCGUGACAAAGGUAAGAGCUGUGGUUGAGAAGAGCUUGAACUUUGUCGUGGUUCAGUUUGAUUUUUAACUUUUUCGUGCAGAAUACUCGAGUGGAGCCGUGAGGGUGGGGUGGGCUCUGAGAAAGGCAGAACUCCAGAGGGCAAAAGUGACAUUUCGCAUGGGGUUGUGUGGUCCGUAUCCUUGACCAUGGCUUCAACGUUUGUCGUCUCGUACACUUUCCCCUCUCUCCGGGGGCGGCGGGCACCGCAUUGACGGACCUCACCCUGUUGUGCUGCCCCGAUCACCUCGUCGACUGCACGGCCCCCUUUUGCCACCGGCGUUUGUCACUCAACACAUCUAACAAUCCCAACACCCGUUCCACAAUUCCACCGUCAUCAUCGAAGAAGUUCCCCGAAGCCACAGGGCUAAGCCCUCGUCCAACGGCAAAGGUGUCUCUCCGACGAGAGAUUCCGGUCUGGAGCUGAGCAAGUCGCCUCCGCCGCCGCCCGCUCCAUGGUGGACUAAUCCUUCGGUGCCGGCGACCGGAGACCAUAGCUGGCUGAUCCUCGACCGCAUCGUCCACCGCAGUCGGAAGCAGUGUGGGGACGCUACGACCUCGGUGCUCGCCCACGAGUGCGUCGGCUGGCCGAUCCGUGCCUCCCUCCGGAUCGCGGACCCCCCCGCGGUGUCCCGUCUCUACGUCCACUGGACCAGCAUUCCAGCCAUUGACCACCACGACUCCAUUCUAUUCCGGGUGUCUGUCCCCUUCGACGAUCCCACUUUCUGAAGCCAAAUUGUCUACUUUCCUGAUGACUACUUUGUCUACUCGUGCUCCUCGUCGCCGUCGUCCCUUACUAGGCUUCCCCCUUGCUUCACCCGGGUUCCCCCUUGCUUCGGCGGUGGACGCACCGACCCUGAGUUGGAUAAGUGGUUACAACCGCACCGGCGCCAGCAACAACGGACCAUGAUUGAAGAAGACAUGGGCAUCCUCUGCCAUGGAGACAAGGGUGAAUUCACGGUGGCAGAUCUCACAUAUCGUUUCAACCAGGAGAUCAAACUCUGCUUGCUACAUCAUCCACUUUUGCCUCUGAUGCUGAAAUGAAAUGGAGUGUUGAGAAGCUACAGAUCCCUGCCGACAUGAAGAUCAACCUCUACUCGUUUAAGACUGAUGUCGUCAUCACCAUCGGCGAGAGGUGCUUGUGCUGGGUUGACUACUACCAUGGUAUGUUGCUCAUUGAUGUCCUCACUGACAGCAACAGCAACAGCAGGCUCCGUUAUAUACCACUCACAUCUAAGGCUUUGAAGACUGAUCGUGUGUACAAGGACGGUAAACCUGAUCCGUUUCGGCGUCUCAGUGUCUGUGAUGGUGGUAUCAUUAAGCUAGUCUGCAUUAUUACUAAAAAGCACUCUUCUCCUUAUCCCUUCACCAUAGCAACAUGGACUUUGGUUGAUAUCUACCAAGGUAGAUGGGAGAAGGAUGUCAACUUGACCAUGGGAGCCAGCGAGUUCUUCAAUCUUUAAGACGACGCUGCCAAGAGUUGCCUCCCACGAGCAAAGUAACUAUUUUAAGAAUGAAUAUGCCAAAUUCAACUGGUUGUGCAAAGUGCUGCAUGCAAAAAACAAUGGCAUAGAUAAACUAAAUACAUGAGGAGAUGCAGUGAUACCUUUUGAUGGCGUCUUCACUCAAGUAAGAGAACUUGUUGGCAAUGAAGUCAUGAAAAAUGAAAUAGUUCUUGCAGUCCCUUUUAGGAGGGUAUCCUUCUUCUUCGUUGAUAUAGAUGGAACUUAACAGUAGCAACUUAUUUCGCAUGUUGACUUGAACCAUCCAGAAAGGAUCGCGGAACUUGUCCUCGAGGAGGAAGCAAAUGACAUCUGGAUCAACCAAGCUCACCACAGGAAAACUUGGCCUCACUCGUGGGAGGCAACUCUUGGCAGCGUCGUCGUAAAGAUUGAAUAACUCGCUGGCUCCCAUGGUCAAGUUGACAUCCUUCUCCCAUCUACCUUGGUGGAUAUCAACCAAAGUCCAUGUUGCUAUGGUGAAGGGAUAAAAAAGAAGGGUGUUCUUUAGUAAUAAUGCAGACGAGCUUAAUGAUGCCACCAUCACAGACACUGAGACGUCGAAACGGAUCUGGUUCACCGUCCUUGUACACACGGCCAGUCUUUAAAGCCUUAGAUGGAAGUGGUAUAUUACGGAGCCUGUUGUUGCUGUCAGUGAGGACAUCAAUCAGCAGCAUAUCAUGGUAGUAGUCAACCUAGCACAAGAACCUCUCGCCGAUGAUGACGACGGCAUCAGUCUUAAACGAGUAGAGGUUGAUCUUCAUGUUAGGAGGGAUCUGCAGCUUCUCAACACUCCAUUUCAUUUCAGCAUCAGAUGCAGAAGGGGGAUGGUGCAACAAGCAGAGUUGGACCUCUUGGUUGAAACGGUAUGUGAGAUUUGCCACCGUGAAUUCACCCUUGUCUCCAUGGCAGAGGAUUUCCAUGUCUUCUUCAAUCAUGGUCCGCUGUUGCUGGCGCCGGUGCGGUUGUAACCACUUAUCGAACUCGGGGUCGGUGCGUCCACCGCCGAAGCAAAGGGGAACCCGGGUGAAGCAAGUGGGAAGCCUAGUAAGGGACGGCAGCGACAAGGAGCACGAGUAGACAAAGUAGUCAUCAGGAAAGUAGACCGUUUGGCUCUAGAAACAGGGAUCGUCGAAGAGGACAGACACCCGGAAUAGAAUGGAGUUGUGGUGGGCGGCGAUGGCAACAGGCUCCUUCAUGCAGUCAAUGGCUGCAAUACUGGUCCAGUGGACGUAGAGACGGGACACCGCGGGGGGUCCGCAAUCCGGAGGGAGGCACGGAUCGGCCGGCCGACGCACUCGUGGGCGAGCGCCGAGGUCGUAGCGUCCCCGCACCACUUCCGACUGCGGUGGACGAUGCGGUCGAGGAUCAGCCAACUAUGGUCUCCGAUCGCCGACACCGAAGGAUCAGUCCACCAUGGAGCCGAUGGCGGAGGAGGCGACUUGCUCAGCUCCAGACCGGAAUGCCUCGUCGGAGAGACACCUUUGUCGUUGGGCGAGGGCUUAGCUCUGCAGCUUCGGGAACCUCCUUCGAUGAUGGCGUGGAAUUGUGGAACGGAUGUUGGGAUUGUUAGAUGUGUUGAGUGGCAAACGUCGGUGGCAAAAGAGGUCAUGCAGUCGACGGGGUGAUCAGGUCAGCACGGCAGGGUGGGGUCCAUCAAUGCGGUGUCCGCCGCCCCCGGAGAGAGGGGAAAGUGCACGAGACGACAAACACUGAAGCCACGGUCAAGGAUACGGACCACACAUCCCCAUGCGAAAUGCCACUUUUGCCCUCUGGAGUUCUGCCUUUCUCAGAGCCCACCCCACCCCCAUGGCCUCACUCGAGUAUUCUGCACGAAAAAGUUAAAAAACAAACUGCACCACGGCAAAGUUCAAGCUCUUUUCAACCAUAGCUCCGGCCCUUGUCACGAUCAUGAUGGAGAUCUUAAUAGCAGUAUUUCACGUUCUGUUUGGUUUUAGGGACUAAAAAUUAAUUCAUUCAUUUUAGUUUUAUUUAGUAGCUAAAUUGGCAAAUAGGUUGCAAUAAAACAGGGACUAAACUAUUUUAGUCUUUAGUCCUUCAAAGAGUGAUUAAAUGAAACUAACUCAUAUUAAUUCCAUAUUUUGCCUCUCCUUCAUUUGUCCAUGGAUCACUCUGGUCUUGCAUCUUACAAUCUGUUGGUCAGUUUAUAUAAGAUUCCUAAUGUUGUAUCUACAUGUGUUGCACAAUAUUGAUAUUUUUUGCUAUGCACUCUCAUGUUCCAGUCCAAACUAUAAGUCCUUUAUGUAUCUAAAAAAGCUAAAACGACUUAUAAUUAGAAGGAGGGUGUAUAACACUAACAUUUUCUUGUUUCACUAUCCAUAUUUCUUUACUGUCAUUUUUUACUGUGUAAUUGGCUUUAAACAGAUUACCAUGACACUUAUCGUUUUUCUCUAACAGUGCUCAGCAGAAUUUAGGAUGAGAAACUGGCUCCCACUAAUAGUUGUUGCAUUGUCCCCCUGUUAGUUGUUGCAUUGUCAUUUGUUCAACUACAAGUGAACCAUGAAAUUAAAAAGAUGUUCUGUUGGUCAGGCCUGAAAACUGAUGUGGAAUUAUUUGUGAAACAAUGUGCGGUUUGUCAGCAAGCCAAAAGUCCCAAGCAGUAUCCUUCUGGGUUACUUCACCCAUUGCCUGUGCCAGCAGGAGCUUGGCAAGACUUAACUAUGGAUUUUAUUGAGAAGUUACCCCGGUCAGAAGGAUAUGAUACUAUUUUGGUGGUGGUAGAUCGAUUCACCAAGUAUGCUCACUUCUUUCCCUUAAAGCACCCUUUCACUGCUCAGGGAGUGGCCCAAAUCAUGGUAGAUUCAGUAAUCAAGCUGCAUGGGGUGCCCAAAACAGUGGUAUCUGAUAGGGACAAGAUUUUUACAAGUGUUUUUUGGGAACAUUUGUUCAAGCUCUUGGAUAUUAAGCUUGCUUUAAGCACAACCUAUCACCCUCAGACAGAUGGGCAGAGUGAGCGAGUUAAUCAGUGUUUGGAGAUGUAUCUCAGAUGUGCUGUCCACUCCAACCCUCAGAAAUGGAAGUCUUGGCUAUCUUUAGCCGAAUUGUGGUAUAAUACCACUUUCCACUCAUCAUUGGGUUGUUCACCUUUCCAGGCCCUUUAUGGCUAUGAAGCAUUUGUUCUUGGCAUUCCUUUAGUCACAGGGCAGGAGGAUAAGGGAGCUGUCCAGUUUGUCCAGCACAGAGCUGAGCAUAUUGAGAUGUUGAAGGCCAAUUUGGCUAGAGCUCAACAGAGGUAUAAACAUUUUGCAGAUAAGAAGAGGGUUCCCAGGGAGUUUCAGGUCGGGGAACAUGUUUUGCUCAAGCUCCAGCCUUAUGCUCAAAAUUCUAUGGUCAAUAGACCUUGUCCCGAAUUCGCAUUCAAGUAUUUUGGGCCUUACACAGUGACUGAGAAAAUUGGGCCAGCUGCUUAUCGUUUGGCUCUUCCACCAGAAGCUCAGAUCCACCCUGUCUUCCAUGUUUCCCAACUCAAACCAUUUGUUCCAAAUUAUACUCCCGGUCUUUGAUACUCUUCCUCAACCAAUGGAUUUGGACAGGGGACCUCUGGCUACGGUAGAGAUCCUGGAUCGCAGUAUGGUCAAGAAAGGCAACGCGGCUACGGUCCAAGUGUUACUCAGAUGGUCUAGGUUACCAUCAUCAUGUGCUACUUGGGAGGAUUUUACUGUGGCCAAGAACAGAUUUUCAAAGGCCCUUGCUUGGGGUCAAGCAAGCUCUCAAGGGGGGCGGAUUGUCACAACCCUACCAAGAAUGCAUAGAUUCAGACAAGGUAACAAGAGGGCAAGAAGGAGGAUAGAGGGGAUAGAGUAAUACAGCUGUAAGCUGCUGGCAUCUAGCUAUAAUAACUGAUUAGAUCUGUCAUCUAGCUGUUAAUCCAGCUGUAAUAACUGAUUAGCAGUUAGAGUCACUUGGUGCUGCUAUAAAUCUGAGCAUUUGUAAUGGAGAAGACAUGAAAUGAAAUAAAACAGAAAUCAAGCUCCACCACAUACCUGUGUGAUUUAGCGUUCUUGUUUGAUUCGGCUAAAGGGGAGACCUCACGUCGGAUGAACCCUAGGGAGAGGGAAAGCCAUACCUGGGCACAGAUUCAAGGGUGGACGAAACCCUAGACCAGGGUUCCUCACAGGGAGAUCAGGAGAUGGCCACUGGGCUGACGCUUGCGGAGAUGGUGCUUGGGGAGAUGGCCGCUGGGCGCCUGGGGAGAUCCGGAGAUGGCCGCUGGGCGCCUGCCUGGGCGUGCGCGCCAGCGCGGUGCGCAUCGUGGGCGUGGGCGCGUGGCCCGACAGGCAGGGCCGCUGGCCGCUGGCCGCUGGCCGCUGGGCGUGCGCGAGCGCGCCUGGGGAGAUGGCCGCUCGCCGCUGGGCGCCUGGGGAGAUGGCCGCUGCCCGCUGGGCGCCUGGGCGGCCGCAGCGGUGCGCAUCGUGGCGUGGGCUAGUGGUGGCUGGCGGAGACCGGAGAAGACGAAUGGAUGGGCAGGAUGGCGGCGGCCGACGCCUCGGGAGUCGAGGAGAAAAUUGGAGACGGAAGAGGUGGGAACCCUAAACGGCUACAACUAAUUAAAUGGAGGCCGAGUUUUAGUUUUAAGUAGUGGUGCUUUAAGUAUAUUAGAGAUUAGAGAUAUAUAUUAUAUAGUUACAAAGAAAAAGAUAAAUAUAUUAAAAGUCCUUCUAUUUAUUGUGCCGAGUUUUAGUUUUAAGUUUUGGGUCUAAGUUUUGAAUACCAAUCUCCUAUUGUAAUUAUUCAUUCCCUUUAGAGAGGUAUACUUUACAAAGGAAUAAAAUCAUUAUUAGAAGUCAUUUUAUCUCAAAUCAUUUGAAGAAUUCUUUAAAUCACCAAAAUGAGAUUUUGGGUUUAUCUCUACUAACUAUUAAGUGAUUAGUGUAGACUGCCCCCGCUCCCGGCUCCACCCGCCCGCCCGACCGACCUUCGGAAACCUCGCCGCGCUUCCAACCGCCUCCUCAAACAACGCCGGGAACGCCGCAAACCCCGCCGCACGCAGCUCCUCUGUCGCCUCCACCGCACACAGCAUGCGCGCUCCUUCCCCGCUCUGUUCUCGUCCCCGCGUCGCUCAGAUCAGCUCUGGCUCCUCGCCACGCGCGCCCUCGGACCUCGACCCAUGGCGCGUCGAUCUGCCCGCGGCCCCGAGACCCUGCCCCGGCUCCCGACUCCUCUCCCUUCCCUACAUCGUGCUUCCACAAUAUCGCGCGCGGGGCCACGACAACGUCGUCAUCGCGGUGCCACACCAUCGCCGCGGGCCCCAACAUCGCCACAUCGUCGCCUCCGCUUUCCCGGUGUCGAUCGUGGUCGCCACCUCUACCAACAAAUGCCUCCAUUGCGUCGAGCUCUCAGCAUGGUCGCGCCAUGAAUUCCUCAACUCGCCAUGGGUCCGCGUGCGGGAGCUCCUCAACCAACUCUGCCAUCCCACCGCCCCCAUUGCGAUCCGCCAACCCAGCUCGAUCCCACGCGCCCCCCUUAAAAGCGGCGGCGCACACCCGUGUCUCCCUCACGCCCAACCACCCCCACCCUCGCCCUAGCCCCGAACCCUCCUGGCGGCGGCCCCGCACGUGCAGGCGCGCGACAUCCUAUCAGGAGGCGAGGGGGCUCUGAUGACCACCAGUGCCAACCUGAUGAACCAUCCGCCUCACCGCCUCGCUCCCCGUCAUGAAUAGGGUUCUGUCAUAUAUGUGCUCGAUUGGUCCAGGAACUCUGAGUCCCGCUUCCAGUUCAUUGUCAUGAAUACGCGCAACACUGGUACAUCGGCGAUCACUGCUCGGAUCGGUCACCCGCGGCGCCUAGACAGGAAUUCAAAUCACUACGCUAUUGUUGCAGAUGCCUUACAAUCUCUUUUGGUAAUGUGGAUUCUAUUUUCAUCCAUCUGUUUCUUAUUUAUUUCUUGUUAUAUAGGCUUGAUUAGCAUCCAGAUUCAGCGUUUGGCAUGGCAUGACUAUUCCUUAAAUAUUGCAAAUGGUCAUCUUCUUCGAAAUAUAAAAAGAAUGGUACCAUUUGUACCUACGGUAUUCGCCAUUGCUUUGACUGAAAACAAAAGUCUAUUUGUGUUAUGCGCUCAAACAUAUGUACACAAUAGACGUGCAUUACAUGUUCUAUAUAUCAGAUGCAUAUAAACUACUCCAUUUGUUUCUGCAGCUUGCCGAUUCAAAUUCCAAGGAUAUGAAGAGCAAGACAAAGGAGUGAAAUGACUUAAUCAAGCCAGACAUAGUAAGUUUUUGUGUUCACUGGUUGGAUAUCCGCUUUUGGCGCGUGUUCGAAUGUUUGCAUCUUUUGGACGGUAUGUAUGAGCCUCGUCUUCCGAACUUCGAUGACAGCAAGGUCAGGUUGGAUAUCUGCUUUUGGUGUUUGCAUCUUUUGGAUGUCUGUGGACGCAUCAUGCAUGUAGGGCUUUACCCCGUUAUCGAAAGAGAUUGUAACCCCUUGAGUUGUGAUACUUGACAUCUACGAGUAGUUGCUUAAUGUACUUUUAAACAUUCUAUUCAGUUUGGAUGUUCCUUGUCUUGCUACUUCACAGCUUGCCAAGUCAGUAAUCUUAGGAUUCAUGUUUGGCUUGCUCUUUGGUCUUUGCUGUCGUUCCUGUAAAUAAAUAUUGGCGUUUAAUUUGGCCUUCUCUUACGUCGUUUAUGGGAUGAUGGGGUGCCGUUUCGAGUUGGCAAUAAUAGAUCUGUUGUUCAUCCAAACUCAGUUGGUUUUGUUUUGUAUUUGUUCCGAAUCAUGUUGGUACAGUUAGCAUGUGAAUGGACAAGCCAUUAGCCACGGUCUAUUUUUUUUGUUUGUUUGUUUGAAAAUGCCAUGUUUUUUGGUUUGCUUGAAAAUUGAAAUGAAAGCUAAAAGUUUUACCAUCUCUAUUUUAUACCACUUUCGUUCUCAAAUAUUUAUCGCUUCAUUUUUUAACUAAAUCGCGACAAAUAAAAUAAAAAAGAUGACAGAGUAUAUAAGGCUGGCUCUAGCAUAGACCACUAAACAGUCACGUCCGCUGAAUUUAGCGGACGGCAACGUACGUCCAACAAGGUACUCUAUACGAUACGCUAUAAUUUAGUGGUGGUGUCGGACACGGUAAAUGUGGCAGACUUCUAUCGUCUGCUAUCACCACCGUCGAGGCUGAUCAUUCGCUCCCGCGCGCGGCUCGGAACCUUCAACGCAUUGUCGGUUUUCCGUCCUCACUGUUCAACUCGGCAAGCUCUGGUGGUCCUGCUCCCCGUCGCAGAGGGUGCUGGUGCGAGAGGGACGGGAGCUGGUGGCAGAGCUCGGUACUCCUACACGCAGGGAUGGGUGACGAGCACAUGCGGCAUCAUCACUGUCAAGAUCAACAUCCCCACUGGAUAUUUGUUUUUAUUAUUAUUAUAUGUUCGUAGUGAAAAAUGUUAAUUACUUUUUUGAAUUAGGUACGUGAGCUCGAAUUCAAAUUACAUGAAAAAUAGAGAAUAAAUAUUGUAGGUAAUAGAUUCUAUUAACACUGUAGAUAUAGAGGAUCGAUUUUAGAGGACGUUGUUGGAGAUGAAGAAAAUAUAGAGGACGAAUUUUUUAGAGGAUGCUGUAAAUGAUAAAGAAUAUUACUUUAAAGGACGAAAUUUAGGAGACGUUGCUGGAGACAGCCUAAUACUAGAGCAAAAGGCGCCCUUACGGCCCCCCUAUCUGGUAUCAUACUAUUUAGAAAAUAAGAUAUCACAACCAAAAGUCUCCUAUCAAGCCUACACUGAUAGCAAUGCAAAGCACUCGCUCUGCCAUCAUUUUCUACUGGAUAUUUCUCGCUCACGUCAGCGCUUCGAUUUUCUCAAUGCACCUCAGGUGCAUCCACACCACGGGCAUUUUGCUCCACUUUGAUCACCUACAGUUACAAAGAGCAAAAAGAAACAAAAUUCAGUGGUCUAAGAUAUAAACUACAGACUGCAAGUUCAUAACCUGCUAUGCAUCAUACAAAAAGAUAUUACCUCCGUUCUUAAAUAUUUAUCAUCCGCUAGUUCAUUUUUGAACUAAACCGUGAUAAAUAAAAAAAGAACAAAAGAAAUAUAUUGUUGCACAUAUUAAAAACAUAGUAGCAUUCAAACCAUACAAGUUCAUCAUGAAUAAACAGAACAAACUGCAUCAGAGCACUACCAACCAGACACGGUCUAUCUCAGAUUCUAGCGUUCCAUGCCAAAAUACCUUCAUCCGAUAGCUGUUUUCAAGAACUUUCAGUUGCUCUAGAUCCUCUUCCAUUUGUAAUGGUUGGACUAUUGGUGGAAGUUCUAGAUAGAUCUUCAAAAAUCUUGAAUGAAAGCCCUGUGUGAGAGAGAGCAGUUAGUCAAUUAAUUAGCCAAAUGAAAGUCGGUUAAUCAAAGGACCAUGUAUCAAAUAUAAAUAAAUAAGCAUAAGCUUGAUAAGGUAUGCGAUUCCAAGAUGAAGAAGAUAUGGAUUUUUUGGAUUGACGUUCCCUGAUCUGAAAUGGUCAGGGCCAGAAGAUUUUCAUGUGAAAAAAUACAGUCAAUAUAAGAGUUAAAUAGCUAUUUGUGCCUCACUUAUUGAAUGGAAUCAGCCCUCUUAAAAAAUAUCACGUAGCCCAGAUUAUCCACAACACACUUCACUCUAUUCGUAUCGAAUGCAUCUUCUAGUUUCAGUGAAGUAACAGCUGUGCUGAAAACUGCAGUACUGAAUAUAAUACCAGAGUUCAUUUCUUGAAUGCGAAUAACUAUGAAAAUCGAAUAACUAUGAAAAUAUUAAUUAUUUACAUCUAAAACAUUGGUUUUGUAUGUGUAAGCAGUCAUUAACAUUCAUGAUAGAUCAAGAAAAAACAUACAGACUCAGCCUACCAGCCAGCUCCAAUGGAAAUAUCAACAGGUUCAUAGCCUCUGCAGUCAAACACCAUCAAACAAGUCUUCGUUUCUUUCUAGCUCUGCUCAAUAGUACUACCUCCAUUUUUAUUUAUUUGACGCUACUUAAUUCAAUUUUGUACUAACCGGCAACAAAUAAAAACAAGCGGAGGGAGUAAGUGGCAUCCACUGACCAUGAAUCAUCACAAUUGUUCCAUCUCUCCCACAAAGCUUGCACUGAGAGAAGACGACAGCUUACAUGGUUCAACAAAAUAUACAGUCGACACGCUAAAGAACCGAUAAUGCAAAAACCAUCACCCUGCCAAUGAUCACAAUACAAGAAAUCAUAUUAACAAAAAAGCAAUCACAUUGCUUGUGAAUCAUAAAGCAUAUAUUUUCCUAGGUAACCUAGUUUGCAAAAUAGCAUGACCCUUGAGAAGGAACAAAUGAACAAUCCUCUGUUGUUGUCCUUUUACAAAAAUAUGCCUCCUGUCCACCCAAUUUUAAUCAUGAAUCAGUACCCCUCACAGAAUCCAACCCAACCUACUAAGCAAAUAACAUAAAAGAAGGAAAUUCAGAAGACUAAAGGAAUCUCAAUUAACCACGUCAUGAGUCAUCUCAUUUGCUGUCCUCAUAUCAUGUAGUACCAAAAUACGAAAAUGAAUGCAUUUUAAAAAUUGAAGAAGGCAUAGUAGGAGCAGCUAACAUCAGUGUCGAAAAAUCAAGUGACAUCAGUAAAAUCAAUUGCAUUCCUCAACUGAAUGUAGAUAAAGACACAUAGACCAAAUUAUUGGUGUUCAGAGAAAUCUAACAGAAAGCAAAUGCUCUCAAACAUCUAAAAGUCAAUAAAACAUAAUAUCAGUGGUCACUGCACAGUAUUAUGCACAUACAGGAAGCGAGAUCUUACAUCUACCACCGUCUUAUCAAUUUCACAUAUGCCAAUCUGCUCCACAGAGAUAUGUCGUGAAACCUAACACAGAACACCACCGUUCCCCUCCAAUAACCAACACAUGUGUAUCAUGAAACAAUUGAACGUUACAUCCAAUAAAUUUUAGAUAAUAUACAUAUUCAUCUGUGUACAUAUUCAUCAUUUUGAAAACUACAAAUACCAAAAAAUUCACCUAAUUAAUGAACCUGGCAGUACGACUGCAUCCUAACAAUUUUUUACUGCAGACUUCUCCAGGCAUUACAAGUUCAAACAAAUUACAAGACAAAAUUAUAUGAAGUAACCAAUGACAUAUUCUUAAAGAUGGUUUAAUUGAUGCAAAUAGCAUCAGAGCACACCUUUUAGUGCUAAAUGUACCAAAACAUGUAUGAUAAUAUCGUUAGCUAUGAUGCUAGCACGCAUUUCAUUUUUUGUCAACAAUAAUAUUGUAAGCGGCCAAUUGCAGUUUCGAUUCGAAUUUUUGGCAUCAAAAUAAAUAAAGCGUGCAUUCUACUUUUUUUUUGUUACCAACGCCAUCGCACCAGGCUUACCACCGGGAAAAAAAAUCUAUACAUACCGCAUGUGAACACCACCUUUUACAGCCCCUCACAUGCACCACUUAAAGGCCCACAAAGACAGAUCAAAAUUUACAAAAUAAUCUUUUAGUAAUUUAUUUUUUUCUUCUAUUUAUAUAUACCAGCAGCUGGUGUAUGUGAGGGGCUGUAAAAGAGAUUCUUUACAUCCCAGAUGUAAAGAAUUUUUUUUCCUACCAAUAGGCAAAACCCACAUUAGUAGUGAACUGGAACAACAAAGAGCAGUCCAUCAAAGAAGAGAGAUGGAAGGGACAUCAUACCUUCAAGCUUCCACGAAGGCAUCGUAGCAGCGAGACGGGACGCGAGGUCAGCGACGACAUGGGGGUUAGGUCGUUGCGGCUGCGUCGCGCGUGGCCACGUAGGUGAGGAGGGAGUCAUACCGCGGGCGGGAUCCGCAGCGGCAUGGUGAGGAUGGCGGCUAGGAGAAUGUACGCCGCGCAGACGAGAGAAUGUCAGUGUCAGGGCCGUUCCUGACUUUUCAAGGCCUUGAACGAAAUCCGAUAUGGAGGGUCCAUCCACACACAAAUAUAUAUAAUUAUACAUACAGUAUCGAAUAUUUAACAUAUAAAAAUUAUUAUGCUCUGUUUUGAUGCUUAUAAGAUAACAAAUGUAAAAUAUAGCUAAAAGCACUUACUUCUUAUUUGAUAUCAUUAAAAAUAUCUUCUAACAUUUUGUGAUACAAAGUCAUCGCUUAUAUCAUUGAGAUCAAUUUCAUCCAACAACUUUUUUUCGAUAUAUAGAAUCGUCAAGCCGUUUAACCUCUCUUAAGUUAUUGUUGACCAUAAAUAGUUCACAAAAAUAUUUCAAUUUUAAAAAGCUUCUCUCUGCCGAUGCAACCAUCAUGUGUAUAGUAAAUAAUACUCUCUCUAUAUCAAAAUAAAAUUUGUUUUGCUUCUUUAGUGGAUUCAUCAUCAUCUAGUUGAAUAUAAACAUAAAAAAUCAAGAGCUAAAACAAAUACUAUUUUUUAUCGGAUGGAGUAUUCGAUAAGCAAUUGAGACAUUAGUUUAACAAUCUAAAUGAGACUAGUUGAUAGCGCAUCGCUCUUUGCGUAUUUGUGUCUAGAAUAGAUAGGUUUAACAGGAAAAAAGUGUUAGCGUCUAGUGGCUAGGGGACCCUCUGAUUUUGGGGGCCUGGUGCGGCCGCACCCUUGGCACCCCCACAGGUACGGCCCUGGUCAGACAUACUGCCAUGGUCACCACAUAGGUUGGCAAGUGGGGAGGCAACUGGAGGUCAAUACAAGGCGAUGAAGCUGUUAGCAAGCAAUCAUAAGUGGAAAGGGAUGAACAAGACAACAGAAACAGACGCGGCAGAAGAGAAGGCUUAAGCGCAGUCGAGGAGAUCAAAGUGCGCCAGCCCCUGGCCAAAUAUAAAUGUGGUUGGGCCACGUUGGGCCAUGUAAUAUGGGCCUCAAUACUGAUACACUUGUGUGACCGCGUCCAUAUAUAAAUGGCGUGUAUCUGUACAGGAGAGGGUAUCGAAGAACAAAAAUAACAAUUCUAUUAUCGCCUUCCCUGCUAUCUUCUUCUUCCCCAUGUCAUAUCUUCCCGUUCUCCACACCUCUAGCGACUGUUAGUUCGUGCCCUAGCCGACAGAGUUGCUAACAGAGAAGAGGGGUGAGGUCUGUCAAGAAUGCCGCCAUGUCAAGUCGGAUUCCGCGCCGCCAUGGAGACAAACGGGGAGGGGUCACGGAAACUGCGGUGGCGCGAGGAGUAGCAUGCUUCGGGGCGACGACACGAGAAGGAGAGAGGAGUAUGUUAGGACACCCGAAGGAGAGACUACUAGGGAAUGGCAGGUGACACAGACGCCUCAGCUGAGAGAUCGAGAACCUCGAAGAAGAGAGGAGUAGGAGAAACAACAGUACCAUGCGUGCCGAUCCGAGCAGGGAGAGGGGCAGCGCGGAGAGGAAGAUGGCGGGAUGGGGCCGACGUUUGCUGCGGUGGUGCGGGGAGGAAUAGUAUGCGGAAGGGGGCGGUAGAACUUCUCAAAGGAUGCAAAUGCACUAGAACUUCUCAAUCACUCACUAGAAUGCGAUCUCAAGCAACAAGUAUGAGAGUUUGAGUUAGAGGAUCACAAAUGAGCUCAAUGUAUGCUAGGAGUGGUCAAGAGAGCCCUCACACACAAGCUCCAUUUCUAUUUAUAGCCCACAACUCAAACCUAGUCAUUAUGUGCAAAUAGCACAACUUCUGCGCACACAUGGACGGUCCACGCCCCAUGGCCGGACGGUCCAUCGUACCAGUAACGGCUAUAAAGACCGUUGAAACCUGUCAGUGCUGUCAGAAAAAGUCAAGCCUGGACGAUCCACCCUCCUGGGCCGGACGGUCCGGGACCUGUCAACAUGGAAUAUCAUAGCACUCGUCAGUUAAAACAAUCCGAGCGGAGUGUCCGCCAUUUUAUGGCCGGACGGUCUGCACAUGGACCACUUACCGUCCGGCUAAAAACCCCGGACAGUCCAUAGUGCAAGGACUCAAAAACACACUUUCCCUGCCCAAACUCAAUUCAGUUUAUGCGGACGGUCCAGCCUCCUGGCUUGGAUGGUAGCGAAGGGAGACAGAGACAAGGCGCCAGCAGACUUCUCUGACAGAGUCGCGGACGAGCUGGCCUCCUGGCUCGGACGUUCUACCAACCACAGAGUUGAUAUUUUUGCGCUUUUUCAAAAGAUUUUGUAUUUUAAAAAACGAAGCGUUGUUAGCCCUCAUGUAAAUGCAACCGUUUAUAUUAUACGAGGCACUAAGUUUUACACCGAUCAAGUUCAUUGACCCCUCUUAAUAGUACGACCGUCUACCCUAUUAAUCCGGUCAAUUUCUUCUCUAAACACCUGCUGACCGGCAAAAAACAAAACCUAUAUUUUUCCUUUGUCUUCUUCACUUGAUCGAUUAGUUUCAUCCAAUUUUCACACUAUUAAACGAUUGUGCUUGAGACUGAUUCAAUUUUUCUUUAGUUGAUCUAGUUGACAAAUUAUUAGCGGCUCCAUUCUGGACACUGAAACCAUGAUAUUAUGAACUAUGUAAUCCAGCAUUGAAUUUCCAAAAAUGGUAUCUAGAAUAAAAGGAGACUUUUCUGUACCUCUGGCAAAAAUAAUAGGUGACGCGGCUCUCAUAGGAAAUAAAUAUUUGACAUAAAGAGGAAGAGGCUCAAUGGGACACCCACAUGGAGUUUCUUUGCACUCUAAUGACAGGCCAAAUAUGAACGACAAAAAAAUGUCAAAGACAAGAAAAUAUAGGAAAGAAAUAUUUGACAUAAAAAGGAAGAGGCUCAAUGGGACACCCACGUGCAGUUUCUUGCCUACAUGUAUAGAUUAGUAGACUGUAGUAAAUGGUCCUUGAUGUCUGGUCAUUUCUAAGGAUAAAUUCUAAUCAUAUUUAACAGCAGUUGUGAAAUUCUUUAGCUUGUAAGUUCCCUUAACGACUGACAAACAUGCAUAUUAUUAUGAAGAGUACCGUAUUAGAACGGCGUAUUCAUUGAAUACAACAAGAAAAACUGAGAACUCUAGGAAUAAAUAAUACUCAUUAUUAUAAAUAAAAAUAAUUACAUCGUGAUACUAAUCUGCACAAGUGUGUUCCGAUUCCAUCUAUAAGAGACAUUUUUAAAGGAACUGAGCAUCAAUUCUGCAACUAACAGUAAAGUUUCUUUGAGUCUAGGUUGGGGAUCAAACAAUCACCUAUAAGAAAGGAUGUGGCGGAAAACUUAUGAUGCUGACAAUCCUUAGAAACCAAGUAGAUUCUAAAGAAAAGUUGCUUCUGCUGCUUCUCAUCUGAAGAGCUUGUUUCAAGUGUUGGUAGCUGGACUACUGGGUAACCAAAAGAAACCUGAGGGUUACCAAGCUCUCACCUAAUCUUUCUCUAGAAUUGCGCAUCUCGACAAGGGCCUUCACUAACUGAUGGGAAAGCAUGAUUCGGUAAUUUAGGCCCCCGAGCCAGAUGAUUUGACUGUAAUGAAAGGCAAAACAAAGGAACCAAUGUCACACCAAAUGCAUAUGGAGUAAACUUCAUGAAUCCGUUGUAAGGUUCUUUGCUUACUCGUGUCCUAUGAUUGUUUCUAGUGAACGCUCAUACUGCACAUAGACCAUUAGAAACCUGGUAUUCAUGAGGAUUUCUAGCACAUCGGAGUUCCUAUGCAACUCAUCACCUUCCUUGUCUUGAAGUCAGGUGGCUGCAGACGAAGCAUAAACUUGUUUGGUGCAAUGACAUGCAAAUCGAAUUGAACCCUGGAAAACAAAUCCUUUACUAUUGAAUAUUUAAGCUAACAAGAUUUCAUGUUUGUGCUCAAAGUAUAUAUGAUAAAGUGGAAAAGCAACAAAAAAAACACUAUGACUAACCUCAUGACGAGGUCAGAGAAGGCUCCCGAGCUGAACCCCUCGACCUGGACAUGGUCACAGAGCACGGUUGCAGUCCCUCGGUCGGAGCUCCGAUUACCAAUGACUAUCUGGGUACAUGACAAUCACCAUAGGACCUAGGAAGAAGCAUAGCGUUAUCCUGCAAGAAGCACACCAUGGCCAUCAAAUGCAGCACGGACAACACCUCAUACCAAGGAUCUGCCAAUGCCAUGGAUGUCUCCUGCACUCUAGUCAUGUAGUACUCUUAAAACAUUCAGAAGAACUUGCAUAGGUGCAUAUACAAGGGGACUCAAUUCUCACCUCAGCCACAUCUUCUUGGUUAGCCCGUACAAACUGCUGCAAUAUUGAUGUCCGAAUCAUGAUAAAUUAUCAGGAAAGCAAUUUUUUAGUGUAAACAGCAACAGUAGGGACAUUUCGCACGUAUAAUCACCUUCCACCAGUUCUAGCAGAGCCUGGAUAGAGGAGAUUAGCAGUGCUAGACCCUCUUGCAGAUCAAAGGCCACAAACAAAGCAAGAAUUCUGUUAUUCACAUUUAGUAUGAAUAACCACGGCAGGGUUCAUAUGCUACAACAACCAUUGUGCUCUUGUACCUAGAAUAAUUAGAGCAUUUGUGCCAGAAAUUCCAGUCACCUGAAAAAUUCAAGCGGUAGAAAAGAAAACAAACAAAAAAGGCAACUAAUGUACCAUUUUGCUUGUUAGAGUAAUAUGUUGGGAUUUUUUUUAUUGUAAACAGCACCUUAUCCACCAACUUAUUUUGAUGUCAAAAGGAACCCAAACAAGAUGAAUCCUGGAUAACAUCCUCUUUGGGGCAGAGGCGGGAUAUUGUACACCAAAGUUCAAACAUUGAAACAUAGCAAUUGCAAAGUGUAAAAAUCCAGAUUACCCUCACUACACAUGCUAAAUAAAUUCACUACAUAAUUAUUUAUCAGUGUAUUUAGUUGGGCUAGUAGCUUAGAUUCAUGCCAAAGUUUGAGUACCGAUUAAGGUUUCUCACACAUGACAAAGGCAGAGAAUUGGCAGUGGGCGUCUUCAAAAGAUUGUCAUUCGUUCAACAAAUCACUGUCGCUUGUUCACACUUUUGUGCCAUGCUCGCCUCUUUCACCUUCUACAUUGUCUCACUUAAUUCCCGACUGCAAGGAAGAAGAAAAAAACUGUCAUAAGGUGCUACAUAGAAAUUUUUAAUCUCUAGUUACAAACAACUGUGGUAGAACUUAAAUUACGCACAUAUAGUCAUAAUUCUUCUUCAUGUGAUAGAAAGUAUGCAAAAUAAUGAGCUAGCCAAAAGAAAGAAAUAUUUUUUUAUCAGAAACAGGUAUAAAACCAAGUUGGGUUGUUCAUCUUUACUACUCUAUUAAGAGUACAACGAAGGCGUCCACACCCCUUGCCCCCGCCUACUGCCGCCCGCGCGCCCCGCCUGCUCGCCCACAGGGCGAGGCAACGCCUCCGCCCCGACGCCCUCGUCUUACCCAUCAGCCGUGCAAUACCCACCCCCAGCCUUCGACCCAACAGAUGACGUGCGGCCGCCGCGCUGCGGCCGCCGCGCCCCGCCCGCUCGCGGCGCAUGCCCCUUGCCCCGCGUGCGUCGUCUCCCGUCACACCACCCCCUCGACCGCCUCGACGUCGGCGCGAGGCUCCAGGCCAUCGGGGACGAAUCCGGGCCAGGGCUCCCGAGCAGGCCACGGUCUACGACGAUGCCUACGAUCCCUGGACCCUGGAUGACACCGACGUGUGAGGUCCUACCCUGCCCCCACCCGCGUGUGUCGUCUCCCCUUGUGAACUUGUGAUCUAUUUUGUUUAGAUACUCUAUGAUUUGAAUUUUCCCUCUUUUUUUGUUAUUUGUCUUCCUUAACUAUAAUGAUUGUGAUAAACUUUAUUGUUGUGGAAUUUCUCAUCUAUGUUACAAGAUAGAUAUUCACCACUUUGAGGUCUGAAAUAAAACAUAAUAGCACUCCUAGGCUCACUUUGAGGUCUUAAAUAAAACAUAAUAGCACUCUUACAUGAUUACCACAUAGCUAUUUACCACUUUGAGGUUUGCAGGUCUCAGGCUCACUUUGAGAGGCUAGCAGAUUUGCUUACUUCAGAUAUUUUGAAGCCUUGUACCAAGCCAUCAAGGAGUAGGGUUGCAUCGGUCUUACUGCCAAUGAUGAUCCAUACAAUGCUAAUGAAAUGAGCCCAAGUGACCAAAGACAAAACCAUGUUUCAACAUCGAGAAAAAAGCCUAUUUCCCUCCCAAAAAGUGACAUAUGUCCCAAAAACCAUGUCUCCACUUUUCCCUCUUAUUGGUUGAUGCCUGACAUAUGUCCUGUUCAAACACAGUUUAUCACAUUUUUCCAUGCACAAAAAAUUAUUUUUCAAGAAAGAGACUAAGAGAGAAUGACGAUGAUAUGAUCCCAAGUCUUAAUUCAUGGUUCACCUGUAGUUCAACAAAUGACAAUGCAACAACUAACAGAGGGACAAUGCAACAACAAUUAGUGGGAGCCAGUUUCUCAUCCUAAAUUAUGUUGAGCACUAUUGAAGAAAAACGAAAAGUAUCAUAGUAAUCUGUCUAAAGCCAAUAAUAUAGUAAAAAAUGACAGUAAAGAAAUAUGGAUAGUGAAACAAAAAAAUGUUAGCGUUAUACACCCUCCUCCUAAUUAUAAGUCGUUUUAGCUUUUCUAGAUACAUAAAGGACUUAUAGUUUGGGCUGCAACAGGAGAGUGUAUAGCAAAAAAUAUCAAUAUUGUGCAACACAUGUAGAUACAACAUUAGGAAUCUUAUAUAAACUGACCAACAAAUUGUAAGAUGCAAGACCAGAGCGAUCCAUGGACAAAUGAAGGAGAGUCAAAAUAUUGAAUUAAUAUGAGUUAGUCUCAUUUAAUAGAUCUUUGACGGACUAAAGACUAAAACAGUUUAGUCCCUGUUUUAUUGCAACUUAUUUGCCAAUUUAGCUACUAAAUAAAACUAAAAUGAAUGAAUUAAUUUUUAGUCCCUAAAACCAAACGGAACGUGGAAUACUGCUAUUAAGAUCUCCAUCAUGAUCGUGACAAAGGUAAGAGCUGUGGUUGAGAAGAGCUUGAACUUUGUCGUGGUUCAGUUUGAUUUUUAACUUUUUCGUGCAGAAUACUCGAGUGGAGCCGUGAGGGUGGGGUGGGCUCUGAGAAAGGCAGAACUCCAGAGGGCAAAAGUGACAUUUCGCAUGGGGUUGUGUGGUCCGUAUCCUUGACCAUGGCUUCAACGUUUGUCGUCUCGUACACUUUCCCCUCUCUCCGGGGGCGGCGGGCACCGCAUUGACGGACCUCACCCUGUUGUGCUGCCCCGAUCACCUCGUCGACUGCACGGCCCCCUUUUGCCACCGGCGUUUGUCACUCAACACAUCUAACAAUCCCAACACCCGUUCCACAAUUCCACCGUCAUCAUCGAAGAAGUUCCCCGAAGCCACAGGGCUAAGCCCUCGCCCAACGGCAAAGGUGUCUCUCCGACGAGAGAUUCCGGUCUGGAGCUGAGCAAGUCGCCUCCGCCGCCGCCCGCUCCAUGGUGGACUAAUCCUUCGGUGCCGGCGACCGGAGACCAUAGCUGGCUGAUCCUCGACCGCAUCGUCCACCGCAGUCGGAAGCAGUGUGGGGACGCUACGACCUCGGUGCUCGCCCACGAGUGCGUCGGCCGGCCGAUCCGUGCCUCCCUCCGGAUCGCGGACCCCCCCGCGGUGUCCCGUCUCUACGUCCACUGGACCAGCAUUCCAGCCAUUGACCACCACGACUCCAUUCUAUUCCGGGUGUCUGUCCCCUUCGACGAUCCCACUUUCUGAAGCCAAAUUGUCUACUUUCCUGAUGACUACUUUGUCUACUCGUGCUCCUCGUCGCCGUCGUCCCUUACUAGGCUUCCCCCUUGCUUCACCCGGGUUCCCCCUUGCUUCGGCGGUGGACGCACCGACCCUGAGUUGGAUAAGUGGUUACAACCGCACCGGCGCCAGCAACAACGGACCAUGAUUGAAGAAGACAUGGGCAUCCUCUGCCAUGGAGACAAGGGUGAAUUCACGGUGGCAGAUCUCACAUAUCGUUUCAACCAGGAGAUCAAACUCUGCUUGCUACAUCAUCCACUUUUGCCUCUGAUGCUGAAAUGAAAUGGAGUGUUGAGAAGCUACAGAUCCCUGCCGACAUGAAGAUCAACCUCUACUCGUUUAAGACUGAUGUCGUCAUCACCAUCGGCGAGAGGUGCUUGUGCUGGGUUGACUACUACCAUGGUAUGUUGCUCAUUGAUGUCCUCACUGACAGCAACAGCAACAGCAGGCUCCGUUAUAUACCACUCACAUCUAAGGCUUUGAAGACUGAUCGUGUGUACAAGGACGGUAAACCUGAUCCGUUUCGGCGUCUCAGUGUCUGUGAUGGUGGUAUCAUUAAGCUAGUCUGCAUUAUUACUAAAAAGCACCCUUCUCCUUAUCCCUUCACCAUAGCAACAUGGACUUUGGUUGAUAUCUACCAAGGUAGAUGGGAGAAGGAUGUCAACUUGACCAUGGGAGCCAGCGAGUUCUUCAAUCUUUAAGACGACGCUGCCAAGAGUUGCCUCCCACGAGCAAAGUAACUAUUUUAAGAAUGAAUAUGCCAAAUUCAACUGGUUGUGCAAAGUGCUGCAUGCAAAAAACAAUGGCAUAGAUAAACUAAAUACAUGAGGAGAUGCAGUGAUACCUUUUGAUGGCGUCUUCACUCAAGUAAGAGAACUUGUUGGCAAUGAAGUCAUGAAAAAUGAAAUAGUUCUUGCAGUCCCUUUUAGGAGGGUAUCCUUCUUCUUCGUUGAUAUAGAUGGAACUUAACAGUAGCAACUUAUUUCGCAUGUUGACUUGAACCAUCCAGAAAGGAUCGCGGAACUUGUCCUCGAGGAGGAAGCAAAUGACAUCUGGAUCAACCAAGCUCACCACAGGAAAACUUGGCCUCACUCGUGGGAGGCAACUCUUGGCAGCGUCGUCGUAAAGAUUGAAUAACUCGCUGGCUCCCAUGGUCAAGUUGACAUCCUUCUCCCAUCUACCUUGGUGGAUAUCAACCAAAGUCCAUGUUGCUAUGGUGAAGGGAUAAAAAAGAAGGGUGUUCUUUAGUAAUAAUGCAGACGAGCUUAAUGAUGCCACCAUCACAGACACUGAGACGUCGAAACGGAUCUGGUUCACCGUCCUUGUACACACGGCCAGUCUUUAAAGCCUUAGAUGGAAGUGGUAUAUUACGGAGCCUGUUGUUGCUGUCAGUGAGGACAUCAAUCAGCAGCAUAUCAUGGUAGUAGUCAACCUAGCACAAGAACCUCUCGCCGAUGAUGACGACGGCAUCAGUCUUAAACGAGUAGAGGUUGAUCUUCAUGUUAGGAGGGAUCUGCAGCUUCUCAACACUCCAUUUCAUUUCAGCAUCAGAUGCAGAAGGGGGAUGGUGCAACAAGCAGAGUUGGACCUCUUGGUUGAAACGGUAUGUGAGAUUUGCCACCGUGAAUUCACCCUUGUCUCCAUGGCAGAGGAUUUCCAUGUCUUCUUCAAUCAUGGUCCGCUGUUGCUGGCGCCGGUGCGGUUGUAACCACUUAUCGAACUCGGGGUCGGUGCGUCCACCGCCGAAGCAAAGGGGAACCCGGGUGAAGCAAGUGGGAAGCCUAGUAAGGGACGGCAGCGACAAGGAGCACGAGUAGACAAAGUAGUCAUCAGGAAAGUAGACCGUUUGGCUCUAGAAACAGGGAUCGUCGAAGAGGACAGACACCCGGAAUAGAAUGGAGUUGUGGUGGGCGGCGAUGGCAACAGGCUCCUUCAUGCAGUCAAUGGCUGCAAUACUGGUCCAGUGGACGUAGAGACGGGACACCGCGGGGGGUCCGCAAUCCGGAGGGAGGCACGGAUCGGCCGGCCGACGCACUCGUGGGCGAGCGCCGAGGUCGUAGCGUCCCCGCACCACUUCCGACUGCGGUGGACGAUGCGGUCGAGGAUCAGCCAACUAUGGUCUCCGAUCGCCGACACCGAAGGAUCAGUCCACCAUGGAGCCGAUGGCGGAGGAGGCGACUUGCUCAGCUCCAGACCGGAAUGCCUCGUCGGAGAGACACCUUUGUCGUUGGGCGAGGGCUUAGCUCUGCAGCUUCGGGAACCUCCUUCGAUGAUGGCGUGGAAUUGUGGAACGGAUGUUGGAAUUGUUAGAUGUGUUGAGUGGCAAACGUCGGUGGCAAAAGAGGUCAUGCAGUCGACGGGGUGAUCAGGUCAGCACGGCAGGGUGGGGUCCAUCAAUGCGGUGUCCGCCGCCCCCGGAGAGAGGGGAAAGUGCACGAGACGACAAACACUGAAGCCACGGUCAAGGAUACGGACCACACAUCCCCAUGCGAAAUGCCACUUUUGCCCUCUGGAGUUCUGCCUUUCUCAGAGCCCACCCCACCCCCAUGGCCUCACUCGAGUAUUCUGCACGAAAAAGUUAAAAAACAAACUGCACCACGGCAAAGUUCAAGCUCUUUUCAACCAUAGCUCCGGCCCUUGUCACGAUCAUGAUGGAGAUCUUAAUAGCAGUAUUUCACGUUCUGUUUGGUUUUAGGGACUAAAAAUUAAUUCAUUCAUUUUAGUUUUAUUUAGUAGCUAAAUUGGCAAAUAGGUUGCAAUAAAACAGGGACUAAACUAUUUUAGUCUUUAGUCCUUCAAAGAGUGAUUAAAUGAAACUAACUCAUAUUAAUUCCAUAUUUUGCCUCUCCUUCAUUUGUCCAUGGAUCACUCUGGUCUUGCAUCUUACAAUCUGUUGGUCAGUUUAUAUAAGAUUCCUAAUGUUGUAUCUACAUGUGUUGCACAAUAUUGAUAUUUUUUGCUAUGCACUCUCAUGUUCCAGUCCAAACUAUAAGUCCUUUAUGUAUCUAAAAAAGCUAAAACGACUUAUAAUUAGAAGGAGGGUGUAUAACACUAACAUUUUCUUGUUUCACUAUCCAUAUUUCUUUACUGUCAUUUUUUACUGUGUAAUUGGCUUUAAACAGAUUACCAUGACACUUAUCGUUUUUCUCUAACAGUGCUCAGCAGAAUUUAGGAUGAGAAACUGGCUCCCACUAAUAGUUGUUGCAUUGUCCCCCUGUUAGUUGUUGCAUUGUCAUUUGUUCAACUACAAGUGAACCAUGAAAUUAAAAAGAUGUUCUGUUGGUCAGGCCUGAAAACUGAUGUGGAAUUAUUUGUGAAACAAUGUGCGGUUUGUCAGCAAGCCAAAAGUCCCAAGCAGUAUCCUUCUGGGUUACUUCACCCAUUGCCUGUGCCAGCAGGAGCUUGGCAAGACUUAACUAUGGAUUUUAUUGAGAAGUUACCCCGGUCAGAAGGAUAUGAUACUAUUUUGGUGGUGGUAGAUCGAUUCACCAAGUAUGCUCACUUCUUUCCCUUAAAGCACCCUUUCACUGCUCAGGGAGUGGCCCAAAUCAUGGUAGAUUCAGUAAUCAAGCUGCAUGGGGUGCCCAAAACAGUGGUAUCUGAUAGGGACAAGAUUUUUACAAGUGUUUUUUGGGAACAUUUGUUCAAGCUCUUGGAUAUUAAGCUUGCUUUAAGCACAACCUAUCACCCUCAGACAGAUGGGCAGAGUGAGCGAGUUAAUCAGUGUUUGGAGAUGUAUCUCAGAUGUGCUGUCCACUCCAACCCUCAGAAAUGGAAGUCUUGGCUAUCUUUAGCCGAAUUGUGGUAUAAUACCACUUUCCACUCAUCAUUGGGUUGUUCACCUUUCCAGGCCCUUUAUGGCUAUGAAGCAUUUGUUCUUGGCAUUCCUUUAGUCACAGGGCAGGAGGAUAAGGGAGCUGUCCAGUUUGUCCAGCACAGAGCUGAGCAUAUUGAGAUGUUGAAGGCCAAUUUGGCUAGAGCUCAACAGAGGUAUAAACAUUUUGCAGAUAAGAAGAGGGUUCCCAGGGAGUUUCAGGUCGGGGAACAUGUUUUGCUCAAGCUCCAGCCUUAUGCUCAAAAUUCUAUGGUCAAUAGACCUUGUCCCGAAUUCGCAUUCAAGUAUUUUGGGCCUUACACAGUGACUGAGAAAAUUGGGCCAGCUGCUUAUCGUUUGGCUCUUCCACCAGAAGCUCAGAUCCACCCUGUCUUCCAUGUUUCCCAACUCAAACCAUUUGUUCCAAAUUAUACUCCCGGUCUUUGAUACUCUUCCUCAACCAAUGGAUUUGGACAGGGGACCUCUGGCUACGGUAGAGAUCCUGGAUCGCAGUAUGGUCAAGAAAGGCAACGCGGCUACGGUCCAAGUGUUACUCAGAUGGUCUAGGUUACCAUCAUCAUGUGCUACUUGGGAGGAUUUUACUGUGGCCAAGAACAGAUUUUCAAAGGCCCUUGCUUGGGGUCAAGCAAGCUCUCAAGGGGGGCGGAUUGUCACAACCCUACCAAGAAUGCAUAGAUUCAGACAAGGUAACAAGAGGGCAAGAAGGAGGAUAGAGGGGAUAGAGUAAUACAGCUGUAAGCUGCUGGCAUCUAGCUAUAAUAACUGAUUAGAUCUGUCAUCUAGCUGUUAAUCCAGCUGUAAUAACUGAUUAGCAGUUAGAGUCACUUGGUGCUGCUAUAAAUCUGAGCAUUUGUAAUGGAGAAGACAUGAAAUGAAAUAAAACAGAAAUCAAGCUCCACCACAUACCCGUGUGAUUUAGCGUUCUUGUUUGAUUCGGCUAAGGGGGAGACCUCACGUCGGAUGAACCCUAGGGAGAGGGAAAGCCAUACCUGGGCACAGAUUCAAGGGUGGACGAAACCCUAGACCAGGGUUCCUCACAGGGAGAUCAGGAGAUGGCCACUGGGCUGACGCUUGCGGAAAUGGUGCUUGGGGAGAUGGCCGCUGGGCGCCUGGGGAGAUCCGGAGAUGGCCGCUGGGCGCCUGCCUGGGCGUGCGCGCCAGCGCGGUGCGCAUCGUGGGCGUGGGCGCGUGGCCCGACAGGCAGGGCCGCUGGCCGCUGGCCGCUGGCCGCUGGGCGUGCGCGAGCGCGCCUGGGGAGAUGGCCGCUCGCCGCUGGGCGCCUGGGGAGAUGGCCGCUGCCCGCUGGGCGCCUGGGCGGCCGCAGCGGUGCGCAUCGUGGCGUGGGCUAGUGGUGGCUGGCGGAGACCGGAGAAGACGAAUGGAUGGGCAGGAUGGCGGCGGCCGACGCCUCGGGAGUCGAGGAGAAAAUUGGAGACGGAAGAGGUGGGAACCCUAAACGGCUACAACUAAUUAAAUGGAGGCCGAGUUUUAGUUUUAAGUAGUGGUGCUUUAAGUAUAUUAGAGAUUAGAGAUAUAUAUUAUAUAGUUACAAAGAAAAAGAUAAAUAUAUUAAAAGUCCUUCUAUUUAUUGUGCCGAGUUUUAGUUUUAAGUUUUGGGUCUAAGUUUUGAAUACCAAUCUCCUAUUGUAAUUAUUCAUUCCCUUUAGAGAGGUAUACUUUACAAAGGAAUAAAAUCAUUAUUAGAAGUCAUUUUAUCUCAAAUCAUUUGAAGAAUUCUUUAAAUCACCAAAAUGAGAUUUUGGGUUUAUCUCUACUAACUAUUAAGUGAUUAGUGUAGACUGCCCCCGCUCCCGGCUCCACCCGCCCGCCCGACCGACCUUCGGAAACCUCGCCGCGCUUCCAACCGCCUCCUCAAACAACGCCGGGAACGCCGCAAACCCCGCCGCACGCAGCUCCUCUGUCGCCUCCACCGCACACAGCAUGCGCGCUCCUUCCCCGCUCUGUUCUCGUCCCCGCGUCGCUCAGAUCAGCUCUGGCUCCUCGCCACGCGCGCCCUCGGACCUCGACCCAUGGCGCGUCGAUCUGCCCGCGGCCCCGAGACCCUGCCCCGGCUCCCGACUCCUCUCCCUUCCCUACAUCGUGCUUCCACAAUAUCGCGCGCGGGGCCACGACAACGUCGUCAUCGCGGUGCCACACCAUCGCCGCGGGCCCCAACAUCGCCACAUCGUCGCCUCCGCUUUCCCGGUGUCGAUCGUGGUCGCCACCUCUACCAACAAAUGCCUCCAUUGCGUCGAGCUCUCAGCAUGGUCGCGCCAUGAAUUCCUCAACUCGCCAUGGGUCCGCGUGCGGGAGCUCCUCAACCAACUCUGCCAUCCCACCGCCCCCAUUGCGAUCCGCCAACCCAGCUCGAUCCCACGCGCCCCCCUUAAAAGCGGCGGCGCACACCCGUGUCUCCCUCACGCCCAACCACCCCCACCCUCGCCCUAGCCCCGAACCCUCCUGGCGGCGGCCCCGCACGUGCAGGCGCGCGACAUCCUAUCAGGAGGCGAGGGGGCUCUGAUGACCACCAGUGCCAACCUGAUGAACCAUCCGCCUCACCGCCUCGCUCCCCGUCAUGAAUAGGGUUCUGUCAUAUAUGUGCUCGAUUGGUCCAGGAACUCUGAGUCCCGCUUCCAGUUCAUUGUCAUGAAUACGCGCAACACUGGUACAUCGGCGAUCACUGCUCGGAUCGGUCACCCGCGGCGCCUAGACAGGAAUUCAAAUCACUACGCUAUUGUUGCAGAUGCCUUACAAUCUCUUUUGGUAAUGUGGAUUCUAUUUUCAUCCAUCUGUUUCUUAUUUAUUUCUUGUUAUAUAGGCUCGAUUAGCAUCCAGAUUCAGCGUUUGGCAUGGCAUGACUAUUCCUUAAAUAUUGCAAAUGAUCAUCUUCUUCGAAAUAUAAAAAGAAUGGUACCAUUUGUACCUACGGUAUUCGCCAUUGCUUUGACUGAAAACAAAAGUCUAUUUGUGUUAUGCGCUCAAACAUAUGUACACAAUAGACGUGCAUUACAUGUUCUAUAUAUCAGAUGCAUAUAAACUACUCCAUUUGUUUCUGCAGCUUGCCGAUUCAAAUUCCAAGGAUAUGAAGAGCAAGACAAAGGAGUGAAAUGACUUAAUCAAGCCAGACAUAGUAAGUUUUUGUGUUCACUGGUUCCCAUGAGGAUUAUGUAAUAAUUAUAGCUUUUAGUUUUCUUCUAUUACAUUAUGGGCACUAACAUUUACUACCAGGCAAAUAAUGCUUUUCAUAUUUAUAGCUGUUGAAACGAAAUUAAUUGGUUAAAGUUAAGGAUUUCUACUUGUUCAUGAUAUCUUGAGGUUCCUCUGGCUCUAGAUGUUUAAGAAAUUUAAGUAAUAUACACCAAUUUCAUGAGUACUGAAAGUCGCCUAGAGGGGGGGGUGAAUAGGCAAAUCUGAAAUUUAUAAAGUUUAAGCACAGCUACAAGCCGGGGUUAGCGUUAGAAAUAAAGUCGAGUCCAAAAGAGAGGGCCAAAACAAAUCAUAAGCAAAUAAAGUGGAUAACACGGUGAUUUGUUUUACCGAGGUUCGGUUCUUGCAAACCUACUCCCCGUUGAGGUGGUCACAAAGACCGGGUCUCUUUCAACCCUUUCCCUCUCCCAAACGGUCACCUAGACCGAGUGAGCUUUUCUCUUCAAUCAAACGGGACACUUAGUCCACUACAAGGACCACAACAACUUGGUGUCUCUUGCUUUGAUUACAAGUGAGUUGAGAACAAGAAUGGAGGAAGAAGAAAAGCGAUCCAAGCGCAAGAGCUCAAAAGAACACGGCAAAACUCUCUCUUCUAGUCACUAUUGCUUUGAGUGGAAUUGGGACUUGGAGAGAUUUUGAUUCACUCUAUUUGUGUCUUGUAUUGAAUGCACUAGCUCUUGUAUUGAAUGUGUUGGCUGAAAACUUGGAUGCAAUGAAGUUUGGUAGUUGGGGGUAUUUAUAGCCCCAACCACCAAAGGGCCGUUGGUGAAGGCUGCUGUUGAAGGGCGCAUCAGACAGUUCGGUGUGCCACCGGACACUGUCCGAUGCGCCAACCACGUCACCCAGCUGUUGGGGUUCGACCGUUGGAGCUCUGACAUGUGGGGCCACCGGACAGUCCGGUGGUGCAUCGGACAGUCACUGUUCACUGUCUGGUGCGCCAUCUGCGCCUGCUCUGACUUCUGCGCGCGCAGUCCGCGCACUGUAGCUCACUGUUCACCUUUUGCAGACGACCGUUGGUGCUGUAGCCGUUACUCCGCUUGGCACACCAGACAGUCCAGUGAAUUAUAGCGGAGGGCAAUUCCAGAAACCUGAAGGUGGCAAGUUCGGAGUGAUUCUCCGUGGUGCACCGGACACUGUCCGGUGGCACACUGGACAGUCCGGUGCGCCAGACCAGGGCAGCCUUCGGUUGUCUUUUGCUCUUUUUAUUUGAACCCUUUCUUGGACUUUUUAUUGGUUUGUGUUGAACCUUUGGCACCUGUAGAACUUAUAAUCUAGAGCAAACAGUUAGUUCAAUUAUUUGUGUUGGGCAAUUCAACCACCAAAAUCAUUUAGGAAAAGGUUUUAGCCUAUUUCCCUUUCAAUCUCCCCCUUUUUAGUGAUUGAUGCCAACACAAACCAAAGCAAAUAUAUAAGUGUAGAAUUGAACUAGUUUGCAUAAGGUAAGUGUAAUGGAAUUAAACCAAUUUAUACAUUCAAAGGAUAUGCAUGGAUUGCUUUAUUUAUUUUAACAUUUUGGACCACGCUUGCACCACUUGUUUUGUUUUUGCAAAUGUUUUGGAAAUUCUUUUUCAAAGUCUUUUGCAAAUAGUCAAAGGUAUAUGAAUAAGAUUUUGAGAAGCAUUUUCAAGAUUUGAAAUUUUCUCCCUCUAUUUCAAAUGCUUUUCCUUUGACUAAACAAAACUCCCCCUCAAUGAAAUUCUCCUCUUAAUGUUCAAGAGGGUUUUAGAUAUUAAUUUUGGAAGAGGUCAUACCAAUUUGAAAUUAUAUAAAAAAUAAGAUACCAGUUGAGAAACUUCUUUAAUACAAAUUGAAAAGACUAUAUUUUUGAAAUUGGUGGUGGUGCGGUCCUUUUGCUUUGGGCUAAUACUCUCUCCCCCUUUGUCAUAAAUCGCCAAAAACGGAUACUUGUGAGUGAAAUAUAAGCCCUUUUACUUUAUCUCCCCCUUUGGCAAAUAAUAUAUGAGUGAAGAUUAUACCAAAUUGGAGAGCGGUGCGGAGUGACGACGAAGGAUAAAUAAGUCAAUGGAGUGGAGUGGAAGCCUUGUCUUCGCCGAGGACUCCAUUUCCCUUUCAAUCUAUGACUUAGCAUGAAAUACACUCGAAAACUGCAUUAUCAUAACACAUGAAAGAGAGAUGAUCAAAGGUACAUAAAUGAGCUAUGUGUGCAAAACAUCAAUCAAAAUUCCUAGAAUCAAGAAUGUUUAGCUCAUGCCUAAGUUUGGUAAAAGUUUUCUCAUCUAAUGGCUUGGUAAAGAUAUCGGCUAAUUGUUCUUUGGUGCUAACAUAAGCAAUCUCGAUAUCCCUCCUUUGUUGGUGAUCCCUCAAAAAGUGAUACCAAAUGGCUAUGUGCUUAGUGCGGCUGUGCUCAACGGGAUUAUCCGCCAUGCGGAUUGCACUCUCAUUAUCACAUAGGAGAGGAACUUUGGUUAAUUUGUAACCAUAGUCCCUAAGGGUUUGCCUCAUCCAAAGCAAUUGCACGCAACAAUGACCUGCAGCAAUGUACUCGGCUUCGACGGUUGAAAGAGCUACUGAGUUUUGUUUCUUUGAAGCCCAAGACACCAGGGAUCUUCCCAAGAACUGAUAAGUCCCUGAUGUGCUCUUUCUAUCAAUCUUACACCCUGCCCAAUCAGCAUCUGAAUAUCCAAUUAAAUCAAAAGUGGAUCCCUUGGGGUACCAAAGACCAAACUUAGGUGUAUGAACUAAAUAUCUCAAGAUUCGUUUUACGGCCCUAAGGUGAACUUCCUUAGGAUCGGCUUGGAAUCUUGCACACAUGCAUACGGAAAGCAUAAUAUCCGGUCGAGAUGCACAUAAAUAGAGUAAAGAUCCUAUCAUCGACCGAUAUACCUUUUGAUCUACGGAUUUACCUCCCGUGUCGAGGUCGAGAUGCCCAUUGGUUCCCAUGGGUGUCUUGAUGGGCUUGGCAUCCUUCAUCCCAAACUUGGUGAGUAUGUCUUGAGUGUACUUCGUUUGGCUGAUGAAGGUGCCCUCUUGGAGUUGCUUCACUUGAAAUCCUAGGAAGUACUUCAACUCCCCCAUCAUUGACAUCUCGAAUUUUUGUACCAUUAUCUUAUUAAACUCUUCACAAGUGGAUUUGUUAGUAGACCCAAAUAUGAUAUCAUCAACAUAAAUUUGGCAUACAAACAAAUCAUUUGCAAUAGUUUUAGUAAAGAGAGUAGGAUCGGGUUUUCCGAAUUUGAAGCCAUUUGUGAUAAGAAAAUCUCUUAGGCAUUCAUACCAUGCUCUUGGGGCUUGCUUGAGUCCAUAAAGCGCCUUAGAGAGUUUAUACACAUGGUUAGGAUACUCACUAUCUUCAAAGCUGGGAGGUUGCUCAACAUAGACCUCCUCCUUGAUUGGUCCAUUGAGGAAAGCACUUUUCACGUCCAUUUGAUAGAGCUUAAAACCAUGGUAAGUAGCAUAGGCAAGUAAUAUACGAAUUGACUCAAGCCUAGCUACGGGUGCAUUGGUUUCACCUAAAUCCAAACCUUCGACUUGUGAAUAUCCCUUGGCCACAAGUAGGGCUUUGUUCCUUGUCACCACACCAUGCUUAUCUUGCUUGUUGCGGAAGACCCACUUGGUUCCUACAACAUUUUGAUUAGGACAUGGAACUAAAUACCAUACCUCAUUCCUCGUGAAGUUGUUGAGUUCCUCUUGCAUUGCCAACACCCAGUCCGAAUCCCUUAAUGCAUCUUCUACCCUGUAUGGCUCAAUAGAAGACACAAAGGAGUAAUGUUCACAAAAAUGAGCAACACGAGAUCAAGUGGUUACCCCCUUAUGAAUAUCGCCGAGGAUGGAGUUCACGGGAUGAUCUCGUUGUAUUGCUUGGUGGACUCUUGGGUGUCGCGGUCUCUCAUCAUCUUCCUUGUUUUGAUCAUUGGCAUCUCCCCCUUGACCAUUGUCCUCCUCUUGAGGUGGCUCUUCUUUAUCUUCAUUUUCAUCAUCUUGAGCUUGAUCCUCAUCUUGGGUUGGUGGGGAUGCUUGAUUUGAAGAUGAUGGUUUAUCUUGUUUAUGUGGAGGCUCUUCGGAUUCCUUAGGACACACAUCCCUAAUGGCACAUGUUCCUUAGUGCGACGCAUGGAGCCUCUUCAUCAUCUAGCUCAUCAAGAUCAACUUGCUCCAUUUGGGAGCCAUUAGUCUCAUCAAACACAAUGUCACAAGAAACUUCAACUAGUCCAGUGGACUUGUUAAAGACUCUAUAUGCCCUUGUGUUUGAAUCAUAUCCUAGUAAAAAGCCUUCUACAACCUUAGGAGCAAAUUUAGAUUUUCUACCUCUUUUAACAAGAAUAAAGCAUUUGCUACCAAAGACUCUAAAAUAUGAAACAUUGGGCUUUUUACCGGUUAGGAGUUCAUAUGAUGUCUUCUUGAGGAUUCGGUGAAGGUAGAGACGGUUGAUGGCAUAGCAAGCGGUGUUGAUUGCUUCCGCCCAAAACCGGUCUGAAGUCUUGUACCCAUCAAGCAUGGUCCUCGCCAUGUCAAGUAGAUUUCUGUUCUUCCUCUCCACUACACCAUUUUGUUGUGGCGUGUAUGGAGAAGAGAACUCAUGCUUGAUGCCCUCGUCCUCAAGAAAGCCUUCUAUUUGUGAGUUCUUGAACUCCGUUCCGUUGUCGCUUCUAAUCUUUUUGAUCCUUAAGCCGAACUCAUUUUGAGCCCGUCUCAACAAUCCCUUUAAAGUCUCCUGGGUUUGGGAUUUAUCCUGCAAAAAGAACACCCAAGUGAAGCGAGAAUAAUCAUCCACAAUAACUAGACAGUACUUACUCCCGCCGAUGCUUAUGUAAGCUAUCGGGCCGAAUAGGUCCAUGUGGAGUAGCUCAAGUGGCCUGUUAGUCGUCAUGAUGUUCUUGUGUGGAUGAUGACCACCAACUUGCUUCCCUGCUUGACAUGCGCUACAAAUCCUGUCUUUCUCAAAAUGAACAUUUGUUAGUCCUAAAAUGUGCUCUCCCUUUAGAAGCUUAUGAAGAUUCUUCAUCCCAACGUGGGCUAGUCGGCGAUGCCAGAGCCAACCCAUGUUAGUCUUAGCAAUUAAGCAAGUGUCGAGUUCAACUCUAUUAAAAUCAACUUAGUAUAGUUGACCCUCUAACACUCCCUUAAAUGCUACAUAAUCAUCACUUCUUCUAAAGACAGUAACACCUAUAUCUGUAAAAAGACAAUUGUAGCCCAUUUUACAUAAUUGAGAAACUGAAAGCAAGUUAUAAUCUAAAGAAUCUACAAGAAAAACAUUGAAAAUAGAAUGGUCAGGUGAUAUAGCAAUUUUACCAAGUCCUUUGACCAAACCUUGAUUUCCAUCCUCGAAUGUGAUAGCUCUUUGGGGAUCAUGGUUUUUCUCAUAGGAGGAGAACAUCCUUUUCUCCUCAGUCAUGUGGUUUGUGCACCCACUAUCAAUUAUCCAACUUGAGCCCCCGGAUGCAUAAACCUACAAAACAAAUUUAGGCCUUGUUCUUAGGUACCCAAACGAUCUUGGGUCCUUUCACAUUAGAAACAAGCACCUUGGAUACCCAAACACAAGUCUUUAAACCCUUGUGUUUGGCCCCAACAUAUUUGGCAACUACUUUGCCUGAUUUGUUAGUUAAAACAUAUGAAGCAUCAAAAGUCUUAAAUGAAAUGUUAUGAUUAUUUGAUGCAAUAGGAGAUUUUAGGCAAUUUAACAUGGGUUGAUUGCCUAGAGCUAGAUGCCUCACUCUUAUACAUAAAAGCAUGAUGAGAGCCAGAGUGAGACUUCCUAGAGUGAAUUCUCCUAAUCUUGUGCUCGGGAUAACCAGCAGGAUAUAAAAUGUAACCCUCGUUAUCCUGAGCCAUGGGAGCUUUGCCCUUAAUAAAGUUAGACAAUUUCUUAGGGGCAUUAAGCUUGACAUUGUCUCCCUGUUGGAAGCCAAUGCCAUCCUUAAUGUCAGGGCGUCUCCCACUAUAGAGCAUGCUUCUAGCAAAUUUAAAAUUUUCAUUUUCUAAGUCAUGCUCAUUAAUCUUAGCACUAAGUUGAGCUAUGUGAUCAUUUUGUUGUUUAAUUAAAGCUAGGUGAUCAUGGAUAGCAUCAACGUUAAUGUCUCUACAUCUAGUACAAAUAGUGACAUGAUCAACACUAGAUGUAGAGGGUUUGCAUGCAUUUAAUUCAUCAAUCUUAGCAUGUAAAAUAGCAUUUUCAUUCUUAAGAUUGGAAAUAGAAACAUUGCAAACAUUUAAAUCUUUAGCCUUAGCAAUUAAUUUUUCAUUCUCAAUUUUAAGGCUAGAGAGAGAUGCAUUCAACUUGUCAAUCUUAGUUAUCAUACUAGCAUUAUCAUUUCUAAGACUAACAAUUGAAUCAUCACAAUCAUCUAACUUCUCAACCUUAGCAAUCAAUUUAGCAUUUUCACAUCUAAGGUUGGAAAUAGUGUCAUGGCAAGUGCUAAGCUCACUAGUCAAUUUUUCACAUUUUUCUACUUCUUGAGCAUAAGCAUUUUUAACCUUAACAUGCUUCUUAUUUUCUUUAAUUAGGAAGUCCUCUUUGCUAUCCAAGAGUUCAUCCUUCUCAUGAAUGGCUCCUAUCAAUUCAUUUAGUUUUUCUUUUUGUUGCAUGUUGAGGUUGGCAAAAAGGGCAAGUAAAUUAUCCUCAUCAUCACUAGAGUUCUCCUCAUCACUAGAUGUUGCAUAUUUAGUGGAGGCUCUAGAUUUUACCUUCUUUUUGACGUCCCUUGCCAUGAGGCACUUUUGGCCGACGUUGGGGAAGAGGAGACCUUUGUUGACGGCGAUGUUUGUGGCAUCCUCAUCGGAGGAGGAGUCGGUGGAGCUCUCAUGGAGUCCCACUCCCGACAAACAUGGGCAUCGCCGCCCUUCUUCUUGUAGUAUCUCUUCUUUUCCCUCCUCUUUCCCUUCUUGUCGUCGCCACUGUCACUAUCACUUGAUAAUGGACAUUUAGCAAUGAAAUGACCGGGCUUACCACACUUGUAGCAUACUUUCUUGGAACGGGGCUUGUAAUCUUUCCCCUUCCUUUGCUUGAGGAUUUGGCGAAAGCUUUUGAUGAUUAAAGCCAUCUCCUCAUUGUCGAGCUUGGAGGCGUCGAUGGGGAGCCUACUUGACGUAGACUCUUCUUUCUUUUCUUCCGUCGCUUUGAAUGCGACGGGUUGCACCUCGGGUGUGGAGGUGGCGCCUCGUUCGAUGAUUUGUUUGGAGCCUUUGAUCAUUAGCUCAAAGCUCACAAACUUUCCUAUCACUUCCUUGGGAGACAUUAGUUUAUAUCUCGGAUCACCACGAAUUAAUUGAACUUGAGUAGGGUUAAGAAAAAAAGUGAUCUAAGAAUAACCUUGACCAUUUCAUGGUCAUCCCAUUUGGUGCUCCCGAGGUUACGCACUUGGUUCACCAAGGUCUUGAGCCGGUUGUACAUCGCUUGUGGCUCCUCCCCUUGAUGAAGCAUGAAGCGACCGAGCUCCCCCUCGAUCGUUUCCCUUUUGGUGAUCUUGGUCACCUCGUCUCCUUCGUGCACGGUCUUUAGCACUUCCCAAAUCUCUUUAGCACUCUUCAACCCUUGCACCUUAUUAUACUCCUCUCGACUUAGAGAGGCAAGGAGUAUAGUAGUGGCUUGGGAGUUGAAGUGCCGGAUUUGGGCUACCUCAUCCGAGUCAUAGCCUUCAUCCCCCAUGGAUGGUUCCUGCGCACCAAACUCAACAAUGUCCCAAAUGCUAGCAUGGAGUGAGGUUAGAUGGUGCCUCAUUUUAUCACUCCACAUACAAUAAUCUUCAUCGUCAAAAACUGGUGGUUUGCCUAGUGGGAUGGAAAGUAAAGGAGUGCGUUUGGAAAUACAAGGAUAGCGUAAGGGGAUCUUACUAAACUUCUUGCGCUCAUGGCGCUUAGAAGUGACGGACGGCGUGUCGGAGCCGGAGGUGGAAGGCGACGAAGAAUCGGUCUCGUAGUAGACCACUUUCUUCAUUUUCUUCUUCUUGUCGCCACUCUGGUGCGACUUGACGAGGGGAGGUGAUUCCUCUCUCUUCUUGUUGCCGGACUCUCCCUCCGGUGUGGCUUGUGGCGGGCUUCUCGCCGGUCACCAUCUCCUUCUUGGCGUGAGCUCCCGACAUAACUUCGAGCGGUUAGACUCUAAUGAAGUACCGGGUUCUGAUACCAAUUGAAAGUCGCCUAGAGGGGGGUGAAUAGGCAAAUCUGAAAUUUAUAAAGUUUAAGCACAACUACAAGCCGGUGUUAGCGUUAGAAAUAAAGUCGAGUCCAAAAGAGAGGGCCAAAACAAAUCACAAGCAAAUAAAGCGGAUGACAUAGUGAUUUGUUUUACCGAGGUUCGGUUCUUGCAAACCUACUCCCCGUUGAGGUGGUCACAAAGACCGGGUCUCUUUCGACCCUUUCCCUCUCCCAAACGAUCACCUAGACCGAGUGAGUUUUUCUCUUCAAUCAAACGGGACACUUAGUCCACUACAAGGACCACCACAACUUGGUGUCUCUUGCUCUGAUUACAAGUGAGUUGAGAACAAGAAUGGAGGAAGAAGAAAAGCGAUCCAAGCGCAAGAGCUCAAAAGAACACAACAAAACUCUCUCUUCUAGUCACUAUUGCUUUGAGUGGAAUCGGGACUUGGAGAGAUUUUGAUUUACUCUAUUUGUGUCUUGUAUUGAAUGCACUAGCUCUUGUAUUGAAUGUGUUGGCUAAAAAUUUGGAUGCAAUGAAGUUUGGUGGUUGGGGGGUAUUUAUAGCUCCAACCACCAAAGUGGCCGUUGGUGAAGGCUGCUGUCGAAGGGCGCACCGGACAGUCCGGUGCGCCAGCCACGUCACCCAGCCGUUGGGGUUCGACCGUUGGAGCUCUGACAUGUGGGGCCACUGGACAGUCACUGUUCACUGUCCGGUGCGCCAUCUGCGCCUGCUUCGACUUCUGCGCGCGCAGUCCGCGCACUGUAGCUCAUUGUUCACCUUUUGCAGACGACUGUUGGCGCUGUAGUCGUUACUCCGCUUAGCACACCGGACAGUCCAAUGAAUUAUAGCGGAGGGCAAUUCCAGAAACCCGAAGGUGGCAAGUUCGAAGUGAUUCUCCCUGGUGCACCUGACAUUGUCCGGUGGUGCACCAGACACUGUCUGGUGGCACACCGGACAGUCUGGUACGCCAGACCAGGGCAGCCUUUGGUUGUAUUUUGCUCUUUUUAUUUGAACCCUUUCUUGGACUUUUUAUUGGUUUGUGUUGAACCUUUGGCACCUGUAGAACUUAUAAUCUAGAGCAAACUAGUUAGUUCAAUUAUUUGUGUUGGGCAAUUCAACCACCAAAAUCAUUUAGGAAAAGGUUUUAGCUUAUUUCCCUUUCAAGUACACUUCACUUGCUUAUGUAAAUUUAAUGGCAUGGUAAGGAGAUAAUGAUCCAGGCCUUUCUCUUUGAUUUUUUGUUUAUUCUGUAUAGAUUAGACUUUUUUGUUAUCUAUGACAAAUAUUUCUCAUAUCUAUGUAUGUGUGUACUUAUAGUCAGGCUUAUAAUAACAACUUCAGUGGAAGCUCUAUCCUGCUGAAUACAAUAACAUACGAACACUUCUAAAGCUGUGAGUGUAACAACCUUUUCGCUCAUGUUCUCUCUUUUCAGAAUUUGAGGUAGAUGAGGGCAAAAGAAUUUAAACAGCUAUUACAACUUCUAUUAUUGAGAACAAUUUUUUAAAAUGUAGGCAUUGGUGAGUAAAAACCUAAGGUUAAAAGAAGAAUAUUUUGAAUAAAAGUGUUUGUAUUUGCUAAAUGGCUUAUGCUUUUAGUUGAGAUGGGUAGUAUAUCAAAGUUCAGGGCAUCACAUAGAUAAGAACGAAUUUGCUCUGUGUGCAACAAAAAACUCGUUUUUACACUACUCCUCUUCUAUUGCAGCCUAUAGAUGCCAAAUGGUUGGAUGCAACUGGUCCAUUUAUCUGGAAAUAUUUACAUUUAAAAAAUAUCAAAAAACAUUACAUUUAAAAUUUUAUAGGUAGUCUUCUUCCAUUCUGUGGAGAUCAUUUUCACUGAUAACUGAAACAACAAUUACUUCAUUAUAUUCAUUCAAGGACAAGCGCCACACAAUCAACAUCAUGUUUAAACCCAAAUCAAGACGUGUUGAGUAAAUCAUCCUUUUACAUGUUACCAGGAAUCUAAGGAACUACAAUUUGGGUUGUUCCAGAGUUGAGUGUCAUACCUAAAUUUGGCUACUUGUAACUCCAGAUUAAAUGCAAUGUUUCCUUUCUCAGUUUUUGGACAUCUUACAAUCAUAAAUUAUCCUUUUACAUCAACUUGCAGCCUUUCAAAAACAUAUGUUUUGCCAAUAUUAUUUCUUAAAUGCUUUUAGUAUUGUAUCUUUAUUUUAGAGUGAGAAAUCUGCUACUCAAUUCACAUCAGGAUAUUAGUUGUCAAAUAUUUUAGUACUAAUGUUGUGGGGGAUGGCGGAGGGCAUUGCGCGGCGGGGUUACACCGCUGUCACCUUCGACAUGCGCGACGUAGGCUAGUCCACAGGGCGGGUGUCGCUCACGCGCUCCAUCGAGAACAUCAAGUGAGGUGGUGUGCUGCUGCUCUAAAGAAGGGAGGAGAGGAAGUAGCGACAAGGUCGCCAAGACCACCUAGCGUGAUGUCUCCUACCAGAUCACCAAGAUCAACAUGUACAAGGUGGUCCAGUCUCGAGCACUCUCCCUGCAUGCUUCCAUUGAUUUUUUUAUUUCAUUCCAAUCGAUUUGUCGUGAUAUAUGCAAUACAGGAUGGUCGGCAUGUACAAGAUAUGCUUAAGGUGAAGUUGCAAUGCAGGAUGUGCAUAUAUUUCUUAGGCUUGAAUUUGUUUAAUCUAAAUAGAUUAUUUUUUAUCUAAUCCAAAUUUCCAAUGACUUGCCAUAUCAUUAGCAUCAGAGGCUUCGUAAAGCAGCUCUGCUGGGAUUAACGGAUUCACUGUCAAGGUCAAACAUCACUACGAUAUUGCUGAGAUGGUCCAAUCAGUGACAAUGCUGGUGGUAUUGUUGAGAUGGCUGGAAUGAGCCACAAAAUCUGAGAGAACUGAUGCUCUUGGUGCUGCUGGCAACACAACUGCUGCUAUUAGGAAGGUAGAAAUGCUUUUUAUCCAUUUGUUGGCUCAAUUUGUUCAUUUGUCACUGCCAUCAUUGGCACUAUUGGUAGGGUAUGUAUUUCUUAAUAUUUUAACAUAUGAGAAUGAACUAAUGAAGUAGUAGUAGCAGCAGAUAAUAUACAACAAAAGAACCAUUGUACUCGUCUGGUAACCUAAUUCAUCUGUAUCUCUAUUUUGCAUGAGGUUUGUUCAUCCCUCAUCAAUGCUAAUUUCAUGCUUAAACAUAUUGCAUCGUAGCUUAAUAAGGGGCGCGUGUGUGUGUAUAUAUAUUGGUAUGCAUUUCUCUUCUGUUUAACUUCAAUAGGAUGUGCUUCUCCUAAAUCAGAAAAAAGAAGCGCAUCCGAAGAAACAAUUCCUGGUUCUCCUCACCUCCCAACCCCAGAUAAUGCCACUCAUAUACUCAAUUUUGAUACAUUAAUAACACCAUAUUUUCAGUUUUUGAACAUGUGGGUUCUGAGAGAGUACUUGGAGAUUGAAUUUAAGAUUCUGGAACCAUUCUGUGAGUCUGAUAUUGAGAGGCUAAUAGAUGGCACAUUAUAGGGAAACCUAUAGCAGCUGACACGAGCAGAGUUAGGGGGGAUUAAGUUUUAGGUUUUAGGUUGUUUAUUUAGGGUACAUAGAAGCGGAAAGGAAAAGGUUGAUGCCUUUUACUUAGAUGUCAUUAAUUUGGAGCACUUCUUUUCUUGCUCUACCCAUUUCCUGUUUGUAAUUUUCGUCGGGAUUCAAAUCACUACGCUAUUGUUGCAGAUGCCUUACAAUCUCUUUUGGUAAUGUGGAUUCUAUUUUCAUCCAUCUGUUUCUUAUUUAUUUCUUGUUAUAUAGGCUCGAUUAGCAUCCAGAUUCAGCGUUUGGCAUGGCAUGACUAUUCCUUAAAUAUUGCAAAUGAUCAUCUUCUUCGAAAUAUAAAAAGAAUGGUACCAUUUGUACCUACGGUAUUCGUCAUUGCUUUGACUGAAAACAAAAGUCUAUUUGUGUUAUGUGCUCAAACAGAUGUACAUAAUAGACGUGCAUUACCUGUUAUAUAUAUCAGAUGCAUAUAAACUACUCCAUUUGUUUCUGCGGCUUGCCGAUUCAAAUUCCAAGGAGAUGAAGAGCAAGACAAAGGAGUGAAAUGACAUAAUCAAGCCAGACAUAGUAAGUUUUUGUGUUCACUGGUUCUCAUGAGGAUUAUGUAAUAAUUAUAGCUUUUAGUUUUCUCCUAUUACAUUAUGGGCACUAACAUUUACUACCAGGCAAAUAAUGCUUUUCAUGUUUAUAGCUGUUGAAACAAAAUUAGUUGGUUAAAGUGGGCCCUUUUUAUCAACAGAAACUAGAGCAGCUACAAUAAGCAGCUAGACAUAGGCAUGAGGUACAAAUCAUAUUAUUCUGUGUUUCUGACUGCAUCCAGUUUCUUCUUCUCAGGUUUCUGCAAGUACUAAGGGGACAACGAAUUUGAUAAUUUGGUGCAUAUCAUGAAAUGGUGGUAAGCCAAGCAUAGAGCUAACUAUAGGAUAAAAACUACGGGCUCUAAUUACAAUCAAAUUUUAAGUGCAUCAUUCACCAAUCACUAUUCUUAACUUGCAGAAAAAAUUUGUUGUUCUAUUUUUGUCAGGGUUAAAUUAAGUUUUCUAUUACAAAAUCACACCAUUGUUUGCUCGUCAAAAUGUAGGCCUCUCUGUGGACAUAUAUAAUAAAAGUUUCGAUGCACACAGGGACGAACAUGACACAGUAAAAGUGGGGGUUGGAUGUGUCUUUUGCUGGGGACUAUACACCAGCUUCUUAAUCCUGGAUGCUUGAUUCUUGGCUGCUCACAAACACCAUUGUGAUGGUCUUCAUUUAGGAUUCAAAGAAGGCUAGAUAGGUGAAGUUUUUAGUUCACAUUGCAUUGUUGCAGUGAUUAUUUUUCUUAUUCAAUCAGGUUUCUGAAAGUUGGGUUUUGGUCACUUUGCAUUUUUUAUGAAGGGAAUGUGCAUGCUUGCUGCUUUGGUUUGUGCUAGGAGCAUGCGCCGGGCGCGCUUCUUGAGGAGAACAUAGAUUAUUCGCUAUUUUGUAGUGGCUCAUGCUACCCGAGACGACCAAGCUGGUAUCCAUUCAACAUGCCCUCUUUUGAUGAAGUUAGAGUUUACCCCAUUCCUGUAAUGCUUUACCUGGUCAAGAACUUAUUGCAAGUAUGUCCAGUUGCCCACUCAUUCUGUUGUAUGAUUUUUUUAGAAAAAAACAAAAACAAGCAAAACAUAACCAUGUUUCCCUGCUUCUAUGGUUGUCAGUAUUAUAUUUUGAAUAUGUGGAUGCACCAGCUUACCAGAUUCUGAAGAACUUGAAUAUUAUCAGCACCGGUGUCCUGUACCGUAUAAUUCUCAAGAAAAAGUAAGUCUAAUGAGCUUGUUCUAUUAUAAGUUUUCUUUGCUAACAAGUGGCAUCCACUAUGUCAUUGGGUUCACUUUCACUUGAAAUCUUUGAUGCAAAGCUGAAUGCUAAAUCUGGAAGACAUGAAUUAUAGUUCUGUGAUGAAAGAGUCCUGUUGAAGUUCAGUAUGUAAAAUAAAUAGUCAUCCUUAGGCUUGAAUCCAUAUUUAUUUCCUCUAGAACCCCCGGUAAGAUUCCUUAUUUAUUUCAGUGAGGAGUAUUACCUAAUCGGUGCAAACUGAAAUGUAAGGUUGUGGCUUUUUGAAGUUUUCCUCUAUUUUGUGAGAUUAUAAUAAAUCUGCUCACUGCCUCACUAUGGGUUUCACUUCAAAAUUUUUAUUAGUUUCUCUUUCCAACAUUAUUGUAUUUGAUGCUUCCUAAUUUAUGCAUGCAUUUUGAUUUCAUAUAGGUGUAGAUUGUUGUCAUGCAUCACUGUGUUUACUUUCUACUGCUUGUUGCAGAUAGUAGAUGAGUUUGACUGGGAAAUGGACGAUUACGAGGUUUGUGUUGAAAUGUGCUUUGUUCUGCUGAAUAUGCUAAAGUUGCUACCCAUUAAAGUGCAUCUGUGUUGAAUGGCUUCAAUUAUUAUCUUGCAUUGCAGGAUUUUGCUGAUCAUAAAGUUCAAGAAGGUGGCCUGCCAGAGGAUGAGAAAGAAAAAUUCAAGUUACUGCAUUUAUUGUGUGCUUAAUCUGUGGCUAAGCUAAUCUUAGGGAAUUGGUUACAGUUGUGUCUUAUACUUACAAUUUUGCUGCCACAUUUAUUUGAAAAUAGGAGUUCCUAAAGGAGAAGGUUAGAGAAAGGAAGAGAGAGCUUAAACAGGUUCACAAUCAUGGGAACUAUUUAUUUUAUUUACAAGGUAUUUAUUGCAUUAGUAUUAAAUGUUUCUGCAAACUCUAUGUAGGCUAAAAAAGCCAGAAGGAAAGCUAUUGAUGAUAUGGAUCCUAAGGGGAAAGGGUAAACCAAAAUCAAAAUCAAAUCCAAAGGAUACAUGUUCAUGGUUUGAUGGCAGCAGAAAAGCCAUGAUCCAACUAGCUGGAGAACUUUUCUGGAAAAUGGGUGAAGACCUGGAUAGCAUCGCAAAAGAUUAUACAACUUCUCUUGAUGCUUUUAUAACGCAGCUGCCCAUGCAACAACACGUCGAUUUGAGGUUCCUUCUCUUCCGCCGUGACUUCACUGAAUGAGCCGCUUAUGUGAAAAACUAGGAGUUAGAUUGACCGUUUGGUUGGGACUUCACUGAAUGUGAGCUGUGUUUCCUCCAACAAUUGAUCUUGGUCACUUGACUAGCAAUGGUCACUUCCAUUUUCCUUGCACCUCCUGUAGAAGAGGAUCUGAAUACCCUUUUACUGAGGAUUGCCAAUGCUAGAAUCUGGUGAUUUUGUCAGCUGUUUGCAUGCUGAUGCUUAUGUGCCGAUUCAACGAGGCUAAAGCCAGGCAUUUCAUGCAACUCUGUACAAAAUUGUAAGUUUGUUUUGAUCAUGAUUUUCAUGGAUGUUAUGGUGUAAAUUUAAUAUAUAUUUUUUCUCUAUUAAUUUCUUGAGAAUUAAAGCUGGAGGUCUUGAAGAUUUGUCCUUAACAGUUUAUAUUGUCAGUUUUACAAGAGUUAAUAUCUCAUUACACUGGUUGUUGUUCUUGGAUUUGAAAUUUCUAUUGAAGUUGUUGUCUGGAACUCUGGAUAGCAUGCUGUGGUAAGAGCAACUGAUGAUAAAAUAAUAUAUAUGUUGCUCAUGUAAAGGAGAAGUGUAGAACAAAAAGGUCUCGACUUAUAGUGAGUUCGUUUUCCCACUGUUCUGUAAUCUUUCAGUUGGUUUGACCAUGGUUGAAUGAAUCUGAUACUGCUACCGAGACAUGAGAGACUAUGCACGAGGCAUGCAAAUUAACAAGACUCAUACAAGCGCGGAACAGUGUGCUGAUAGAGCAUAAGGGUAACACAUGCUCAGGUCUUAAAAUAUUUGGCUUCCGAGUAAACUUUCUCCAGACCCCUAAGGAAAUAUAAGAUCCGAUUAGAUAUGUGUCGAUGCUUAUCUCAGCGUACUCCCGUUGUAAGGCACGGGCACACACCUAGUAACUUAUUACGAAUAAACAUUUGAAUCGUGAUCUAUUAUGACCCCUACCUAACAGACAACAAGAAAAAACAAGAUUAUAAGAGGGGGAAAAAGAUGUAUAUAAGGGUGCAGUUCACUAUUAUCGUCCAGGCUUAUUUCUUGAUUAUGUAAAAUAUUGUAUGUUUGUCUCCCAUGAUGUAAUGAUAAAGAAUAUUAUAUUCUUGUUAGAGUACUCCACAAGGAUGAAAUGGAGAAGAGAUCAACUUAGUUUAGAAAACAACAGUGUAAAUGGUUUAAGAUCACGCAUGAUGCUUACGUUUAAAAUUGAUAUGUAUUUCUAGCUUCAGCUAAUCUCUACUACUCUUUAAGAUAUUAGUGUAGGCGUCCACAAGUUGGUGGUUCUGCCAUGCCCGCGCCUCCGCGAUUCGCGUCUCUGCCGCCAUCCUCACCCUCGCCCCGCUCUCCAUCGAAGGAAGGGCGCCAUUCCAGGGAUUACCCACCAUUCUCGCCCUCGUCCGCUCUCCGCCAUCCUCGCCCCCACCCGCACCCGCCAUCCUUGCCCUCCUACGCGCAAGUCCUCGGCGCCCCUUCCCCUGCCAACGUCGUCUCGCAAGGGUCUGUCGUCUCCGCGCAAGGGCUCGUCGUCUCGCAAGGGCGCCCCUUCCCCUGCCCCCGUCGUCUCCACGCCAUCCUUGGAUCCGAGGUCCGCGCAAGGGUCUGUCGUCUCGCAAGGGCGCCCCUUCCCCUGCCCCCAUCGUCUCGCAAGGGAGGAGCAGAGGAGGAGGUGUGAUGGCUGUUGAGGAAGAGGUGGACGAGGAUGCCAUUGUGGCCCCUUCCCCUGCCACAAGUUGUUCGCGGCGCUCGAGUCCCUCAAGAAGAAGGGCAACAAGGGCGCGGACAUGCCCUCGCCCGAGCCCCCGUCCCGUGCCCCUGCCCCUCUCCCACACGUGUUCUGAGGCCCCUUUGAAAGGGAAAUGUGCCCUUGGGCCAUUUCUAAGUAUUUUGGUGAUUAAGUGUCCAACACAAGUGCCUAAGUGUUAAAUUGUGCCAAGGACUCAAGAAGUGCAAAUCAAGAUUAAAGGUAUGUUUCUAGACUUAGUACAUUGUUUUGAAGACUAAUGUAUUGUGUCUAAGUGCUAGAAACAGGAGAAACAAUUUUGGAGAAGCUGGCUGUGUACAGCCAAAAGACUGCUUAGUCUGGGUGCACCGGACUGUCCGGUGGUGCACCGGACAGUGUCCGGUGCGCCAGGCUGGCGGCUGUCAACUGGCUGCUCUCGGGACUUCGACGGCGGUGUACGGCUAUAAAUCACCGGACUGUCCGGUGGUGCACCGGACUGUCCGGUGAGCCAACAGUCGGCCGGGCCAACGGUCGGCCACGUAAUCCGCGCGCGACGCGUGGCAGAGCCAACGGUCAGAAGGGGGCACCGGACUGUCCGGUGUGCACCGGACAGUGUCCGGUGCGCCAAUGGCUCUGAAACUCCAACGGUCGGCUUCACCAAAGAAGGAAAGAAAUCCGCACCGGACAGUGUCCGGUGAUGCACCGGACUGUCCGGUGCGCCAGGCGACAGAAGGCAAAAAUUGCCUUCCUGGAAUGCUCUCAACGGCUCCUAGCUGCCUUGGGGCUAUAAAAGGGACCCCUGGGCGCAUGGAGGAGGACACCAAGCAUUCUCUAAGCAUUCCUAAGCACCAAGACUCCAAUUCCGCGCAUUCGAUUCUUUGUGAUAGCAACUAGAGCUCCAUUUGAGUAGAGAACUCUUUGAGUUGUGUUGAGAGCUCGUGUUGUGACUUGUGUGCGUGUUGUUGCUCUGAUUUUGUGUCUUGGGUGCGUUGCUCAUCCCAUCCUUACUCCGUGCUUCUUUGUGAUAAUCAAAGUGUAAGGGCGAGAGGCUCCAAGUUGUGGAGAUUCCUCGCAAGCGGGAUAUAGUAAAGUGAAAGCAAAACACCGUGGUAUUCAAGUGGGUCUUUGGACCGCUUGAAAGGGGUUGAGUGCAACCCUCGUUCGUUGGGACGCCACAACGUGGAGUAGGCAAGUGUUGGACUUGGCCGAACCACGGGAUAAACCACUGUGCCAUCUCUGUGUUGAUCUCUUUGUGGUUAUUGUGUUUUGCAAGAACUCCUCACUAGCCACUUGGCUUUAUUGUGCUAACUCCUAAUCAAGUUUUGUGGCAUUAAGUUUCAAGUUUUUACAGGAUCACCUAUUCACCCCCCUCUAGGUGCUCUCACCCUUCCCCAUCCUCUACCCUCCCCCGCGAUUCCAGCAUUGGUGCCCGCAUCCCCCCGUCCGAAGCAUGGCGCUCUCCGUCUCCUUCCUCGCCGCCGCCCUCUCCCACCUCUCCCUCCCAUCGACCUCCACCCCCAAGCCUCACCCGUCCUUGCUCCUGCGCCUGCGCUCCACCUACCAUCGUGUUGUUAGCCUUGCGCUCCGUGCCUCCGCAGGCGAAGCCGCCGAAGCCUUCGAAGCGGCCUGUUCACGGAGGAGGUGAUGGCUGUCGAGGAGGAGGCGGAGGAGGAUGCCCUGUCGGGAAUCGUGCUGCGAAAGUAUGUGAAGCAGCGGCUGCUGGGCGGGUUCACGGCGCAGCGGACCACCGCCAUGGGCCGUCGCAAGACAGCUAUCACUCGCUUCGUUCUCCAGGAGGGCACCGACAAGGUCUUCAUCAACUUCCACGACGCUAAGGUGCCUAUCAAUCCCAGAAUUGCACGCACUUAUUAUACCAAUGUCGCUCCAUUAUGUUGUUUGGGCCGCAUUGCAAUCGGUAGUACUAUACAUGUAAAUCUGCAAUUGGUUAAUACCUUAGAAUUUCAGGAGACGAAUUAAACCGCUAUGGUCAAAAUGCUGCAGUACUAUUGUUACUGAUAUCUACCAAUGUGCUUAUUACAUGCUACUUGUAGUAGUAACAACAAAGAGUCAAAGACUCUGAAGCUUUGGUGCCUGCGGUAAGACUUCUGAAAGAAAUGUGGAAGAGGUGGAUAUUUUGGCAUAUUACACGUUGAAUAGCAUGAAUAGCAUUUUAUUCCAUAUGCGGUGCGAAGAUAUUUCUUUUGCAUGUUGCUGCUACGUUCUUGUGUAAAAUUCGACAUAUGCAUGUUCCAAUCCCCUUAAUGUGUUCAUGACAUGUGGGUCCAUGAUCAACAUGUCAGUGACACAUUUUGGGAUUGCAAAUUUUGCAAUGGCAAAUAACUAACCUCUUUCCGCACAAAGGUAACUCCAUGUUCCAUGUGUAUUUCAGAAAAUAUGGUUUAAGUGAUGAUACAGUGGAUUUCGUUGGACAUGCACUUGCUCUUCAUAGAGAUGAUCGUUAUCUUGAUGAACCGGCACUUGAUACAGUGAAUAGGAUUAAAGUAAGUCUUGGCCAAAGUUGCUCCCUAGCUGUUGCUAUGGAUAAACUUGUGUGGUUCCUAAUGCUUGGAAUAUAUUUCCUUUAUAUAAUGCAGUUAUAUUUACCUAUUGUGUGCCUUUAGCUAUAUGCAGACUCUCUUGCACGCUUUCAAGGAGGAUCACCUUAUAUCUAUCCACUAUAUGGGCUGGGUGAGCUACCACAGGUCUGUCAAAAUCGAAUUUGUUAAUGUAAUACUUAUUGAGUAGGCACAUGUUCCUUGUUGAUGAUCAGUGCUUGUUUUGGGCUACAGGGUUUUGCGCGACUAAGUGCUGUUUAUGGUGGUACUUACAUGUUAAACAAGCCAGAUUGCAAGGUCUUCUUUUUCACCUCGCUUCACAUAAUUUGAAUAACAAGAAAAUGCUCUCAUUUUUUUCAUGUGUUGCCUCAUUUUAUAGGUUGAAUUCGAUAUGGAGGGGAAAGUGUGUGGUGUCACAUCUGAAGGUGAAAAUGCAAAGUGCAAGAAGGUGGUGUGUGAUCCUUCGUAUUUACAAAACAAGGUGAAUACUCUCUAUAUCCAGAUUUUAGAGGGCUUGGUUAUUUUGGUGCCAAAUACUUAUAUUUUGCUUGAUGACAAGCUAAUUUACUGAUUUUUCCAUCCUGAAAAAGUAUUUGUUAUUAUAUGACCUUCUGGUGUUUUUGGUAAACUUUUUUUCUCAUUUUUUUGCCACCCUAAUGUCUCUCGACAGGUUAGGAAGAUUGGUAGAGUUGUUCGUGCAAUUGCUAUCAUGAGCCACCCAAUCCCUAAUACAAACGAGUCCCACUCGGUUCAAAUUAUUUUGCCUUAGAAGCAACUUGGACGCAGAUCAGACAUGUGAGGCCUUCUCUCAUGCUGAAAUAGUUUUCAUUUCAUUAAUGACUAGAUUUAAACACUUUUAUCAAACAGAUCACUAUGCUUGACACAGUUAUGAUAUUUCUAUCUCUUUCUAGGUAUGUUUUCUGUUGCUCAUACACGCACAAUGUUGCACCAAGAGGGAAGUUGAAUAUAUUUGUGUCUGCAGAAGCAGAGACUGAUAAUCCCCAGUCUGAGCUAAAGCCUGGAAUUGAUCUACUUGGUUCUGUAGAUGAGAUUUUCUAUGAUAUCUAUGACAGAUAUGAACCAGUGAAUGAACCAUCUCUUGAUAAUUGCUUUGUCUCGACAGUAAGAUUUGCAGUUUAUGUUAGCAGAAUGAACAUUUAACUUCACUGUUUAAACAUUCUACUAAAUUUUUCUGGCUGUUUCACCAUGCAGAGCUAUGAUGCCACCACACAUUUUGAGACAACUGUAACAGAUGUUCUGAACAUGUAUACAAUGAUCACCGGAAAGGUAACAUGGACUUCAUCUUUUUAUUUAUUGGAGUGAUGUAGCCUGCAGUAGUUUUUGUACUAAAAUGUUGGUCAAACUUAAGUCCAAUUAAAAGAAGACCUGUGAAUAUGUGAUUUUUUAUCGAGUAGUUACAACUAACUGAGCAUUGUUUAAUCAUGACUUGAAACACACCUCCAGUUCAAGUUCGUCUGUUUGUAUGGGCACUUCUAUGUAGAGCACCAAAGUUGUUAUUUACUUAAUAUUUUUUGCCAUCACUUUUUAGAAACGAAUCAGUCAUUGAUUAUGGUGGUUAACAUAUAUAUGAAUUGUUUGUGAGACUCUUUACUUAUGAUCAUAUCUAGUGUUUCCUUGCAUUUGUUUAUGGUGGUGAUCCACUGACAGACCUAUCACUUCAUGCUCUCCUUGACAGAUUCAUGGAAAAUAAACCAAGAGGGAGCCGCAUAGCUGAAGGAAGAUGGCACGAUGGAUCACAAAUUGCCCUAGCUAAAAAGGUUGGCCCUUUUUACUUGGAUUCUCUUGACUCUGGGAGUCGUUUUCCUAUAUCUGGAUUUGUAGAUGACCUGAUUACUCUUCCCUCCAAUCACACUAGAUGCUCUUGAGAAGAUAUGCUCAAAACUUAGACUUAAAAUAUUUGUGUCAAAAUUUGAAUAAAUGUGUUUAGAUUGUCUUAAAUACUAAAUACUAUCAAACACAUUUUUUAUACCUUUCUGACCCAUGCCUUUGUCUUCAGCUUAACCUGAAUCAUCAUAUUAUUGGAGGAGAGCUUCUAGAAUUGUCAGAAAAUGAAGUGCCUCCUGAACAUAUUGUUUUCCACCGUUUCUAUUUGAACAAGACUGGCCCAGUUAAGCAUAAGGCAAAGUGGAAGGACUCAGUUCUUGGUGAAGGAAUAGUGUGAGGAGAUUGGUUAGUUACUCUAACACUCUCUUUCCUCUUUUGUUGGCACAACUGAUAUGCCAUAGAGAGUCGGCUUAUAUAUUAUCCAUUUAAUUGUUAACAUUGUGAUGGUAUUAUGUACUGUUAAUUGUGUUGACUGAGACACUGAGCAAUAUUAUUGCAGAGUAUUAUGUACUGUUAUAGCAGAUACUUAAAUUAUAUUGGAGUAGAUUUAUUCGAGGGCCCUAACUACAUCCAGAACUUUAUUAUAUGCAUUAUUAAGCCAGAUGCUUUGAUUCUAAAAAAGCAUAUUUUUAAGUGAAAUGUAUGGAUCUCGCUCUCCUUACUCAAACACAAGGUACAGAAGUCGCUCUUGGUAUGCCCUUCAUCCUUGGGCCAGUUAACAUGUUUCUGCCAAUGUCGUAUAUUUAAAUUCAAGACAUGAAACAUCUAUGUUGCUUGUAAUCUGAGUAUUUGAUAUUCAUAUAAUUUAUCUAGGAAUGUGGACUCAAGUGAUGCUGAAAAUCCUGGGAAACAACCUGUAUGUGACCGUUUUGUCACCUCGUGUAACUGAUCAAGAUCUGAAGAAGCACUUCUCCACUGAGGGAGAGGUAGGUAAUCAUUAAAGAAUAUAAUAAAAUAUCUGCAACUUUAAAGUGUCAUUUCUGAGAAGUCAAAAUAUAAUUAUUGAACAAUUCACUUUGCUUACUGAUUGUGCUAUAGGUGAUUGAUGCAAGCAUUGUGUAUGAUCCUUGGACAAGGGAAUCGCGGGGGUUUGGUUUUGUCACCAUGGCUGCUACUAAGGAGGCAGAUGUAACACCCAGUUUGUAACAUAUAAGGAAAGAGGAGAAAUUAAUUCCUUUAUCUAUAUGUGUGUUAUUUCUACUUACCAUCAUAUGUGAACACCCCACUUACACAAUUAAAUAAAUACCCCAAAGACACCUAAAUAAAUCUUGCAUCAUGCUGAGUUUUUAUUUGAUUGUGCAUUUGUGCUUAAUAAAAUAAAUGUUUCAUUAAUAGCAUAUCAAUGGAUCCAUAGAAUUCAAAGUCUAACUUGAAAAUAAAACCAUGAAAAUAGAUGAGAGAAAGGAAUAUUAUUCAAUAAAUAAAAUUAUAAUUUAAUAACUUCAUCGCAGUAGGUAUGAUCAAACUAAAUAAUUAGUCAGUGUACAAAGGUGCCACAAAGUUUGAAUUUAAAUUGAAGUUUGAAUUUGGAAAGAAGGAAAAGAUAAAAGAAAAGGAAAAUAAAAAGGGAAAAGAAUAAAACCUAACUGGGCCGACCGUCCCCAAUCCAGCCCACUUCUGCUUUCCUCAGCGCGCGCCAGCCCAACCUGAAAUUGGCACCGACAUCUGGGCCCCGCCCGUCAGCCAGUGACACGCUCCGCUCAGUGCUGCUGCCUGGCAUGCGGAGCCCAGCCCUCGCCCACAGACGAAAAUUGCGUGCGUACCCUAAAGCCUCCCUAACACGCUGGCCCCACUCAUUCGGCCGACUCCGCCCGCGCGCUGACGAACCCGGACCACUUGUCAGACGGCCCUGUGGCUCUUCCUUGCGAGCUCAAUGUCUCCCGACAACAGAAUCGCGACAGCCUCUCCACCCGCCGCGCGUAAAUCUUGCUGGAGAUCCAACUAACGGGCGCAGUCUGCCUCAUCGUGCGGCAAUAUAAGUACCACCGCCGCCAUACCUCUGCUCGCCCAGUUACAUGCGGUAGAAAAAAAAGAGAGAGGAGAAAACUCCCGUCGCCAUUGGCGCUGGACGGUAUAGGGUAGAGAGAAGGAAGGUGCGGGCGGGUCCAUCACUGGUGGUGCCGUAUGCGCGCGGAUUCACGGGGGGGGGGGAGCUCUGUGGGUUCUGGCGCUUCGCGGGGGUGCCGUGAAUUGCUCGCCGACGUCUGGCUCACAUUGGGGUCGCAUCGCGCCGUGGUUGGUGGUCUCUGCGCCCUCAAUCGUGGUAAGAACUCUUCGCCCCAGUUCGUUUUUGUCUCCGCAUGGAAUAGAGCAUACCCGAUGAGAGCUUCGAGCGCGGGGAGAUGGGAUUCGGGUGCGUGGCAAUGGCGCCGCCGUCGUCCACAAGGAGGCGAGGGGGUGACUGACGUCCGUUCAUCGGGCCGUGGACGAUCAGGAUUAGAACUAGAAUAACAUUUUGGUCAAAAACGAAUCCGUGCCGUAGAUCUGGUGAUAAGCGGUACCAGUUCGAUCACAGGCUCGUUGAAUCGGGACCGUAAGUUUAGGAUCCAACGGCUGCGGACGCGCACCGGUUCAUAACCCGCGUCAAUCUAAUCUGGCACGUAGGCUCUAGAUCGGGCGGUCCAGAUUAAAGGAUACCCGUUCCUGCAGGCAGUUUUGUUAAAGAGCCCCCUGGUAAACAGAAAAUCAAUCCGCAGUCCCUGCGCAGGGCGGAUUGUGUCUUAGAAAAUCUUAUCCCGAGCACCCUAGGUUUCUCUGUUAUAGUGCACCCAGUACAGAGCUGUUUUAAUUUGAUUAAAUGAAUUGGAAAUUUGAUUUUUAAUAUGAAAAUAAACCCUAUAACUUGUGAAAUUCAUAGAAAACUCAUAUGAACUCCAAAUUAACCCAUUCCAGUUUCUAAAAUUUUGUAAUUUUAAUUCUCUAUCAUUUAGAGUCUCUGUUUUAUCACUAAAACAGUAAGAAAAUUUAAUUCUCACUUAGUCCUAUUUUAAACACAUAAAACCUUUGAAAACUCAUAUCUUAAAAUCUAUAACUCCAAAAAUUAUGAUUCCUGUUCCUAGGAUUUUAUUUUAAUAUGUAGAUUAUUACUGUGUAUUUUGUGUACAUGUUUGGAGUGAUGUUAAUUUUCUCUAUAUACUGUGCUUGUUUGUAUUGUGGCGAGUAGAAGAGACUGUGACUGAGGAUCCUGGUGAGCAGCAGAUAGAAGUAGCUGAGCAGGAGCUCAUUGAAGGCAAGUUAUGCCCUUGAUCACUUCUUUUUACCCACUCAUAUUUUAAUUAAUCAUAAUGAUCUGCAUAGGUUAAUUUUGAUGGGACCCAAUAGGUUACCCUAGUUUGAUUAUCUUUAUACCUUGUUACCACUGAACUUUUUGGGUAGUACUUGCUAGUGCUUUAUGUGGUUUUGGGUAUGAAGAUACAUUAUUCAUGAUCACACUUUUAUUAUCUAUUUAUUAUUACUGUUCAUGAUAAGGUCAUUAUGUUAAUUGGAACAUGGAGCGACCACCCGGGAAAACAGUGCUACCACAAGGGUUUAAUGGGACGCCCUUGGCUGAUUAAUUAGGAAAGCUAGUGGAAGACUACCUUACUCGAAAGGGGCAAGGGCAGUAGGGGAGUGGUCAGUGUAGGGAGGUCCUUGGGAUGAUUUUGCUGCGAUGGCGAUCAUGCGAGAGAUCCCUGCAUUGGAGCUUCCUAUAAACUGUAGCGGGUUUUCUGAAGCUAGUGGAACUUUAUAAAGGCCUCGUAGUGUUACCCUGCCUCGCCUCCUCGGUAGAGGUGUAUGGGAAGUCGCGAUCCCUUGGCAGAUGGGUAACAUGACUUGUGGGUAAAGAUGCGCAACCUCUGCAGAGUGUAAAACUGGUAUACUAGCCGAGCUCACGGUCAUGAGCAGCUCAGGACUCUCUGAUGAUUAAAUUAUGGAACUUAAAUUCAAUUUUGUCAUUUGCAUAUGCAAGGAUUUAUUAUUAAUUUGUUCUAUUACUUUAUUUAAGGUUUGGUAUUUACUAACACUUAGUAACUGCUAAUAAAAUUUUGACCAACUACUUAAAAGCAAUGCUCAGCUUUAACCCCUGUCAUUGAUUAGCCUUACACAUCACAUGAACUCCCACCUUUGUGAGUUCAUGUCCACUAGUUCCCCACAACUUGUUGAGCUAUGAUCAUGUGUGAGCUCACCCUUGCUGUCUCACACCCCCCACAGGAGAAGAACAGGUGGUUCAGGAGGAGCCACAAAGCGAGGAGUUUGAUCUGAUCUAGGUGGCGUUUCUCAGUUGACAUUGGCGCCAACGACGAUCCUUAGUUUGUUUUAUAUUUAUAUUUUAUUUUGUAAUAAGACUUCCGCUAUGUAAUAAAUACUCUGAUGUUUUAUGACAUUUAUCUCUAUACACUCUGUUAUUAUAUAUGUUGUCUUCUUGGCGCAUGUAUGAGAUGCACCUGGCUUUGUUCCUUAAAGCCGGGUGUGACAGAAGUGGUAUCAGAGGAAAUGUUGACUGUAGGACGAAACCUAGAUAGAAAUGGACAGACCCUUACUUACUUACCUUACUCUGAUUCUCUCUAUACUCAUCUUGAUCUUGUCUCACCUUUUGCUUUUCUACUCUAAUCAUUCUUACCUUUUCUACUCUAAGACAUGAUGGAUUUCACACCUUGGAAUCCUACAACUAUGAACUUUUUCAGAGAUAGGGAACCUAAGAUGAAAUUAAAAAUAUUUUCUCUAUUAAAAAUGUUGGUUGAUUGUUUUGAUGAUCAAUGUCUGAUUUGCUUCUUUGAUUGAUUGAAAUAUUAUAAAUGGACAUCUUAGCAUGUACCACCAUAAGGUAAUGUAUUAGCUUUAAUAGGUGACACACUAAUCUAUUUAGCUAAUAAAUCCCCCAAAGUAACAUGAUUCGUAAUUACUCGCCUUGUCUAUAAUUCUUCCUUUCUUACCCUGUGUUACUAACCCGGAUGGGCUACCCCUAUAGUGUUAGAAGAGAGCACUAUAGAUGUGAUCCUUGGUAUAUCAUGGUUAAGAAAGGCAAAGACAGUUUAUACACUAUGCUAAAGGAAUCAUAGAACUCACCAGUUCCAAAGGAGAAAGAUUUCAAGUUAAUAUUGCAGUAACCACCUCAUCCAAACGUGCAAUGUUCUUCAUACCUGAGGAGUUUGUUGGUGACAACAUCCGUGUGGUUAGAGAUUUUCCAGAUGUCUUUCCAAAGGAGUUACUAGGGAUGCCACCUGAUACAGAAGUUGAGUUUAUUAUUGAUCUCUUACCUGGGACUGCCCCUAUUUCUAAACGGCCAUACAAGAUGUUCGUAGAGGAGUUAAAGGAACUUAAGAAACAGUUAACGGAGUUGCAAGAGGCUGGGUACAUUCGUCCGAGUUCCUCACCUUGGAGAGCGCCGGUUCUGUUUGUACAGAAGAAGGAUGGAUCACAAAGAAUGUGUGUGGAUUAUAGAUCACUUAAUGAUGUUACUGUGAAGAACAAGUAUCUGUUACCCCGUAUUAGGGAUGGCAAUUUUACCCGUGGGUUCGGGUAUCCACGGAUAUCCGACCCGUCGGAUUCGGGUUCGGGUAAGAAAUUUAACCCGCGGGUCUCACCCAUACCCGACCCGUGAUUAAAUCGGGUCGGGUACGGGUUUUAUCUUGCGCCCGCGGGUCUUGGCGGAUAUCCGAAAUAAUUUGAGUUUUCACUUUUCAAUUUCAGCCCACAAGAAACCGGCGGACCGCGGACCGGCCCAAUGUCCAGAAACCCUAGUCUCCCUACACUCUCACACACACGCAGGACGCAGCCCCAGGUGGCCAGGCCCCCAGCCGCCCACGCAAGUCUCUCACCGUCUCACGUCUCAUCUCAUCUCUCUGCUCUCUCUAUCUCUCAGCCGCAAACGCCCACCGCCGACAGCGCUAGAUCCACCCCGGCGUCUGGUACUCUGGUUGCCCCGGCCAUCCAUCGCAAGACUGGUUGCCCUGGUCCCUGCCGUCGUCGAGUGAGACUGAUUGCCCCGACCGUCCAGCGAGGCAGCGACCAGCGUGGCAGCGACGCAGCGUCCCUGGCUGGCGUCCCUGGCUAGUGGCUGGCUCUCCUGCGUGGCUGCGUCUCCAAUCCAUUCUCCUUCUCCGAUCCAAGGUAGCGUCUCUGUCUCUCUGAGGUAGUGAGUUAGCACUCCGAGUCUGAGGUAUAUUUUACAGUUGAUGUCUCACUAAUCUCAAAUAGGUGGAGGUGGUUCUCAAAUCUAAAGUAGUAAAGUUCAUCCAUGGCGCCUACAAGUGGAUCCGGCUCCGGGAUGCAAGCUAAUCGUCCACCGUUGUCUUCACAUGGUGCUUCAACGAGGAGGGGGAGAGUGACCUUAAACCGAUCAACUAUCAAUCGGGCUGGCGAUGCUGCUGGUACACCUACAUGGACGCCGACGCUGAGUGCAGACCCAUCAAGUGCUGGUGAUACUACUGCUAGUGCUAGUGGCACACCAUCAUCAAGUACUAAUGCUCCACCUGCAACAGCAGCACCACAAUUAGGUAUAGAUAAUGUCAUUGUGGAAGAUGAUGAUACUGUUAUUGUUGGGACAAAGAGGAUGCUGAAAUCUGAUGUUUGGCUAGAGUUUGAACAAGUAACUGUUGGUGGUAAAUUAAAAGCUCAAUGUAAUUGGUGUAAAAAGCAAUUAGUUGGAGAUAGUAAAGCUGGUACAACUCAUUUGCGUAGUCACCUUGGAAGUUGUCAAUCACGAUAAGUUAGAAAAGGAGCAAGCCCGCCAGUGCCCAGUGCACACGCUGCAGUGCUGCACGCCAUGUGGUGCUGUGCUGUCCAACAGCAACAGCCAACAGUCCAAGUCUCCAAGGCGUGUUGCUGUCCAAGAGACCAAGACUUGCUGUUUUGUUUUGUUCUUUGCUGUUUUUGUUCUUUUCUCAGUCCAAGUUCAUGUCCAACCGUCCAAGACUCUAAGAGACCUUUGCUGUUUUGUUUUGUUGAAUUGAAUAAUUUGAAUAUUUUGAAGUUUGGUUCAAGUGUAAACACUAUGUACUCAUAUAUUGCUUGCUUAUUUAACAAAUCAGAUUUAUUAUGUCUUGUUUUUUUUGUUUUACCUUGUCAUUUGUCAACCAUGUGUUUUAUUUGUGUGGAGUGUAAUUAUACCCGCGGGUAUCCGAUACCCGCCCGAUACCCGAUGGAUACGGGCACGGGUACAAAAUCCUACCCGCGGGUAUAGUCGCGGGCGGGUAUGAGUAAUACCCGCGGGUAUUGUCGCGAGCGGAUAUUUACCAUACCCGAUCCGAACCCGACCCAUUGCCAUCCCUACCCCAUAUUGAGGACUUAUUUGAUCAGAUGAGAGGUGCUAGAGUAUUCUCGAAGAUUGAUCUCCGAUCAGGUUACCAUCAGAUGAUGAUUAGACCAUCGGAUAUUCCCAAGACGGCUUUCUCAACUCGAUAUGGAUUAUAUGAGUUCACCGUUAUGUCAUUUGGAUUAACUAAUGCACCAGCUUAUUUUAUGAACUUGAUGAAUAAGGUGUUCAUGAUCUGGACAGAUUCGUCGUGGUUUUCAUCGACGACAUUUUUAUUUAUUCCAAGAGUGAUAGUGAUCAUGAGUAACAUCUAAGAUUGGUGCUACAGAAGCUACGAGAUAAUCAACUCUACACCAAGUAUAGUAAAUGCGAGUUCUAGAUUGACGAGGUGUCAUUUCUUGGUCGUAUUAUUUCUAAUGGAGGAAUAUCAGUGGACCCUGCUAAGGUCAAGGAGAUAAUGGAGUGGAGGGUACCCACUACAGUUACUGAGAUUCGGAGUUUCUUGGGACUAGCAGGAUAUUAUCGGAGAUUUAUUGAAGGAUUUUCUAAAAUUGCUAAGCCUAUGACCUCGCUUUUGGAGAAAGGAAGAUAAUUUAAGUGGAAAAAGAAGUGCCAAGACAACUUUGAUCAAUUGAAGAAGAGAUUGAUGUCGCCACCAGUGUUGGUUAUGCCAGACUUACAGAAAGGAUUUGAUAUUUAUUGUGAUGCAUGUGGCCAAGGCUUGGGAUGUGUGCUCAUGCAAGAAGGACAUGUGAUUGCCUAUGCUUCUCGUCAGUUAUGGAAACAUGAAUUGAACUACCCCACCCAUGACUUAGAAUUGGCAGCCGUUGUGCAUGCACUUAAGAUUUGGAGACAUUACAUUAUGGGAACCAAGUGCCAAAUGUACACGGAGCAUAAGAGUUUUGUCACACCCGGGCUUUAAGGAACAAAGCCGGGUGCAUCUCAUACAUGCGCCAAAGAAGACAACACAUAUAAUAACAGAGUGUAUAGAGAUAAAUGUCACAAUAUAAUCAGAGUACUUAUUACAUAGCGGAAGUCUUACAAAAUAAGAGAUAAAUAUCGCAGGAUCUAAAAUCUAUCCUUGGCGCCAGAAAGCUGACUGGGAGACGCACCUAGAUCAAGUCGAAAGCCUCAGAGUUAGGCGGCUCCUCUUUGACCACCUGUUCUUCUCCUAUGGGGGGGGGGUGUGAGACAGCAAGAGUGAGCUCACAUAUGUUCAUAGCUCAACAAGUCGUGGGGAAUAAUGUGGCAUGAACUCACCAAAGGUGGGAGUUCAUAAAGUGUAAGGCUGAUCAAUGAAAUAAAGGCUGAAGCUGAGCAUUGCUUUUAUAUGUUGGUCAAAAUUUUAUUAGCAGUUACUAAGUGUAAGUAUAUACCAAACCAUAGUAAUAAUAAGUAAAAAUAAUAAUAAAAUAAUCCCAGAUGCAAUGAAAUGACAAAUUGAGUUUAAGUUCCAUAGAUUAAUCAUGUGAGUGUCCGAGCCGCUCAUGACCGUGAGCACGGCUAGUAUACCAGUUUUACACUCUGCAGAGGUUGCGCAUCUUUACCCACAAGUCGUGUUACCCAUUUACCACGGAGUUGAUCAGAUCCCAUACAGCUCUACCUAGGAAGCGAGGCAGGGUACCACUACGAGGCCUUUACAAAGUUCCACUAGCUUUAGAAAACCCGCUACAGUUUAUAGGAAGCUCCAGUGCAGGAAUCCCUCGCUUGACUGCCAUCGCAGCAAAAUCAACCCAAGGACCUCCCUACACUGACCACUCCCCUACUGCCCUUGCCCCUUUCGGGUAAGGUAGUCAUCCACUAGCUUUCCUAGUUAAUCAGCCAAGGGCGUCCCAUUAAACCCUUGUGGUAGCACUGUUUUCCCGGGUGGUUCUCCAUGUUCCCAUUAACAUAAUGAUCUUAUCAUGAACAAUAAAUAAUAAACAGAUAAUAAAGAGUAUAACAAUAAGUGAUGAAUAUCUUUAUACCCAAAGCCACAUAAAGCAAUAGCAUGUACUACCCAAAAAUUUAGUAGUAAACCCAGUGGUGAAACAAGGUAUAAAGAUAGUCAAAAUCUAGGGUAAUCUAUUGGGUCCCAUCAAAAUUAACCUAUGCAGAUCAUUAUGAUUAAUAAGAACAUGACUGGGUAAAAAGAAGUGAUCAAGGACACAACUUGCCUUCAACGAGCUCCUGCUCAGCAGUCUCUACCAGCUGAACCUCGAAAUCCUCAGUAGCUUGCUCGUCUACUCGCAUCAAUACAAUACAUACAUAGUAUAGCAAUAAUUAACAUUACACCAAGCAUGUAAAUAAAUUACACAGUAAUAAUCUAGACAUUAAAAUAGAAUCGUAGGAACUGGACUCAUUAAAUUUGGAGUCAUAUAUUUUAAGUUAUGGAUUUUCCAAGGUUUUACGUAUUUAAAACAAGAUUAAGUACUAGAUAAAUUUUAUUGUGUCUUUCAUGCCAAAACAGAGGCACUAAUGGAUGAACAAUAGUAUUACAAAAAUUUAGGAACUGGAAUGGACCAAUUUGGAGUUCAUAUGAAUUUUCUACAAAUUAAACAAGUUUCUGCAUUUAAAUAUGUACUAAAAAUCGAUUUCUAAAUUCAUUUCUAUGAUUUUUCUAAUUCUCUGGACUGGGCCUUCAUUUCUAAGAAGUGCAGAGGCUACGGUGGAACAAUUCCUAAGGCUCAGAGAGUCACUGGUGUGGACGGCGGGUUGAUAUAUGUAAAAGGCAGGGUCUCAUUUAUAAAACGUACCCGCGAAGGGGUAUCGUGAUCACAGGGCCGUUGGAUCUACAUUAUGUGGUUUAGAUUAGAUCCCGAUGCGUAUGAAUCGGUAAGCUACGACUGCCGUCAGAUCUAAAACCUGUGGCUCGGAUUUCAUUUGAGAAGGGGUAUCGCGACCUUCUAAUCCUGACCGCACACCCAGAAUCAAUGGUUACGAUUUGUUCAAGCGGAGGGUUAUUCGGUGAUCUAAUCUACACCGUCCGAAUUGAAUCAGACGGCACGGGAGCUGUCUUCUUCCCCCACGACACCCUCUCUCCUCCACUCCAAUCGGUCUACACCAGGGCGGCGCCAUUAGCCAGAAAUUGAGCCCCUGAUUCCUACACCCGACCUCCAAAAUGAAAGCAGUAAUACAUGGAUGAUAACGGUACAACACGGUUGCAGGAUUACUCACUUCGAUUCAAACCACUCCGAGCCUCGCACAACGCGCGCGGCGGAUCUGUGGCACCCACAGUGCGAUGGCGAGCGAUUCCCGAGAGCUUGACCGCCCUUGCGCCAACGCCAAUAACCGUCCAGCCCCUCAUGGUUCGCGCGCCCUCCAACUCGCUGCCCAAGCGAACAGAGACAUGGGUGCCCCACCGACGUUGCAGGGGAUGGCUUGGCCGGCCAUGGCGCAUGGUAGUUCCGUGGUCGCCAAAGCCCUCCGGUGCAAUGACGCAGCACCUGCGAGUCAUACCAGACUUCCAGAGCAUACGCCGAGAGCGAGACGACGACAAGGUCGAGUUCCGCCGCCGCCAUUUUCCCACAUCGCGACCUCCCCACAGCUUCUCUCUCACCUUGGUUGCGCUGGCUUGGCGAAAGAAAGGGAGUCAUGGCUGGUCGAGCUAACAUCUCAGGGAAGGACCAACUUAUAAAUCCACCAGGGGACGACGUUCAUGCGAUUGGUUGAAGUAGGGCCGAAUCUCCCGGAGUCUUCAGUCGUUUCUGUUAGCGCUUAAUGUGGAGAAGAGAUCUGGAGGGGAGAGCCGACCACGCGAGGAAGACGGAGACGACCCGACGGAUGGGCCCCAACGCGGUCAGCGCGAGUGCGGCACCGCGACCACACGGCUUGGAGAGACUGCACGAUGGGACCUGCCUGGCGGUGAAGGUGGCAAAGUUGGGCUGACGCUCAGGAAUUUGGCCCGUGGCGUGGAUGAAAAGGGGGAAGAAAUGGGCCGAAUUCGUGGAAGCCAGCCCAAACUAGGUUUUAGUCUUUUUUUUUCUUUUUAUUUUCUUUUCUCUCUCUUUUCAAAUUCAAGUUGUAUUCAAAUUUAAUUCAAACUCUUGUGACCAAUUAUUACAAUUUAUACUUGCAACAUUUAGAGAUACUAAUUCUGGAGGUAUUUAUUUACAUAUAUUAUUUAUUUAUUCAUAUCCUUUAUCUCUUUCUCUUCUCCACAUUUCUAGAAUCCCCUCUUGGGUUUAAAUUCUAAUUUAGGUGUUGUCAUUUUUAUUUCUACAUUAUUGUCACUUUGUCACAAAAGAAAAUGCACACACAAUGAAACAUCAGCAUGAUGCACAAUUUAAUGAUUUUUAUCAAUCCUUUAUUUAUUUUAUGAGAUGUUCACAUGCAACGAUAAUUAGAGAUGGCACACAUGUAUUCAAAGGAAUAUGAUCUUCUCCUUUUAGGUUUUUUUUACAAAGUGGGUACUACAAGUUUGAAGUAUAUAUUCACUCAGAAGGAUCUCAACCUUAGGCAACGCCGUUGGUUGGAGCUUAUUAAGGAUUAUGAUUUGGAGAUUCACUAUCACCCGGGCAAGGCAAAUUUGGUUGUAGAUGCCUUGAGUCGCAAGGAGCAUGUUCAUUCAGCUAUUGUUGCCCAGCUACCUGAUGAGAUUGUUGAGGAUUUCAGGAGACUUAACCUGGGGCUAGUUGCUCACACUGAAGGAGUUACUAUUGAUGUGGAACCUACUUUAGAGCAAGAAAUCCGCAAAGGACAAACUGGUGAUGCUAAGAUACAAGAGAUUAAGGAUCGUAUUACUGAGGGUCGAGGUCCGGAAUUUAUGGAAGAUGAGCAAGGCACCGUAUGGUUCAAGGACAGGAUGUGUGUUCCUGAUAUUGAAAGCCUUCGAGAGACUAUUUUAAAAGAGGCCCAUGAUUCGGAUUAUUCUAUUCAUCCUGGUAGUACCAAGAUGUAUCAGGAUUUGAAGCGGAAAUAUUGGUGGUAUGGAUUGAAGAGAGAUGUGGCUGCACAUGUGGUUAUGUGCGAUGUAUGUCAAAGAGUUAAGGCUGAACACCAGAGGCCAGCUGGACUAUUGCACCCACUGAAGAUACCCGAGUGGAAGUGGGAAGAGAUUGGUAUGGAUUUUAUUACUGGAUUGCCUCGCACCCAGAAAGGAUAUGAUGCUAUAUGGGUGAUUGUGGAUAGAUUAACAAAAGUGGCUCACUUCAUUCCUGUCAAGACUACUAAUAAAGGUUCUCAGCUAGCAGAGUUAUAUAUGGCUCGGAUUGUGUGUUUACAUGGAGUACCAAAGAAGAUCGUGUCUGAUCGAGGUUCACAGUUUACCUCAAGAUUUUGGAGAAGCUUUCAUGAGAACAUGAAUACCAAGUUGAAUUUUAGUACAGCUUAUCACCCUCAGACUGAUGGACAGACUGAAAAGACUAAUCAAGUAUUGGAAGAUAUGUUGAGAGCAUGUGCCCUUCAGCAUGGAGGAAGUUGGGAUAAGAGUCUACCUUAUGCUGAGUUCUCAUAUAAUUGAAAGGGAAUUAGGCUUACACCUAUUUCCUAAUUGAUUUUGGUGGUUGAAUUGCCCAACACAAAUAAUUGGACUAACUAGUUUGCUCUAGUCUAUAAGUUAUACAGGUGCCAAAGGUUCACAAAAAGCCAAUAAAAAGACCAAGAAAAGGGUUCAACAAAAAGAGCAAGGGAUAACCGAAGUGUGCCCUGGUCUGGCGCACCGGACUGUCCGGUGUGCCACCGGACAGUGUCCGGUGCACCAGGGGACUUCAAGCUGAACUCAACACCUUCGGGAAUUUCCAGAGGCGCUCCGCUAUAAUUCACCGGACUGUCCGGUGCACCACCGGACAGUGUUCGGUGCUCUAAGGAAGAGCGACUCUGAACUCACCAGCUUCGGGAAUCCGCUCCGCUAAAAUUCACCGGACUGUCCGGUGUGACAGCGGAGCAACGGCUACUUCAAGCACAACGGUCGUCUGCAACGCAUUAAAUGCGCGCCAGCGCGCGCAGAGGAGCAGAGCACGAGCGGGUGGCGCACCGGACAGCCUACAGGGCGUGUCCGGUGCACCACCGGACAGCCAGGCGGGCCCACAAGACAGAGCUCCAACGGUCGAACCCUAACGGCCGGGUGAUGUGGCUGGCGCACCGGACACUGUCCGGUGGCGCACCGGACUGUCCGGUGCGCCCGUCGACUGCAGCCUUCACCAAACGACUAGUUUGGUGGUUGGGGUUAUAAAUACCCCCAACCACCCCACAUUCAAGUCAUCCAAGUUUUCCACCUUCCAACCACAUUACAAGAGCUAGCAUUCAAUACAAGACACACAAAAGAGAUCAAAUCCUCUCCCAAUUCCACACAAAGCUUUAGUGAUUAGAGAGAGUGAUUUGUUGUGUUCAUUUGAGCUCUUGCGCUUGGAUUGCUUCUUUUCUUUCUCAUUCUUCUUGCGAUCAAACUAAUUUGUAAUCGAGGCAAGAGACACCAAUUGUGUGGUGGUCCUUGCGGGAAGUUUGGUUCCCAAUUGAUUGAGAAGAGAAGCUCACUCGGUCCGUGGGACCGUUUGAGAGAGGGAAAGGGUUGAAAGAGACCCAGUCUUUGUGACCACCUCAACGAGGAGUAGGUUUGCAAAAACCGAACCUCGGUAAAACAAAUCCUUGUGUCUCACUCUUUAUUCGCUUGCGAUUUGUUUUCACGCCCUCUCUCGGACUCGUUUACAUUUCUAACGCUAACCCGACUUAUAGUUGUGAUUAAGUUUGUAAAUUUCAGAUUCGCCCUAUUCACCCCCCUCUAGGCGACUUUCAAUUGGUAUCAGAGCCUGGUGCUUCAUUAGAGCCUAACCGCUCGAAGUGAUGUCGGGAGAUCACGCCAAGAGGGAGAUGGAGACCGGCGACAAGCCCACUACAAGCCACGGGAAGGCUUCAUCGGAAGAGUCCCAUAACAAGGGGAAGGGGAAGGAGAAGAAAUCCUCUUCCCACAAGUCGCAUCGAAGUGGCGACAAUAAAAAGAAGAUGAGGAAGGUGGUCUACUACGAGACCGAUACUUCAUCACCUUCCACCUCCGGCUCCGACGCGCCAUCCAUCACUUCUAAGCGCCAUGAGCGCAAGAAGUUUAGUAAGAUCCCCCUACGCUAUCCUCGCAUUCCUAAACAUACACCUUUACUUUCUGUCCCAUUAGGCAAACCACCAACGUUUGAUGGUGAAGAUUAUGCUAGGUGGAGUGAUAUGAUGCGAUAUCACCUAACCUCACUCCACAAAAGUAUAUGGGAUGUUGUUGAGUUUGGUGUACAGGUACCAUCCGUAGGGAUGAAGAUUAUGAUGAGGACGAAGUGGCCCAAAUCCAACACUUCAACUCCCAAGCCACAACUAUACUCCUUGCCUCUCUAAGUCAAGAGGAGUAUAAUAAGGUGCAAGGGUUGAAGAGUGCUAAAGAGAUUUAGGACGUACUAAAAACCGCGCACGAAGGAGAUGAGGUGACCAAGAUCACCAAGCGGGAAACGAUCGAGGGGGAGCUCGGUUGCUUCCGUCUUCGCCAAGGGGAGGAGCCACAAGAUAUGUACAACCGGCUCAAAACCUUGGUGAACCAAGUGCGCAACCUCGGGAGCAAAAAAUGGGAUGACCACGAAGUGGUUAAGGUUAUUCUUAGAUCACUUGUUUUUCUUAACCCCACUCAAGUUAAAUUAAUUUGUGGCAAUCCUAGAUAUACACUAAUGACUCCCGAGGAAGUAAUCGGGAAUUUUGUGAGCUUUGAAUUGAUGAUCAAAGGCUCAAAGAAGAUCAACGAGCUAGAUGGCCCCUCUACGCCCGAAGCACAACUAGUGGCAUUCAAGGCGACGGAGGAGAAGAAGGAGUCUACAUCAAGUAGACAACCCAUCGACGCCUCCAAGCUCGACAACGAGGAAAUGGCACUCAUCAUCAAGAAUUUCCGCCAAAUCCUCAAGCAAAGGAGGGGGAAGGAUUACAAGCCCCGCUCCAAGAAGGUUUGCUACAAGUGUGGUAAGCCCGGUCACUUUAUUGUUAAAUGUCCAUUAUCAAGUGAUAGUGACAGGGACAACGACAAGAAGGGGAGAAGAAAGGAGAAGAAGAGGUACUACAAGAAGAAGGGCGGCGAUGCCCAUGUUUGCCGGGAGUGGGACUCCGACGAGAGCUCCACCGACUCCUCCUCCGACGAGGACGCCGCCAACAUCGCCGUCACCAAGGGACUUAUCUUCCCCAACGUCGGCCACAAGUGCCUCAUGGCAAAGGACGACAAAAAGAAGAAGGUUAAAUCCAAAUCCUCCACUAAAUAUGAGUCCUCUAGUGAUGAUAAUGCUAGUGAUGAGGAGGAUAAUUUGCGUAUUCUUUUUGCUAACCUCAACAUGUAACAAAAAGAAAAACUAAAUGAACUAAUUAGUGCCAUCCAUGAGAAGGAUGAACUCUUGGACUCCCAAGAGGACUUCCUAAUUAAGGAAAAUAAAAAGCAUGUUAAGGUUAAAAAUGCUUACGCUCUAGAAGUAGAAAAAUGUGAAAAACUAUCUAGUGAGCUAAGCACUUGCCAUGAUACUAUUAUCAACCUUAGAAAUGAGAAUGCAAAUUUAAUUGCUAAGGUUGAUUCAAAUGCUUGUGAUAUUUCAAUUCCCAAUCUUAGAAAUGAUAAUGAUGAUUUGCUUGCUAAGAUUGAAGAAUUGAACAAUUCUCUUGCUAGCCUUAGGAUUGAAAAUGAAAAAUUGCUUGCUAAGGCUAAAGAUUUUGAUGUUUGCAAUGUUACUAUUUCUAACCUUAGAAGUGAAAAUGAUAUAUUACAUGCUAAGGUGAUAGAAUUAAAAUCUUGCAAACCCUCUACAUCUACCGUUGAGCAUGUUUCUAUUUGCACUAGAUGUAGAGAUGUUGAUAUUGAUGCUAUUCAUGAUUAUAUGGUCUUAAUUAAGCAACAAAAUGAUCAUAUAGCAAAAUUAGAUGCUAAAAUUGCCGAGCAUGAACUUGAAAAUGAAAAAUUUAAAUUUGCUUGUAGUAUGCUUUAUAAUGGGAGACGCCCUGGCAUUAAGGAUGGCAUUGGCUUCCAAAAGGGGGACAAUGUCAAACUUAAUGCCCCAGCCUAAAAGAUUGUCUAACUUUGUAAAGGGCAAGGCUCCUAUGCCUCAGGAUAACGAGGGUUACAUUUUGUACCCUGCCGGUUAUCCUGAGAGCAAAAUUAGGAGAAUUCAUUCUAGGAAGUCUCACUCUGGCCCUAACCAUGCUUUUAUGUAUAAGGGUGAGACAUCUAGUUCUAGGCAACCAACCCGUGCUAAGUUGCCUAAGAAGAAAACUCCUAAUGCAUCAAAUGACCAUAGCAUUUCAUUUAAAACUUUUAAUGCUUCCUAUGUGUUAACUAACAAAUCCGGCAAGGUAGUUGCCAAGUUUGUUGGGGGCAAACACAAGGAAUCAAGGACUUAUGUUUGGGUACCCAAAGUUCUUGUAUCUAAUGCCAAAGGACCCAAAACUGUUUGGGUACCUAAAAUCAAGAACUAAACUUGUUUUGUAGGUUUAUGCAUCCGGGGGCUCAAGUUGGAUCAUCGAUAGCGGGUGGACAAACCAUAUGACUGCGGAGAAGAAGAUGUUCUCCUCCUACGAGAAAAACCAAGAUCCCCAAAGAGCGAUCACAUUCGGGGAUGGAAACCAAGGUUUGGUCAAAGGUUUGGGUAAAAUUGCUAUAUCACCUGACCACUCAAUUUCCAAUGUUUUUCUUGUAGAUUCUUUAGAUUACAAUUUGCUUUCCGUAUCUCAAUUAUGUCAAAUGGGCUACAAUUGUCUUUUUACUGAUGUAGGUGUCACUGUCUUUAGAAGAAGUGAUGAUUCAAUAGCAUUUAAGGGAGUGUUAGAGGGUCAGCUCUACUUAGUAGAUUUUGAUAGAGCUGAACUUGACACUUGCUUAAUUGCUAAGACUAACAUGGGUUGGCUCUGGCACCGCCAACUAGCCCAUGUUGGGAUUAAGAAUCUUCAUAAGCUUCUAAAGGGAGAACACAUUUUAGGAUUUGUAAGGAAAAUGGACCCCGAGCCAUUUGGCUAAUUGAGUUUUGGUGUUUGAUGAUUAACACAACCUGUGGACUAAUAUGUUUGCUAGUGUUUAUAAUUAUAGUUCACAGGAUGCGAAGAGAAUUGGACCAAGGCAAUGAGGAUGCAACACCUCAAAAGAAGACAUAAAAAGAUGCAUAGGAGUCCAAUACUCAAGAACAAAAGAAGCCCGAAGAAAUCAGCGAAGAAAUCCAAGAUAAGGGCUGUCAGCCAGCGCCUGGUGGCGCACAGGACAUUGGUGUCCGGUGUGCACCGGACUGUCCGGUGAGGCACCAGACAGUCUGCGCAGAGAGGCCGCAGACAGGCGCUCUCUGGCUGUAGCACCGGACUGUCCGGUGUGCCAACGGGCAGACGGCAACAGUCGGAUCCAACGGUCGACUGCUAUAGGCGCCAACGGUCGGCUGACGUGGCGUGCACCGGACAUCUACUGUGCAGUGUCCGGUGGUGCACCGGACUGUCCGGUGCACCCGACGACAGAAAGCUGCUGCUUUCUGUCCAACGGCUAGUUUGGGGUGUGGAGGCUAUAAAUACCACCCCAACCGGCCAUUCUCAAGUGUGAGAGCCCAAGCAACAUAUCAAGGCAUAUAGUGCACAUUUCCAAGAGCUCAAACACCUAAGUGCUUAAUAGAAUCACUCGGUGAUUAGCGUAGGUGCUUUGCGAAGUGCUUAGGUUAGUUAGACCACUUUAGCGCUUGCUCUAGGUGAAUCCUAGUUAGUUGAGUGAGUUUUGUAAAACCACACAACCCCUCGGCUCUUGCGUGAGUCGUUGUAAUUGUACCGAGUGGGGCGAGAGUCUUGCGAGACCGUGACAACCGCGUUUGUGUCACGGCCGCCACCGUGUACCGGAGGGAACGAGGCCCGCGGUGUUUCGGCCGGAAGCUCGAUAGUGGAGACGGCGGGGAGUGUCCGAGAGGAGCCGGAAGCGGAGCACCACUUGCGCGUGGAGAAGGCCCGCGGCUCUCUACGGAGUUACUCGACCGUGGUGCUUGGCCCUCGCGUGGGCUUCCCUUUGCGUAGGGGCACCAACGAGGAUUAGUCGGGACCUUGCGUGGUUCCGGAUACCUCGGUAAAAAUACCGGCGUCAUCCACGAGAGUUUGCUUCUCUACUUAGCUCUUUACAUUCCGCAUUUAUAUUAAGCAUUUAAGUUUCAAUCUUGUAGUCAUACUUAUUUAGUGUAGAUUGAAACUUAGCCUUUUGCGGUAGAGAUAGCAACACUUAGACAAAACCUAGUUUGCACAUUCUAGUUUUGAUUAUUUGCAUAGGUUUUGCUCUAGGGAUUUAAUUGUGGCCUAGUUUAGUAAAAGUUUUAGAAGUCCUAAUUCACCCCCCCCCUCUUAGGCGUCACCCGUGUCCUACAAGUGGUAUCAGAGGCCAGUUUGGCUCAUUUGAAACGCUUUAGCUUCACCGCUAAAAGAGCCGACGCUUUUUAGAGGAAGGGAUGGAUACCCAUAGGCCACCACACUUCGACGACACUAACUUCCCAUAUUAUAGUGCUAGAAUGGCUUGUUACCUAGAGGUCGUUGAUCUAGGUGUUUGGAGAGUCACUCGUGACAGGAUGAAACCUCUCAAGAAUCCCGAGAAACCCACCACGAGUGAGGAAAAAGAAAUUCAUUUAAAUGCUAGAGCCAAAAAUUGCUUGUAUGAAUCUCUUAGCAUGGAUAUUUUUAAUCAAGUAUUUACCUUGAGAACUGCUAAUGAGAUUUGGCUAAAAUUGCAUGAGCUCCAUGAUGGCACAUCCAAUGUCCAUGAGCAAAAACAUUGCCUAGUCUUGAAUGAGUAUAAUUCUUUUGCUAUGAAAGAUGAUGAGCUUGUUAGAGACAUGUAUUCUCGUUUGAAUCUAAUUAUCAAUGAGCUCAAUUCUAUUGGCAUUAAUAAGCUAGGUGAUGCGGACAUUGUGAGGAAGAUUAUCUCCCUGCUACCACAACAAAGAUAUGGGAGCAUCAUCACCAUCCUUCACAACAUGGAGGAUUUGAGCAACAUGACCCCGACCAUUGUGAUUGGGAAAAUCGCGGCCUUUGAGAUGUCGCGAAAAAUGAGUCGGGGAGAGGAGCCAACUUCCUCAAGACCAUAUGCUUUUGCAUGUGAUGAAAGGAAGGGCAAAAAGAAGGCUCCCACUCCAAGUUCCUCAAGUGAAGAAGAGGAAGAAGAAGAAAGUGAUGAUGAUGAAGAUAAUCAACCAUGCACAUCAUCCUCCGAGGACGAAGAAACAAUCCGACGCGUUGGAAAGGUAAUGAGGAUGAUUCGCAAGAUUAAUCUAAUGGGUGUGCCCCUGCAGGUCGAGGAUCUUCUCUUUAACAUUGACAGGAAAAAGCAAAGGAAGAGAGGAUGCUUCGCAUGUGGGGAGAAGGGCCACUUCAGGGACAACUGUCCAAAUAUGGCCAAGCCCAAAAAGGAGAGGUGCAAAGGCAAGGCGCUAACCAGUGUUAGAACUUGGGAUGAUUCUUCAAGUGAAGAUGAACCUCCAAAGACGCGCAGCCACCGGUCCUCGUCACGAUCUUCACGGUCAUCACACAAAUGCCUUAUGGCAAGAGGUAACAAAAGCAUUCCAUCCUCUAGUGAUGAAAGUAGUAGUGAUGAUGAAGGUGAGGGAAAGCCCUCUCUAGAUGAGCUUGCGGAAGCCGUAGAAUUUUUCCAGGAUGUUUGCACUAAGCAAAAAGCUCAACUUAAAACUUUGAAAAAUAAGUUGGUUAGCUCUCAAAAUGAUUACAAAGGUUUGCUAGAAAAAUUUGAAACUUUUGCAAACUUAAAUAGUGAGCUAUCAACUAAAAUUGAGCUAUUAGAAUCUAGUGCUCCAUCCACUGCUACCGAUGAUAGCCUUAUUAAAAAGAAUGAAAAACUUAAGGCUAAGUUAGCUAGCCCCCAAGAAGCUAUUGAAAAUUUGCUAGAGAAAAUGGAAAUUCUUAGCAUACACAACAAUGAGCUAACUACUAAGCUAGAAAACAUUGGUAGCACCCCAGCAGCAUCUUUAGUUGAAAUACCUGAAAUAAUUAAGAAAGAUGCUUCUACUUCCUGCUUUGAUUUAAUUGAUGAUUCUAACCCCUGCAACCAAGUCGUUGUUGAGAAUAUUGUUGUAGAGACAUGUUCGGAUGAGGUUGCAAAGGAAAAUGAACAAUUAAAGCAAGAAGUGGCUCGCCUUGGCAAGGCUUUGUAUGACAAGAAAGGCAAAGCCAAACAAAUCCGACCUCCACAGGAUAACACCACUGCGGGAGUGAACAAGCCUGUAGAGGGAGAAACUGUGAUUUGUAGGCUAUGCCACAUGGAAGGCCACAAGUCUUUCCAAUGCAAGGCGAUGACCGGGGAUAAACAAAGGCAAAAGCUCAAGCAAAAGCCAUCAAGCAAAAUCUCCAACACCUACAUCAAAAAGGUGAACAAAAAGGAUGCUACACCAUAUUUGAUCAAGAAGAAAAAGAAUGGAAAGGUGAUAGCAAUCAAGGCAAACAAGCAAGCCAACAAAGGAAAGGGGGCCAAACGCAUCUGGGUGCCAAAGGAAAUAAUUUCAACCAUGAAAAGCACCAAGAAGGUUUGGAUCCCGAAAGGGAAGUGAGUGGACCAAAGGUCGUACGGGAAAUUUGGAGACUUGGCAAAAUUGGGAUGUAUAUCAUGGGAUACAUCAUAUUGAAUCAAGUUUAUUGCCAAGUGGGUUAGUGAAAAUUUUGGACCCAAAUUUCCCACCCAUGACUAAGGUAACUAGUUUUAUUGUAUUUCUCGUUUUUAGAUAUGCGUAUCUAUUUAUCUUUUAUCUAGUUUACCUUUCUUGCCUAGUAUUACAUUUGUUAUGUACUUUUGUUCAAAAUCAUGCAUACUAGGUAAAUCAUAUGGUAGGAUUGCUAGUUUUUAAAUUCAUAUACUUAAGCAAACCUACAUGGCUUAAAAUGUUUAGUUAAAGCACGGCACAUAGCUUCUAUAUCACUCCAUAGUAAAUGAUGCAUCAAUUGAAAAUUUUGAUUUCUACAAAGUGUAUCAUUUAACUUAUAUGUGCCAAAGUUAGGAUUAUGGAUAAUUUGCCCCUCUUGAUAUCAAAUCAAAGUGCAUGUCUCCUACAAGUAUUCAAAACUUGUAUGCACACCUUUAGGGGGAGGUUACUUGUCGGGGACCAUAAUUAGGGGUACCCUCAAGACGCCUAAUUCUCAGCUGGUAACCCCCAUCAGCAUAAAGCUGCAAAGGCCUGAUGGGUACGAUUAAGUCAGGGAUCAGUCCACACGAGUGACUCGAUCACGCUUCACCCGAGCCUAGCCUCGGCCAAGGGCAGCCGACCUCGAGAGACUUCCGUCUCGCCCGAGGCCCCCCUUUUUACGGCGGACACAUCACCGGCUCGCCCGAGGCCUUGGCUUCGCUCAGAAGCAACCUUGGCUAAAUCGCCACACCGACUGACCAAAUUGCAGGAGCAUUUAACGCAAAGGUGGCCUGACGCCUUUAUCCUGACACGCGCCCCCCCCGGCAGAGCCGAAGUGACUACCGUCACUCCACCGCUCCUCUGACCAGUCUGACAGAAGGACAGCGCCGCCUGCGCCACUCCGACUGCAGUGCCACUCGACAGAGUGAGUCUGACAGGCAGUCAGGCCUUGCCAAAGGUGCCACGGCGAACUCCGCUCCGCCCGACCCCAGGGCUCGGACUCGGGCUAAGACCCGGAAGACGGCGAACUCCGCUCCGCCCGACCCCAGGGCUCGGACUCGGGCUAAGACCCGGAAGACGGCGAACUCCGCUCCGCCCGACCCCAGGGCUCAGACUCGGGCUAAGACCCGGAAGACGGCGAACUCCGCUCCGCCCGACCCCAGGGCUCGGACUCGGGCUAAGACCCGGAAGACGGCGAACUCCGCUCCGCCGGACCCCAGGGCUCGGACUCGGGCUAAGACCCGGAAGACGGCAAACUCCGCUCCGCCCGACCCCAGGGCUCGGACUCGGGCUAAGACCCGGAAGACGACGAAACUCCGCCUCGCCCGACCCUAGGGCUCGGACUCCGCCCUGGCCUCGGCCGAACGACUUCCGCCUCGCCCGACCCCAUGGCUCGGGCUCGGCCUAGGCAACAAAGGACAGACUCAACCUCGGCUUCGGAGGAGCCCCCACGUCACCCUGCCUAGGGCACAGACCCGCCACGUCAACAGGAAGCGCCAUCAUCAUCCUACCCCGAAUCGACUCGGGUCACGGAGAACAAGACCGGCGUCCCAUCCGGCCAGCUCCGCCGGACGGGCAAUGAUGGCGCUCCACAAACUCUAUGACGAUGGCGGCCCCCAGCUCUCUUACGGAAGCAGGACGACGUCAGCAGGGACUCGACCGCUCCAACAGCUGUCCCUCCGCCAAGCUCCGACGCACCUCCGACAGCCACGACAUCACGCCAGCAAGGUGCCAAGAUCUCUCCGGCUGCCACAUUGGCAUGUACCUAGGGCGCUAGCUCUCUCUCCGCUAGACACGUAGCACUCUGCUACACCCCCAUUGUACACCUGGAUCCUCUCCUUACGACUAUAAAAGGGAGGACCAGGGCCUUCUUAGAGGAGGUUGGCCGCGCGGGACCGAGGACGGGACAGACGCUCUCUUGGGGCCGCUCGCUUCCCUCACCCGCGUGGACGCUUGUAACCCCCCUACUGCAAGCGCACCUGACCUGGGCGCGGGACGAACACGAAGGCCGCGGGACUUCCACCUCUCUCACGCCCGACUCCGGCCACCUCGCCUCUCCCCCCUUCGCGCUUGCCCACGCGCUCGACCCAUCUGGGCUGGGGCACGUAGCACACUCACUCGUCGGCUUAGGGACCCCCCUGUCUCGAAACGCCGACAGUUGGCGCGCCAGGUAGGGGCCUGCUGCGUGCUGACGAACAGCUCCCCGUCAAGCUCCAGAUGGGCAGUCUCCAGCAACCUCUCCGGCCCGGGACGGUGCUUCGUUUCGGGACUCUUGAGUUCAUGUCCUUCGACGGCAGCUACGACAUGAUACUCCUUCCACCGCCGCGCGACGGCGACAAUGGCGGCCGACAACCCGCCCGCCGGCGGCGGAAUCGACGACAUCUUCCCCGCGUGGUGGAAGAGCAACAUUCGGGCUCGCUCCGUUCUCUCCCCCGCCAACGGAGGAGGAGGCGGGGCCAUCAAGGCCAGGCGGGAGGCCGCGCUUCGUUGGCCAUCGAGCGAAUCGACGCCCCCGACGCCCCGACGGAAGGCACGCCGGACGUCGACCUCGCGUUCAAGACGACGCCGGAAGACGACGCCGGCGCGCUCGCGGAAAGCCUGCAGGACGUCGCCCUCGUACCUGAGAUGACGGUGCAACCAGUCCCCGAUGUGACUACGUCGCUCCUCGUCGACCAAAAGGUACCAACUAACUCCCAUCUUGCGUCAUUUCGACUCGGCCUCAACCCGCCAAACGACCUCGUUUUGGCGGGCGCUCUCAUUGAGGCGAAUGCAACCCCACUGGGGUUUCGUGUGCGGUCGCCUUGGGACCGACUGACGGACGUCUCGACCUACGGGCCCUCUGGGUCCGAGGAAGAUGACGAUCCCAGCAUCUGUUGGGAUUUCUCCGGACUUGGUAGCCCCAGUGCCAUGCGGGACUUCAUGACCGCAUGUGACUACUGCCUAUCCGACUGUUCCGACGGAAGCCGCAGCCUUGGCGACGAGAGCUGCGGCCCAAGCCGCGAAUGUUUCCACAUCGAGCUAGGGGAUCCCUCCGAAGGCAACCAUCUCGGCAUGCCGGAGGACGGUGAUCUUCCUAGGCCGGUGCCUCGCGCCGACAUCCCACGGGAGCUAGCUGUGGUCCCCGCUCCGGCGGGGGGUUACGACCCACAACUCGAGCAAGUCCGCGAGGCGCAGGCCAGGCUCAACGAGGGAACAGGAGCGCUUGAGCCGAUCCGUCGGGACGUCGGACAAGCAUGGGCGGGCCAACCCCUGGCCGGAGAAAUACGUCACCUGCCCCAAGGUCUCCAGCACCGCGUUGCCAACGAUGCCAGGGUCAGGCCGCCGCCCGCAUCCAGCCGGGUUGGUCAGAACCUGGCAGCCGCAGCGAUGCUCAUCCGCGCGAUGCCGGAGCCGUCAACCACCGAGGGUCGGCGAAUCCAGGGAGAGCUCAAGAAUCUCCUGGAAGGCGCUGCGGCCCGACGGGCCGAAAGCACUGCCUCUCGAAGGCAGGGAUAUCCCUCGGAACCUCAUGCCGCGACUUCCCGAUUCAUGCGGGAAGCCUCGGUCCACACCGGGCGCACGCGCAACACCGCGCCUGCGGCCCCGGGCCACCUCGGCAACGAGCACCAUCGACGCGACCGUCGGGCUCACCUCGACGAAAGGGUGCGCCGAGGCUACCACCCCAGGCGUGGGGGACGCUAUGACAGCGGGGAGGAUCGGAGUCCCUCGCCCGAACCACCCGGUCCGCAGGCCUUCAGUCGGGCCAUCCGACGGGCGCCAUUCCCGACCCGGUUCCGACCCCCGACUACUAUCACGAAGUACUCGGGGGAAACGAGACCGGAACUAUGGCUCGCGGACUACCGAUCCCCCUGUUCAUCCGUAACCUCCCCCUGUUCCUCUCCGACACUGCUCGCGCCUGGUUGGAGCACCUGCCUCCGGGGCAGAUCUCCAACUGGGACGACUUGGUCCAAGCCUUCGCUGGCAAUUUCCAGGGCACAUACGUGCGCCCCGGGAAUUCCUGGGACCUUCGAAGCUGCCGGCAACAGCCGGGGGAGUCGCUCUGGGACUACAUCCGGCGAUUCUCGAAGCAGCGCACCGAGCUGCCCAACAUCACCGACUCGGAUGUCAUCGGCGCAUUCCUCGCCGGCACCACUUGCCGCGACCUGGUGAGCAAGCUGGGUCGCAAGACCCCCACCAGGGCGAGCGAGCUGAUGGACAUCGCCACCAAGUUCGCCUCUGGCCAGGAGGCGGUUGAGGCUAUCUUCCGAAAGGACAAGCAGCCCCAGGGCCGCCCAUCGGAAGAGGCUCCCGAGGCGUCUGCUCCGCGCGGCGCCAAGAAAAAAGGCAAGAAGAAGUCGCAAUCGAAACGCGACGCCGCUGACGCGGACCUUGUCGCCGCCGCCGAGUACAAGAACCCUCGGAAGCCCCCCAGAGGUGCAAACCUCUUCGACAAGAUGCUCAAGGAGCCGUGCCCCUAUCAUCAGGGGCCCGUCAAGCACACCCUCGAGGAGUGCGUUAUGCUUCGGCGUCACUUCCACAGGGCCGGGCCACCCGCCGAGGGUGGCAGGGCCCGCGACGACGACAAGAAUGAAGAUCACCCAGCAGGAGAGUUCCCCGAGGUCCGCGACUGCUUCAUGAUCUAUGGAGGGCAUGCGGCGAAUGCCUCGGCUCGGCACCGCAAGCAAGAGCGCCGGGAGGUCUGCUCGGUGAAGGUGGCGGCGCCAGUCUACCUAGACUGGUCCGACAAGCCCAUCACUUUCGACCAGGCCGACCACCCCGACCAUGUGCCGAGCCCGGGGAAAUACCCGCUCGUCGUCGACCCCGUUGUCGGCAAUGUCAGGCUCACCAAAGUCCUGAUGGAUGGGGGCAGCUGCCUCAACAUCAUCUACGCCGAGACCCUCAAGCUCCUGCGCGUCGAUCUGUCCUCCGUCCGAGCAGGCGCUGCGCCCUUCCACGGGAUCAUCCCUGGGAAGCGCGUCCAGCCCCUCGGGCGACUCGACCUCCCCGUCUGCUUCGGGACGCCCUCCAACUUCCGAAGGGAGACCCUGACGUUCGAGGUGGUCGGGUUCCGAGGAACCUACCACGCCGUACUAGGGAGGCCAUGCUACGCGAAGUUCAUGGCCGUCCCCAACUACACCUACCUGAAGCUCAAGAUGCCGGGCCCCAACGGGGUCAUCACCGUCGGCCCCACGUACAAACACGCGUUCGAAUGCGACGUGGAGUGCGUGAGUACGCCGAGGCCCUCGCCGAGUCCGAGGCCCUCAUCGCCGACCUGGAGAACCUCUCCAAGGAGGUGCCAGACGUGAAGCGCCAUGCCGGCAACUUCGAACCAGCGGAGACGGUUAAGGCCGUCCCUCUCGACCUCAGUGGCGACACCACCAAGCAGGUCCGGAUCGGUUCCGGGCUCGACCCCAAAUAGGAAGCAGUGCUCGUCGACUUUCUCUGCGCAAACGCCGACGUCUUUGCGUGGAGUCCCUCGGACAUGCCCGGCAUACCGAGGGAUGUCGCCGAGCACUCGCUGGAUAUUCGGGCCGGAGCCCAACCCGUCAGGCAGCCUCUGCGCCGAUUCGACGAGGAGAAGCGCAGAGUGAUUGGCGAAGAGAUCCACAAGCUAAUGGCAGCAGGGUUCAUCAAAGAGGUAUUCCAUCCCGAAUGGCUUGCCAACCCUGUGCUUGUGAGGAAGAAAGGGGGGAAAUGGCGGAUGUGUGUAGACUACACUGGUCUCAACAAAGCAUGUCCGAAGGUUCCCUACCCUCUGCCUCGCAUCGACCAAAUCGUGGAUUCCACCGCUGGGUGCGAAACCCUGUCCUUCCUUGAUGCCUACUCAGGGUAUCACCAGAUCCGGAUGAAAGAGUCCGACCAGCUCAUGACUUCUUUCAUCACGCCGUUCGGCAUGUACUGCUAUGUCACCAUGCCGUUCGGUUUGAGGAAUGCGGGCGCGACGUACCAGCGGUGCAUGAACCAUGUGUUCGGCGAACACAUCGGUCGCACAGUCGAGGCCUACGUCGAUGACAUCGUAGUCAAGACAAGGAAGGCAUCCGACCUCCUCUCCGACCUUGAAGUGACAUUCCGAUGUCUCAAGGCGAAAGGAGUCAAGCUCAAUCCUGAGAAGUGUGUCUUCGGGGUGCCCCGAGGCAUGCUCCUAGGGUUCAUCGUCUCCGAGCGAGGCAUUGAAGCCAACCCGGAGAAGAUCGCGGCCAUCACCAGCAUGGGACCCAUCAAGGACUUAAAAGGUGUACAAAGGGUCAUGGGAUGCCUCGCGGCCCUGAGCCGCUUCAUCUCACGCCUCGGCGAAAGAGGUCUGCCUCUGUACCGCCUCUUAAGGAAGGCCGAGUGUUUCGCUUGGACCCCUGAGGCCGAGGAAGCCCUCGGCAACCUGAAGGCGCUCCUUACAAAGGCGCCUGUCUUGGUGCCCCCGGCUGAUGGAGAAGCCCUCUUGGUCUACGUCGCCGCGACCACUCAGGUGGUUAGCGCCGCGAUUGUGGUCGAGAGGCAAGAGGAAGGGCAUGCAUUGCCCGUUCAGAGGCCGGUCUACUUCGUCAGCGAAGUGCUGUCCGAGACCAAGAUCCGCUACCCACAAGUUCAAAAGCUGCUAUAUGCUAUGAUCCUGACAAGGCGGAAGCUGCGACACUACUUCGAGUCUCAUCCGGUAACUGUGGUGUCAUCCUUCCCCCUGGGGGAGAUCAUCCAGUGCCGAGAGGCCUCGGGCAGGAUCGCAAAGUGGGCGGUGGAAAUCAUGGGCGAAACAAUCUCGUUCGCCCCUCAGAAGGCCAUCAAGUCCCAGGUGUUGGCAGACUUCGUGGCCGAAUGGGUCGACACCUAGUCGCCGACAGCUCCGAUCCAACCGGAGCUCUGGACCAUGUUUUUCGACGGGUCGCUGAUGAAGACAGGAGCCGGCGCGGGCCUGCUCUUCAUCUCGCCCCUCGGAAAGCACUUGCGCUACGUGCUGCGCCUCCAUUUCCCGGCGUCCAACAAUGUGGCCGAAUACGAAGCUCUGGUCAAUGGGUUGCGGAUCGCCAUCGAGCUAGGGGUCAGACGCCUCGACGCCCGCGGUGAUUCGCAGCUCGUCAUCGACCAAGUCAUGAAGAACUCCCACUGCCGCGACCCGAAGAUGGAGGCCUACUGUGACGAGGUUCGGCGCCUGGAAGACAAGUUCUUCGGGCUCGAACUCAACCACAUCGCUCGGCGCUACAACGAAACCGCAGACGAGCUGGCUAAAAUAGCCUCGGGGCGAACGACGGUCCCCCCGGACGUCUUCUCCCGGGAUCUGCAUCAACCCUCUGUCAAGCUCGACGACACGCCCGAGCCCGAGGUACCCUCGGCUACGCCCAAGGCACCCUCGGCGCAGCCCGAGGUACCCUCGGCCCCCGAGGGCGAGGCGUUGGACGUCGAGGAAGAGCAGAGCGGGGCCACGCCAGAUCGAGAUUGGCAGGCCCCGUACCUGCAAUAUCUCCGUCGAGGAGAGCUACCCCCCGACCAAGUCGAGGCUCGGCGGGUAGCGCGGCGCGCCAAGUCAUUCGUCUUGCUGGGCGAUGAAGAGGAGCUCCACCAUCGCAGCCCCUCGGGCAUCCUCCAGCGAUGCAUCUCCAUCGCCGAGGGUCGGGAGCUGCUGCAAGAAAUGCACUCGGGGGCUUGCGGCCACCACGCAGCGCCCCGAGCCCUUGUCGGGAAUGCUUUCCGACAAGGCUUCUACUGGCCAACGGCGGUGGCUGACGCCACUAGAAUUGUCCGCACCUGCGAAGGGUGCCAAUUCUAUGCGAAGCGGACCCACCUGCCCGCUCAGGCUCUGCAGACAAUACCCAUCACCUGGCCCUUCGCUGUAUGGGGUCUGGACCUCGUCGGUCCCUUGCAGAAGGCGCCCGGGGGCUACACGCACCUGCUGGUCGCCAUCGACAAAUUCUCCAAGUGGAUCGAGGUCCGACCUCUGAACAGCAUCAGGUCCGAGCAGGCGGUGGCGUUCUUCGCCAACAUCAUCCAUCGCUUCGGGGUCCCGAACUCCAUCAUCACCGACAACGGCACCCAGUUCACCGGCAAAAAAUUCUUGGAUUUUUGCGAGGAUCACCAUAUCCGGGUGGACUGGGCCGCCGUGGCUCACCCCAUGUCGAAUGGGCAAGUAGAGCGUGCCAACGGCAUGAUUCUACAAGGGCUCAAGCCUCGGAUCUACAACGACCUCAACAAGUUCGGCAAGCGAUGGAUGAAGGAACUCCCCUCGGUGGUCUGGAGCCUAAGGACGACGCCGAGUCGUGCCACGGGUUUCACGCCGUUUUUCCUGGUCUACGGGGCUGAAGCUAUCUUGCCCACUGACCUGGAAUACGGCUCCCCGAGGAUGAGGGCCUACACCGAUCAAAGCAACCAAGCUAGCCGAGAAGAAUCGCUGGACCAGCUGGAGGAGGCUCGGGACAGGGCCUUACUACACUCGGCGCGGUACCAGCAGUCCCUGCGACGCUACCACGCCCGAGGGAUCCGGUCCCGAGAACUCCAGGUGGGCGAUCUGGUGCUUCGGCUGCGACAAGACGCCCGAGGGAGGCACAAGCUCACGCCCCCCUGGGAAGGGCCAUUCGUCAUCGCCAAAGUUCUGAAGCCCGGAACAUACAAGCUGGCCAACAAUCAAGGCGAGAUCUACGGCAACGCUUGGAACAUCAAACAGCUACGUCGCUUCUACCCUUAAGAUGUUUUCAAGUUGUUCAUAUACCUCGCAGCCACGCAAAGUUUAGUCGUCAAGGAAGGGUCGGCCUAGCCUCGACAAAGCCCGACCCUCCCUCGGGGGCUAAAAGGGGGGAGACCCCCUCUGCGUCGAAUUUUUCCUCGAAAAAGGAUCUCUUUUUAGCAGGAUUUCUUUCGUGCUUCUUGACUACUUCGGAAAGCGGAUCCUAGAAACGACGGAGUACACGUAAGCAGCCAAGGCUGACCGAGCCGAGGGACUCCUACGCCUCCGGGAUACGGAUACCUCACUCAUCACCUUCUGCGAUAAGUAACUCGCGCUCGGAUAAAGCGACUCCGUGGACCGAACAAGUCUUCACGUUCGGAAGCUCUCCUGCCGAAGCAAUCCUUCAAGCUUUCUCGACUAAGUCGGGGACAGGGCCUCAUGAACGGGUGAAAGUAAGCGUAAACGGCAAGACCGACCGAGCCGAGGGAUUCCCACGCCUCUGGGACACGGAUACCUCACUCGUCCCUUCCGCGAGAAGCAACUCUCGCUCGCACAAACAUCCCUGUUACCGACAGGGUCCAGAUGCUCGAAACAAGAGGAAAAAAGACACAGCUUCGCAAGCGCGGCGAGGGUGUGUUUUUCUGGCCUCGGCGGCCGCAGAAGGCACACGCUACAAGACAAUAUGAUCCUGCAGGCUCGGGUCUUCACGCCGAAGGGAGCUAUAGCACCCUCGGCAUCGACGACGUCUUCAGCAAAGUCCGACCCAGCCUCGGACGGCGACGCGGUCCAGGGACUCCUCCGGGAAUCCGGCCCGAGCAGGCGGCUCGGCCGGUUACCCCUGGGGCCUCGGUCAACCGGCUUCCAAGGGCGCCAGCCCGACCCAAGGCCUCGGCUGAUCGACUUUGGCGUCGGCUCCACUGACGGACAACACGACUAGGCUCCGGCCAACCAGGUUCCCAUUCUCGAGCCAACUCCGCCUCUGUUCAUACUGAUAUCGCUACCCCUGGCCUCGGCCCAUCGAAGGGUGGCCGAGGGGUCUCUUCAACUAAGCUAAGAGGAGCCCCAGGCAACAAGGCCGAACGGGCCGAGGGAUUCCUACGCCUCCGGGAUACGGAUACCUCACCCGUCACCUUGACACGGGGUGACUCAUGCUUGGUAAAGCGGUUCAGAUAAUCGACAGGCGAGACUUAGUGCUCGAAAAUGAGGAAAAGACACGGCUCCGUGCCGAAAUUACAUACAUGUUCAGGCCCCGACAGCCGCAAUGAACAAAAAACACCGGCAUUCGAAAUGCCAUUACAAACGGAACUCCGGUUCCCCUCCGCAGGAACGAACAACCCCACUCCGAGGGGGAAGGCCUGCGGAGUAACAGAAGAACGAUGAGCGGCUCGCUGCCGCCCGUUCCAACCACGACGACAACCACCCCUGCCCUAGGCAGCGAAGCGGCUUAGGCAGCAGCUUUGGGGCAGGUGUCACGACAGGAGGGCUCUCCCCCGCUAAGGACAAGAACCAGCCAUUCAGGCAGGGAGACGGAGACCCAGGGCCACUAGCGCCCUACCUAUCCCGGCAUGGCUGGAGGAAGUCUCCGUGGGGCUCAAGGACGCCCUUCUCCCCCAGGCGCGGGGGAAGAAAAAGGCAGCCGACCCACGCGGGGGCGGCCCCCCGACUCGCCUCAUCUUCCAUCUUGGCCUGGAUGACGAAAAUCCUUGAGGCCGAGGGAGGAGUAGAGGCCGCGGCCUGGCCCGCUUUCCCCACCGUCGAACUAGAGGUCACCAUCUUGGGUGACCGCCGGUGGCGGGGUGUGGCCAGGCUGCGUGAUGAAAAUCCUUGAAGCCGAACGAUGGCUGAGAGGUACCAACUCUCAUGGAGUUGCGUUCCUCCGACGAGGAGGCGGAAAGGCGGCGGAUACCCCCCAUCCGGGGGCUUGGAAGAUGGAAAGACACGACGCAUAAGGGAAAAAGAAGACAUGGUUGCCUUCCGAAAGGAGUCCCCCUCCUUUUAAAGGCAACUCUCCCUACGUGCGCCCCCGGACGCCGCGGGCCGAGUCUUCUCCAACACGCUCCAAGGCCCUCCCCUGCGACUCGGGGGCUGGGUCCCGCAUGUCAUGCAAACCAGCUCAGGGCAGAAGAAGCCAAACCGCCGCGCGUGGUGCGCACGACCGUCCAGCGGUUACAAGCGACCCCCCACUUUGGCCCAGACCAACGGGCGGAAGGGGCGGGCAGCCAUGCAGGCGGCAUGCAACCGCGCCAGGUGGACGCGCUUCUCCGACUUCUGACACGCCAGCUUGGAAGCCCAAGCCCACGCGUCAAAAAACCGGCGCGCCAGUUGCUGCAUGCAAGCAACCGCACCGCCACUUGUGCCACCGUGACGCCUCUUCGGUUGCGGAGCCUAUGCCGCGACUUGAGGCGACCCAACAGCGCCAGCCUGGCACGUCGGUCAAAGCAACCGAAAGUGGGCCGGCAGUAAUGGCGGUGGCAGGCGGGCGGGCGCAGCAGUCACGUCGUCAGCCAGGCUCACGUCCCAUCCUGGGACAGCAAGAGAGCCUCCUCUCACGGCGCGAAGACGGUGCACCCGUGACCCGUUCCUCGAACGGCUCGCGCACACGUAACGGCCACCCCGCCAACCACUCGCCCCGUCGCAUUAACUCCGCGGCGGGACACGCGGAGCCUCUGGCGGGAGAAGCGCGCGACGCUUCGCCUUCGCCGUGAUAACCGCGUCAAAAAGAGGUACGCCACGUCGUUCGAUUUCGUAUCCUUUUCCUUUUUCCUCUUUCUCUAUCUCUUGCAACAGGGACCGGGAAAGGGGGAUACCCCGAAAAGGAUCCUUCUCUGCGAAGGAACCGGGCUCCGAGCCCCCCCUACUGAUCAGGGGUUCGAAGACUGGCCCUCCGAAGGGUUCAACAGUCGCCUCAGAUCGCGUGGGCCCGACACCCGCUACUGGUCAGGGGUUCGAAGGCCAGCCCCCCGAAGGGUUCCAUGGCCGCCUCAGGCUACUCGGGCUCCGCGCCCAUUACUGAUCAGGGGUUCGAAGGCUGGCCCCCGAAGGGUUCACAGUCGCCUCAGACACCGAGCGAGGGAUGACCAGGGGUACGUUCGAUACAUAACCGAGGCUCGGGCUGCGCUCCCGAGGUACCCUAGGACAUUUCCGAGACCAGCGGGAACGAUCUUGUAACGGAAUCCCAUCGGAGGGAGGCAUCGAGCCCUCGGACCCCGUCGCCAGGGGACCGGGUCCGGCAAAUCACCCGCAGGUACUUUUGGGCGUGCCUCUGGGCCCCUAGUCGACCCCCAACGAACGGGGCACGGACGUCCACUCGGAUUACCCGCUUGCAGCUCACCGGAGACACCAUGUUCGGUGCCCAUCGAGGGUAACAUGGCGCACUCCCCCCUCCUCCUUGCGGAAAGGCGACGUAGGGGCGUAUGUAAAAAGUCGAGUCUGUCCCUGAUCGUCCUCUCGCCCUGUGCAGAGGCUCGGGGGCUGCUCUCGCAAAAAACCGGCUCCGGCCAAACCGUUGACAGCGUCAACAUACCAGCCCGAGAGCUUGGGCCCCGACCGUGCACCCGGGCUACGGCCAGUUCGCAUGAGGGAACGACCAGACCAGCCGAAGCGUUACGCGAGGUAUUAAGACCUCGAAGGAGUGUAACCACUCCUCCGAGGCCUCGGGGGCUACACCCGGCGGGUGCGCUCGCGCGCACCCACCGGAACAAAAUGCAACCGAGAAAGGCUGGUCCCCUUGCAAAAAAGUGCGACGAAAGCCUCCAAGCGAGUGCUAACACUCCCUUCGAGGCUCGGGGGCUACUGUCGGGGACCAUAAUUAGGGGUACCCUCAAGACGCCUAAUUCUCAGCUGGUAACCCCCAUCAGCAUAAAGCUGCAAAGGCCUGAUGGGUACGAUUAAGUCAGGGAUCAGUCCACACGAGUGACUCGAUCACGCUUCACCCGAGCCUAGCCUCGGCCAAGGGCAGCCGACCUCGAGAGACUUCCGUCUCGCCCGAGGCCCCCCUUUUUACGGCGGACACAUCACCGGCUUGCCCGAGGCCUUGGCUUCGCUCAGAAGCAACCUUGGCUAAAUCGCCACACCGACUGACCAAAUUGCAGGAGCAUUUAACGCAAAGGUGGCCUGACGCCUUUAUCCUGACACGCGCCCCCCCGGCAGAGCCGAAGUGACUGCCGUCACUCCACCGCUCCUCUGACCAGUCUGACAGAAGGACAGCGCCGCCUGCGCCACUCCGACUGCAGUGCCACUCGACAGAGUGAGUCUGACAGGCAGUCAGGCCUUGCCAAAGGCGCCACGGCGAACUCCGCUCCGCCCGACCCCAGGGCUCGGACUCGGGCUAAGACCCGGAAGACGGCGAACUCCGCUCCGCCCGACCCCAGGGCUCGGACUCGGGCUAAGACCCGGAAGACGGCGAACUCCGCUCCGCCCGACCCCAGGGCUCGGACUCGGGCUAAGACCCGGAAGACGGCGAACUCCGCUCCGCCCGACCCCAGGGCUCGGACUCGGGCUAAGACCCGGAAGACGGCGAACUCCGCUCCGCCCGACCCUAGGGCUCGGACUCGGGCUAAGACCCGGAAGACGACGAAACUCCGCCUCGCCCGACCCCAGGGCUCGGACUCCGCCCUGGCCUCGGCCGAACGACUUCCGCCUCGCCCGACCCCAUGGCUCGGGCUCGGCCUAGGCAACAAAGGACAGACUCAACCUCGGCUUCGGAGGAGCCCCCACGUCACCCUGCCUAGGGCACAGACCCGCCACGUCAACAGGAAGCGCCAUCAUCAUCCUACCCCGAAUCGACUCGGGUCACGGAGAACAAGACCGGCGUCCCAUCCGGCCAGCUCCGCCGGACGGGCAAUGAUGGCGCUCCACAAACUCUAUGACGAUGGCGGCCCCCAGCUCUCUUACGGAAGUAGGACGACGUCAGCAGGGACUCGACCGCUCCAACAGCUGUCCCUCCGCCAAGCUCCGACGCACCUCCGACAGCCACGACAUCACGCCAGCAAGGUGCCAAGAUCUCUCCGGCUGCCACAUUGGCAUGUACCUAGGGCGCUAGCUCUCUCUCCGCUAGACACGUAGCACUCUUCUACACCCCCCAUUGUACACCUGGAUCCUCUCCUUACGACUAUAAAAGGGAGGACCAGGGCCUUCUUAGAGGAGGUUGGCCGCGCGGGACCGAGGACGGGACAGGCGCUCUCUUGGGGCCGCUCGCUUCCCUCACCCGCGUGGACGCUUGUAACCCCCCUACUGCAAGCGCACCUGACCUGGGCGCGGGACGAACACGAAGGCCGCGGGACUUCCACCUCUCUCACGCCCGACUCCGGCCACCUCGCCUCUCCCCCCUUCGCGCUCGCCCACGCGCUCGACCCAUCUGGGCUGGGGCACGCAGCACACUCACUCGUCGGCUUAGGGACCCCCCUGUCUCGAAACGCCGACAUUACUCUAUAAUCUAACACUUUGAGACUAACACCUUUUCAAGUCUAUUUCAUGUGAUAGUCUCAUUGUAAGGAAAAUGAAGUCCCCGGAGAAAGACAACAAUAUUCCACUGCAAAAUCUCCAAGAACUCUCAUGUCUCUCAAGCUCGCCAUUGAUCUUCAAUUGGUAUCUUUUGAGACUACAUUCAGUAUCAUUUACAUGUCUUCUCCAAAUAUUUGAUUAGACUAUAUUUCAUAUCAUAUGCUUCCAUGUUGCUAAAAAUGCAUAAGUAGUGAACUCAUACUCUGUUACCUAUGCAUAAGGGAAGUUAGUCUUUUCAAAUCAUGUCUUGCACCUCUAAUUUUCACAUGCUUUUUCCUAAGUAGAGGAUCUCUGUCAGGGGGAGUAUUUCUUCAUCUCUAAAAAGGGGGAGAAACUUCUUUGUAAAGAGAACACUCAUUUAGGGGGAGUUCCUUUCAACUGGUAUCAUUCAUAUGGUUUAUUUUAAUAUCCUUCUAGUGAUAUCAUUUGAUACAAUUCUUGUUGAGGGCAAGCUUUUAUUUACUUCCUACAUGCUUUUAAUGUCUUCCUUUUCGGUGGUUGAUGCCAAAGGGGGAGAAGUUUAGGGACCAAAAGCAAUGGAAACUAUAUCAAACACCAAACACCACCAAUUUAAAAUUUUAUAUCUACAAAUGGUUUUUCCAGUGGUUUUGGUUAUUUGGUCCAAAAAUAGGAAGUAAGUGAAUUAUGGAGUUAGGGGGAGACUUAAGUCCAUAAUAUCACAUUGUGGGGACAAUCAUGCAUCUUAGCAAGUAGAUUGCAUAUUUUAAUUCAAACACUUGUAUUAUUUGCUUGCUUUGGUUGUGUUGUCAUCAAUCACCAAAAAGGGGGAGAUUGUAAGGAAAAUGGACCCCGGGCCAUUUGGCUAAUUGAGUUUUGGUGUUUGAUGAUUAACACAACCUGUGGACUAAUAUGUUUGCUAGUGUUUAUAAUUAUAGUUCACAGGAUGCGAAGAGAAUUGGACCAAGGCAAUGAGGAUGCAACACCUCAAAAGAAGACAUAAAAAGAUGCAUAGGAGUCCAAUACUCAAGAAUAAAAGAAGCCCGAAGAAAUCAGCGAAGAAAUCCAAGAUAAGGGCUGUCAGCCAGCGCCUGGUGGCGCACCGGACAUUGGUGUCCGGUGUGCACCGGACUGUCCGGUGAGGCACCGGACAGUCUGCGCAGAGAGGCCGCAGACAUGCGCUCUCUGGCUGUAGCACCGGACUGUCCGGUGUGCACCGGACUGUCCGGUGUGCCAACGGGCAGACGGCAACGGUCGGAUCCAACGGUCGACUGCUACAGGCGCCAACGGUCGGCUGACGUGGCGUGCACCGGACAUCUACUGUGCAGUGUCCGGUGGUGCACCGGACUGUCCGGUGCACCCGACGACAGAAAGCUGCUGCUUUCUGUCCAACGGCUAGUUUGGGGUGUGGAGGCUAUAAAUACCACCCCAACCAGCCAUUCUCAAGUGUGAGAGCCCAAGCAACAUACCAAGGCAUAUAGUGCACAUUUCCAAGAGCUCAAACACCCAAGUGCUUAAUAGAAUCACUCGGUGAUUAGCGUAGGUGCUUUGCGAAGUGCUUAGGUUAGUUAGACCGCUUUAGCGCUUGCUCUAGGUGAAUCCUAGUUAGUUGAGUGAGUUUUGUAAAACCACACAACCCCUCGGCUCUUGCGUGAGUCGUUGUAAUUGUACCGAGUGGGGCGAGAGUCUUGUGAGACCGUGACAACCGCGUUUGUGUCACGGCCGCCACCGUGUACCGGAGGGAACGAGGCCCGCGGCGUUUCGGCCGGAAGCUCGAUAGUGGAGACGGCGGGGAGCGUCCGAGAGGAGCCGGAAGCGGAGAACCACUUGCACGUGGAGAAGGCCCGCGGCUCUCUACGGAGUUACUCGACCGUGGUGCUUGGCCCUCGCGUGGGCUUCCCUUUGCGUAGGGGCACCAACGAGGAUUAGUCGGGACCUUGCGUGGUUCCGGAUACCUCGGUAAAAAUACCGGCGUCAUCCACAAGAGUUUGCUUCUCUACUUAGCUCUUUACAUUCCGCAUUUAUAUUAAGCAUUUAAGUUUCAAUCUUGUAGUCAUACUUAUUUAGUGUAGAUUGAAACUUAGCCUUUUGCGGUAGAGAUAGCAACACUUAGACAAAACCUAGUUUGCACAUUCUAGUUUUGAUUAUUUGCAUAGGUUUUGCUCUAGGGAUUUAAUUGUGGCCUAGUUUAGUAAAAGUUUUAGAAGUCCUAAUUCACCCCCCCUCUUAGGCGUCACCCGUUUCCUACAGGAUUAACAAAUGUUCAUUUUGAGAAAGACAGGAUUUGUAGCGCAUGCCAAGCAGGGAAGCAAGUUGGUGUUCAUCAUCCACACAAGAACAUCAUGACGACUGACAGGCCACUGGAGCUCCUACACAUGGAUUUAUUCGGCCCGAUCGCUUACAUAAGCAUCGGCGGGAGUAAGUAUUGUCUAGUUAUUGUGGAUGAUUAUUCUUGCUUCACUUGGAUGUUCUUUUUGCAGGAAAAAUCUCAUACCCAAGAAACCUUAAAAGGAUUCUUGAGACGGGCUCAAAACGAGUUCGGAUUAAGGAUCAAGAAAAUUAGAAGCGACAACGGGAUGGAGUUCAAGAACUCUCAAAUUGAAGGCUUCCUUGAGGAGGAGGGCAUCAAGCAUGAGUUCUCUUCUCCUUACACCCCACAACAAAAUGGUGUAGUGGAGAGGAAGAAUAUAACUCUUUUGGACAUGGCAAGAACCAUGCUUUAUGAGUACAAGACUUCGGAUCGGUUUUGGGCGGAGGCGGUCAACACCGCUUGCUACGCCAUCAACCAGUUGUAUCUACACCGAAUCCUCAAGAAGACAUCCUACGAACUCCUAACCGGUAAAAAGCCCAAUAUUUCAUAUUUUAGAGUCUUUGGUAGCAAAUGCUUUAUUCUUGUUAAAAGAGGUAGAAAAUCUAAAUUUGCUCCUAAGACUGUAGAAGGCUUUUUACUAGGAUAUGAUUCAAACACAAGGGCAUAUAGAGUCUUUAACAAGUCCUCUGGACAAGUUGAAGUUUCUUGUGACGUUGUGUUUGAUGAGACUAACGACUCUCAAGUAGAGCAAGUUGAUCUUGAUGAGAUAGGUGAUGAAGAGGCUCCAUGCAUCGCGCUAAGGAACAUGUCCAUUGGGGAUGUGUGUCUUAAGGAAUCCGAAGAGCCUCCAAAUGCACAAGAUCAACCAUCCUCCUCCACGCAAGCAUCUCCACCAACUCAAAAUGAGGAUGAGGCUCAAGUUGAUGAAGGAGAAGAUCAACAAGAUGAGCCCCCUCAAGAUAACAACAAUAAUCAAGGGGGAGAUGCAAAUGAUCAAGACAAGGAGGAUGAAGAACCAAGACCGCCACACCCAAGAGUCCACCAAGCAAUCCAACGAGAUCACCCCGUCGACACCAUCCUCGGCGACAUUCAUAAGGGGGUAACCACUAAAUCUCGGGUUGCUCAUUUUUGUCAACAUUACUCUUUUGUUUCCUCUAUUGAGCCACACAGGGUAGAGGAAGCACUACAAUAUUCGGAUUGGGUGGUGGCGAUGCAAGAGGAGCUCAACAACUUCACUAGGAAUGAGGUAUGGCAUUUAGUUCCACGUCCUAACCAAAAUGUUGUAGGAACCAAAUGGGUCUUCCGCAACAAGCAAGAUGAGCAUGGUGUGGUGACAAGGAACAAAGCUCGACUUGUGGCCAAGGGAUACUCCCAAGUCGAAGGUUUGGAUUUCGGAGAAACCUAUGCACCCGUAGCUAAGCUUGAGUCAAUUCGUAUAUUACUUGCCUAUGCUACUUACCAUGGCUUCAAGCUUUACCAAAUGGACGUGAAGAGUGCCUUCCUCAAUGGACCAAUCAAGGAAGAGGUCUAUGUUGAGCAACCUCCUGCUUUGAAGACAGUGAGUACCCUAACCAUGUUUAUAGAUUCUCUAAGGCGCUUUAUGGGCUCAAGCAAGCCCCAAGAGCAUGGUAUGAAUGCCUAAGAGAUUUCCUUAUUGCUAAUGGCUUCAAAGUCGGAAAGGCAGAUCCUACUCUAUUCACUAAAAUUCUUGACAAUGAUUUGUUUGUAUGCCAAAUUUAUGUUGAUGAUAUUAUAUUUGGGUCUACUAACGAAUCUACAUGUGAAGAAUUUAGUAGGAUCAUGACGCAGAAAUUCGAGAUGUCAAUGAUGGGGGAGUUGAAGUAUUUCUGAGGAUUUCAAGUGAAACAACUCCAAGAGGGCACCUUCAUUAGCCAAACGAAGUAUACCCAAGACAUUCUAAACAAGUUUGGAAUGAAGGAUGCCAAGCCCAUCAAGACACCCAUGGGAACCAAUGGGCAUCUCGACCUCGACACGGAAGGUAAAUCCGUCGAUCAAAAGGUAUACCGGUCGAUGAUAGGUUCAUUACUCUAUUUAUGUGCAUCUCGACCGGACAUUAUGCUUUCCGUAUGCAUGUGUGUAAGAUUCCAAGCCGACCCUAAGGAAGCUCACCUUACGGCCGUAAAACGAAUCUUGAGAUAUUUGGCUUAUACUCCUAAGUUUGGGCUUUGGUAUCCCAGGGGAUCCACAUUUGAUUUAAUUGGUUAUUCGGAUGCCGAUUGGGCAGGGUGUAAAAUUAAUAGAAAGAGCACAUCGGGGACUUGCCAGUUCUUGGGAAGAUCCUUGGUGUCUUGGGCUUCAAAGAAGCAAAAUUCCGUAGCUCUUUCUACCGCCGAAGCCGAGUAUAUUGCCGCAGGCCAUUGUUGCGCGCAAUUACUUUGGAUGAGGCAAACUCUUAGGGACUAUGGUUACAAAUUAACCAAAGUUCCUCUCCUAUGUGAUAAUGAGAGUGCAAUCCGCAUGGCGGAUAAUCCCGUUGAGCAUAGCCGCACUAAGCACAUAGCCAUUCGGUAUCACUUCCUAAGGGAUCACCAACAAAAGGGAGAUAUCGAGAUUGCAUACAUUAAUACUAAAGAUCAAUUAGCCGAUAUCUUUACCAAGCCAUGAGAUGAACAAACUUUUAACAAACUUAGGCAUGAGCUCAAUAUUCUUGAUUCUAGGAAUUUCUUUUGAUGUCUUGCACACAUAGCUCAUAAAUAUACCUUUGAUCAUGUCUCUUUCAUAUAUGCUAUGACUAAUGUGUUUUCAAGUGAAUUUCAAACCAAGUCAUAGGUGUAUUGAAAGGGAAUUCGAGUCUUCGGCGAAGACAACAGGCUUCCACUCCACUCCAUAACUCAUCUCGCCGUCGCUCCGAGCAACUCUCCGUCUUUGGUAUAAUCUUCACUCAUAUGUUUUACUUGCCAAAGGGGAGAAAAUAGUUAGAAAGGGCUUAUAUUUCACUCAAAGUAUCCAUUUUUGGCGAUUCAUGCCAAAGGGGGAGAAAGUAUUAGCCCAAAGCAAAAGGACCGCACCACCAACCUAAUUUUAAAACUAAUGAUUUUCAAAUUGGUAUCUUAUUGUGUUCAUAAGAGGGAGAAAGUAGUAUUUUCAAAAUUGAUGUCUUAAAACCCUCUUGAACACUAAGAGGAGGAUUUUAUUAAGGGGGAGUUUUGUUUAGUCAAAGGAAAAACAUUUGAAACAAGGGGAGAAAAUUUCAAAUCUUGAAAAUGCUUCUCAAAAUCUUAUUCAUUUACCUUUGACUAUUUGCAAAAGGACUUUGAAAAGAAUUUGCAAAAACAAAACAUAUGGUGCAAGCGUGGUCCAAAAUGUUAAAAAUAAAGAAACAAUCCAUGCAUAUCUUAUGAGUAGUUAUAUUGGCUCAAUUCUAAGUAACCUUUGCACUUACUUUAUGCAAACUAGCUCAAUUAUGCACUUCUAUACUUGCUUUGGUUUGUGUUGGCAUCAAUCACCAAAAAGGGGGAGAUUGAAAGGGAAUUAGGCUUACACCUAUUUCCUAAUUGAUUUUGGUGGUUGAAUUGUCCAACACAAAUAAUUGGACUAACUAGUUUGCUCUAGUCUAUAAGUUAUACAGGUGCCAAAGGUUCACAAAAAGCCAAUAAAAAGACCAAGAAAAGGGUUCAACAAAAAGAGCAAGGGAUAACCGAAGUGUGCCCUGGUCUGGCGCACCGGACUGUCCGGUGCACCACCGGACAGUGUCCGGUGCACCACCGGACAGUGUCCGGUGCACCAGGGGACUUCAAGCUGAACUCAACACCUUCGGGAAUUUCCAGAGGCGCUCCGCUAUAAUUCACCGGACUGUCCGGUGCUCUAAGGAAGAGCGACUCUGAACUCGCCAGCUUCGGGAAUCCGCUCCGCUAAAAUUCACCGGACUGUCCGGUGUGACAGCGGAGCAACGGCUACUUCAAGCGCAACGGUCGUCUGCAACGCAUUAAAUGCGCGCCAGCGCGCGCAGAGGAGCAGAGCACGCGCGGGUGGCGCACCGGACAGCCUACAGGGCGUGUCCGGUGCACCACCGGACAGCCAAGCGGGCCCACAAGACAGAGCUCCAACGGUCGAACCCUAACGGCCGGGUGACGUGGCUGGCGCACCGGACACUGUCCGGUGGCGCACCGGACUGUCCGGUGCGCCCGUCGACUGCAGCCUUCACCAAACGGCUAGUUUGGUGGUUGGGGUUAUAAAUACCCCCAACCACCCCACAUUCAAGUCAUCCAAGUUUUCCACCUUCCAACCACAUUACAAGAGCUAGCAUUCAAUACAAGACACACAAAAGAGAUCAAAUCCUCUCCCAAUUUUAAACAAAGCUUUAGUGAUUAGAGAGAGUGAUUUGUUGUGUUCAUUUGAGCUCUUGCGCUUGGAUUGCUUCUUUUCUUUCUCAUUCUUCUUGCGAUCAAACUCAUUUGUAAUCGAGGCAAGAGACACCAAUUGUGUGGUGGUCCUUGCGGGAAGUUUGGUUCCCAAUUGAUUGAGAAGAGAAGCUCACUCGGUCCGUGGGACCGUUUGAGAGAGGGAAAGGGUUGAAAGAGACCCGGUCUUUGUGACCACCUCAACGGGGAGUAGGUUUGCAAAAACCGAACCUCGGUAAAACAAAUCCUUGUGUCUCACUCUUUAUUCGCUUGCGAUUUGUUUUCACGCCCUCUCUCGGACUCGUUUACAUUUCUAACGCUAACCCGGCUUGUAGUUGUGAUUAAGUUUGUAAAUUUCAGAUUCGCCCUAUUCACCCCCCUCUAGGUGACUUUCAAUAAUGAUAGCUAUCAGGCCAGUCUGAAGAUGUCACCUUUUGAAGCUUUAUAUGGGAGAAAGUGUAGGACUCCUCUAUAUUGGGAUCAGACUGGAGAAAUACAGUUCUUUGGGCCUGAACUGAUUCAAGAAGUAGAAGAACAAGUCCGUAUAAUUCGAGAGAAUUUGAGGGUGGCUCAAACCAGGCAAAAGAGUUAUGCUGAUAAUAGAAGAAGACCACUGGAAUUUAAAGAAGGAGAUUAUGUGUACCUCAAGGUGUCACCACUUCGUGGAAUGAGGAGAUUCGAAGUUAAGGGCAAAUUGUCCCCUCGCUAUAUUGGACCAUUCUUGAUCUUUAGGAGAGUUGGGGAGAUGGCAUACCAACUCGAGUUACCUGACAGUCUAUCGGAUGUGCAUAACGUGUUCAACGUAUCUCAACUGAAGAAGUGUCUCUGUGUCCCUGAGGAAUAGUUACCAAUGGAUGAGCUCAGUGUUCAGGGUGAUUUGACUUACAGGGAGUACCCGAUCAAGAUUUUAGAUACUUUGACUAGAGUUACAAGAAAUAAGGUGAUAAAGAUGUACAAAGUGCAAUGGAGUCACCAUGGCGAAGAUGAAGCAACCUGGGAAAGAGAAGAAGAGCUUCGCAUAGAUUUUCCCCAUCUUUUCCCUAGAUCUUCCUAAAUCUCGAGGACGAGAUUAUUUUUAAGUGGGGUAGGAUUUGUAACACCCAGUUUGUAACAUAUAAGGAAAGAGGAGAAAUUAACUCCUUUAUCUAUAUGUGUGUUAUUUCUACUUACCAUCAUAUGUGAACACCCCACUUACACAAUUAAAUAAAUACCCCAAAGACACCUAAAUAAAUCUUGCAUCAUGCUGAGUUUUUACUUGAUUGUGCAUUUGUGCCUAAUAAAAUAAAUGUAUCAUUAAUAGCAUAUCAAUGGAUCCAUAGAAUUCAAAGUCUAACUUGAAAAUAAAACCAUGAAAAUAGAGGAGAGAAAGGAAUAUUAUUCAAUAAGUAAAAUUAUAAUUUAAUAACUUCAUCGCAGUAGGUAUGAUCAAACUAAAUAAUUAGUCAGUGUACAAAGGUGCCACAAAGUUUGAAUUUAAAUUGAAGUUUGAAUUUGGAAAGAAGGAAAAGAUAAAAGAAAAGGAAAAUAAAAAGGGAAAAGAAUAAAACCUAACUAGGCCGACUGUCCCCAAUCCAGCCCACUUCUGCUUUCCUCAGCGCGUGACAGCCCAACCUGAAAUUGGCGCCGACAUCUGGGCCCCGCCCGUCAGCCAGUGACGCGCUCCGCUCAGUGCUGCUGCCUGGCAUGCGGAGCCCACCGCUCGGCCAUAGACGAAAAUUGCGUGCGUACCCUAAAGCCUCCCUGACACGCUGGCCCCACUCGUUCGGCCGACUCCACCCGCGCGCUGACGAACCCGGACCACUUGUCAGACGGCUCUGUGGCUCUUCCUUGUGAGCUCAAUGUCUCCCGGCAACAGAAUCGCGGCAGCCUCUCCACCCGCCGCGCGUAAAUCUCGCUGGAGAUCCAACUAACGGGUGCGGACUGCCUCAUCGUGCGGCAAUAUAAGUACCGCCGCUGCCAUACCUCUGCUCGCCCGGUUACAUGCGGUAGAAAAAAAAGAGAGAGGAGAAAACUCCCGUCGCCAUUGGCGUUGGACAGUAUAGGGUAGAGAGAAGGAAGGUGCGGGCGGGUCAAUCACCAGUGGUGCCGUAUGCGCGCGGAUUCAGGGGGGGGUGGGGAGCUCUGUGGGUUCUGGCGCUUCGCGGGGGUGCCGUGAAUUGCUCGCCGGCGUCUGGCUCACAUUGGGGUCGCAUCCCGCCGUGAUUGGUGGUCUCUGCACCCUCAAUCGUGGUAAGAACUCUUCGCCCCAGUUCGUUUUUGUCUCCGCAUGGAAUAGAUCAUACCCGAUGAGAGCUUCAGGCGCGGGGAGAUGGUAUUCGGGUGCGUGGCAAUGGCGCCGCCGUGCGCUGUGGCUGAUGCGCCGCCGUCGUCCGCGAGGAGGCGAGAGGGUGACUGACGUCCGUUCAUCGGGCCGUGGACGAUCAGGAUUAGAACUAGAAUAACGUUUUGGUCGAAAACGAAUCCGUGCCGUAGAUCUGGUGAUAAGCGGUACCGGUUCGAUCACGGGCUCGUUGAAUCGGGACCGUAAGUUUAGGAUCCAACGGCUGCAGACGCGCACCAGUUCAUAACCCGCAUCAAUCUAAUCUGGCACGUAGGCUCUAGAUCGGGCGGUCCAGAUUAAAGGAUACCUGUUCGCGCAGGCAGUUUUGUUAAAGAGCCCCCUGGUAAACAGAAAAUCAAUCUGCAGUCCCUGCGCAGGGCGAAUUGUCUCUUAGAAAAUCUUAUCCCGAGCACCCUAGGUUUCUCUGUUAUAGUGCGCCCAGUCCAGAGCUGUUUUAAUCUGAUUAAAUGAAUUGGAAAUUUGAUUUUUAAUAUGAAAAUAAACCCUAUAACUUGUGAAAUUCAUAGAAAACUCAUAUGAACUCCAAAUUAACCCAUUCCAGUUUCUAAAAUUUUGUAAUUUUAAUUCUCUAUCAUUUAGAGUCUCUGUUUUGUCACUAAAACAGUAAGAAAAUUUAAUUCUCACUUAAUCCUAUUUUAAACACAUAAAACCUUUGAAAACUCAUAUCUUAAAAUCUAUAACUCCAAAAAUUAUGAUUCCUGUUCCUAGGAUUUUAUUUUAAUAUGUAGAUUAUUACUGUGUAUUUUGUGUACAUGUUUGGUGUGAUGUUAAUUUUCUCUAUACACUGUGCUUGUUUGUAUUAUGGCGAGUAGAAGAGACCGUGACUGAGGAUCCUGGUGAGCAGCAGAUAGAAGUAGCUGAGCAGGAGCUCAUUGAAGGCAAGUUGUGCCCUUGAUCACUUCUUCUUACCCACUCAUGUUCUAAUUAAUCAUAAUGAUCUGCAUAGGUUAAUUUUGAUGGGACCCAAUAGGUUACCCUAGUUUGAUUAUCUUUAUACCUUGUUUACCACUGAACUUUUUGGGUAGUACUUGCUAGUGCUUUAUGUGGUUUUGGGUAUGAAGAUACAUUAUUCAUGAUCACACUUUUAUUAUCUAUUUAUUAUUACUAUUCAUGAUAAGAUCAUUAUGUUAAUUAGAACAUGGAGCGACCACCCAGAAAACAGUGCUAUCACAAGGGUUUAAUGGGACGCCCUUGGCUGAUUAAUUAGGAAAGCUAGUGGAAGACUACCUUACCCAAAAGGGGCAAGGGCAGUAGGGGAGUGGUCAGUGUAGGGAGGUCCUUGGGAUGAUUUUGCUGCGAUGGCGAUCAUGCGAGGGAUCCCUGCAUUGGAGCUUCCUAUAAACUGUAGCGGGUUUUCUGAAGCUAGUGGAACUUUGUAAAGGCCUCAUAGUGUUACCCUGCCUCGCCUCCUCGGUAGAGGUGUAUGGGAAGUCGCGAUCCCUUGGCAGAUGAGUAACAUGACUUGUGGGUAAAGUUGCGCAACCUCUUCAGAGUGUAAAACUGGUAUACUAGCCGAGCUCACGGUCAUGAGCAGCUCAGGACUCUCUGAUGAUUAAAUUAUGGAACUUAAAUUCAAUUUUGUCAUUUGCAUAUGCACGGGUUUAUUAUUAAUUUGUUCUAUUACUUUAUUUAAGGUUUGGUAUUUACUUACACUUAGUAACUGCUAAUAAAAUUUUGACCAACUACUUAAAAGCAAUGCCCAGCUUUAACCCGUGUCAUUGGUUAGCCUUACACAUCACAUGAACUCCCACCUUUGUGAGUUCAUGUCCACUGGUUCCCCACAACUUGUUGAGCUAUGAUCAUGUGUGAGCUCACCCUUGUUGUCUCACCCCCCCACAGGAGAAGAACAGGUGGUUCAGGAGGAGCCACAAAGCGAGGAGUUUGAUCUGAUCUAGGUGGCGUUUCUCAGUUGACAUUGGCGCCAACGACGAUCCUUAGUUCGUUUUAUAUUUAUAUUUUAUUUUGUAAUAAGACUUCCGCUAUGUAAUAAAUACUCUGAUGUUUUAUGACAUUUAUCUCUAUACACUCUGUUAUUAUAUAUGUUGUCUUCUUGGCGCAUGUAUGAGAUGCACCUGGCUUUGUUCCUUCAAGCCGGGUGUGACAGCAGAUCACUGCAUCAAAUAUCUGGACUGUUAUGUGUUGCAAGGUUAGGUCAUAAUUGUUGAGAAGGUAAAAUCAUAAGAUUGGGAGCAUCUGAAUUUCCUUUAUUUAAUUUCGUUACUAAAUGAUAUUUAUAUACUUGCUUAGUACUCUACACAGAACAUUUUAUUGUUUUGUCUUCACCACCGAGAAUUCGAGAUCGCCUCCCAUAGCCUCCACAUCCACAAGGUCCUGCUUGACUGCGACGACGUCAGGCAAGUCUAUCACAAACCUUCUAGAGUGAGGCGAGUCGAUCUAGGUACUCAGGCUCUAAUAUUUUUACAAAUCGAUGGAAAGUUCUAAAUCUCCUCAGUCAUAAAAAUAGUCGGAUUGUGGUGCCUUCUGAUAGUAAUCGCCCCCAAUUCGACAAUGAUAGUUUUUCUUCAGAAACUGCAUCAAAUCAAAUGGUCGUGUUCAACUCUGAAGCAGCAGAUGAACUGGGAGAAAAUCGUUUGCAGAAGUCAGUGAUAACAAAGAGGAUAUCACCAUCUAUUGGAGCAUUCACUGUCCAAUGUGCUAAAUGUUUUAAAUUGAGGCUUAUUCCAACAAAAGAGAAAUACGAAGAAAUUCGUGAACGUAUUAUACAGGAACCUUUUGUAUGCAAAAGAGCUCGUGAAUGGAGACCUGAUGUAACAUGCAAUGACCCAGAAGAUAUAUCUCAGGACGGUAGCAGGCUUUGGGCUAUUGACAAACCCAAUAUUGCACAACCCCCUCAUGGAUGGGAAAGGCAGAUUAGGAUAAGAGGUGAAGGGGUACCAAAUUUGCUGAUGUAUAAGUAAUGUUUUUCUAUUAGUGCUAUUUUUGCUCUGAUCUUAUUAUCUUUUGCAACACAAUUUGGUUCCAGUUUUUAUUGCUGUCAUCUUUCCUUUCAGAUCAUUGUUAAUGAUAGAGAAAAUAACAUAAAACAUAACUGCUUUGACGAGUGUGCUAUGCAUUUUGGUUGGAACAUUAUGUUUUUUCCAAAAAUGUUCUCCAAAAUAUCAUGGAUCUAGCCAAAAAAACAAAAAAACAGACAUGUAUUGUAACACCCGGUUUUAGCGGACAAAGCCGGGUGCAUCUCAUACAUGCGCCAAAGAAGACAACAUAUAUAAUCACAGAGUGUAUAGAGAUAAAUGUCACAAUAAUCAGAGUACUUAAUACAUAGCGGAAGACUUACAAAAAUAAAAGAUAAAUAUAACAGGAUCUAAAAUCUAUCCUUGGCGCUAGAAAGUCAACUGGGAGACGCCACCUAGAUCGAAUCGAACUCCCCGAUAUGCGGCUCCUCUUGAACCACCUGUUCUUCUCCUGUGGGUGGGGGUGUGAGACAGCAAGGGUGAGCUCACACAUGUUCAUCGCUCAACAAGUUGUGGGGAAUAAUGUGACAUGAACUCACCAAAGGUGGGAGCUCAUGAAGUGUAAGGCUUAUCAAAGAAAAUGGUUAAAGAUGAGCAUUGCUUUUAAUGUUGGUCAAACUUUUAUUAGCAAUUACUAGAUGUAAGUAAAUACCAAACCAUAAUAAAUAAUAGAACAAAAUUAAUAACAAAUCCCAUGCAAAUGCAAAUGACAAAUUGAAUUUAGGUUCCAUAAAUUAAUCAUGUGAGGGUCCGAGCCGCUCAUGACCGUGAGCACGGCUAGUAUACUAGUUUUACACUCUGCAGAGGUUGCACAUCUUUACCCACAAGCCGUGUUACCCAUCUGCCAAGGGGUCAUGAAUCCCAUACACCUCUACCAAGGAAGCGAGGCAGGGUAACACUACGAGGCCUUUACAAAGUUCCACUAGCUUCAGAAAUCCCGCUACAGUUUAUAGGAAGCUCCAAUGCAGGGUUCUUGCCUGACCGCCAUCGCAGCAAAGUCAACCCAAGGACCUCCCUACACUGACCACUCCCCUACUGCCCUUGCCCCUUUCGGGUAAGGAAGACCUCCACUAGCUUUCCUAGUUAAUCAGCCAAGGGCGUCCCAUUAAACCCUUGUGGUAGCACUGUUUUCCCGGGUGGUCGCUCCAUGUUCCAAUUAACAUAAUGAUCUUAUCAUGAACAUAAAUAAAAUAACAGAAUAAUUGGAACAUGGAUAUAAUGAAAUAUUAACCCGAAACCACAUAAUGCAAUAGCAUAACUACCCAAGUGAAUCAGGGGUAAACAAGGUAGACAGGAUAAUCAGUCUAGGGUGACCUAUUGGGUCCCAUCAAAAUUAAACCUAUGCAUUGAAUAAUGAUAUUAAAGAACAUUAUUGGGUAAACAAAGUGAUCAAGGGCACAACUUGCCUGGCACUUGAGAUUCCAGUUACCAAGGUGAUCUUCAGGUGACUCGUGACCGCACUGCUAGUCGUAGCAAUACAAACAAACAUGGUAUAGACAAAAUUAACAUCACACCAAACAAAAGUACAAACUGAAUAAUAAUCAUCUACGUGUUGCUACGAGACCGCGGGAUCGAGAACUACUAAGAUCGGAGUUACGAUUAGGGAGUUAUGAUUUAUAAAAGUUCUACGUGAUUUAAAUAUUAAACUUAAAUUAUAAAUUGGUUAGGACAAAUCAUAUGAGAUGUUAUUUUAUAAAUAAUUAUCUCAACUUUAAUCUAAGUUAUAAAUUAACCAUAGAUCAUAUUCUAGUAGAUUAUAAUGAUAAGUAGAUUAACAAUACUAACCCACAUAAAUUAAAUAAAGAUCUAAUUAGAAAAGAAUGAGACAUGGUAUAAUAAAUGUUGCUACUGCGUAGUAAAUACUUGUACGAGACUAACGCAACUGGAACGGAUCAAAUCGGAGUUAAAAUAAAUAAAUUAUGAAUUUCCAAAGUUUUUAUGUAUUUGAUAUAAGAUUAAUUAGGAAAUAAAUUUUUAAAGUGGCUUUCAUGUCAAAACAGGACACUAGAUGAUGAACAAUAAUAUUAUAAGAUUAUAAGAACUGGAAUGGAUCUAUUUGGAGUUCAUAUGAAUUUUCUAUGAAUUAAAUGAUUUACGGGAAUUAUUUAUAUACUAAAAAUUCAAUUUCUAUAUCUAUUUAUUCAUUAUCUCUGGUCUCUGGACUGCGCACCAAAAGCAGAGGAAUGCAGGGGCUUCCGCGCAAGAAUCCCGAGACACAGAAAACUCCUGCCAGGACUGUGGGAUGUUUAUGUGAAAGCUGAGGGCUCCAUUGCAAAACUGAUAUCGGACUCCAAUACCACGACACAUGGCGCCCUGCGACUGGCUGAAAUCAUACCACACCCCGGUGCACAUGGUGAGGCGCACGGGAUCCGAUCCACACAAGAUCCCCACCACCGCCCACACGUGCAUAUAAGUGGGAUCGCCCCUGGACCGUCAGAUCGACAAUCAAUGGCCCAGAUCUAAAGUGUCGAAGGGGUAUUUGUUGAUAUAAUCACGACCGUCCAUUAGAAGAUCCACGACCUAGAUUUCUCCAUCCCUGGAUCUAAUCACCGCCACACUGUUAAAAAUCUACGGUUCUCAACCUUUCUUAGCUCUAUCCGCCCUAGGCUGUUCGUUAUAAGAUCAACGACAAUAACAUCUUCUUCUUCCCCGAUCUCGCGCUACGGUAGUCUGCCAGUCGGGUCAAGCGAACGGUGAUCAGGCGGGUUCUAGUCUACCGGCUGGAGCACUACCAGGACCUACACAGUACAGGAACGACGACGAACAGCCAGAACCUUACCGGCGUCAGUAGUGUAGGCCGAGCCGCCCACGGAGUGGUCUGCACGAUGGAGUGCCCAGGCGGUGCGUCAGCUCCCGACACAAUGAUGCCCAGACCACUACCGAAGAAAUGGGGCCGCCGUGGAGCGCCCUUGCCGGACUCCCGCCCUCGGUUUCCCCGAACUCCGACCGAACGCACCAGCAACGAACCCGAAGGUCACCGGCGAGCUCGAUUCUUUCUCUCUCUUCGAUGGAGCUCGGUGUGAAUUCACCAAUGGCGGCGGAAUUGGAGCUGGCAAUGGACGGCUCAGGGAACUCUAGGGGUGUGUCGCCGAUGGGAUUUAUAGCUAUGGCGAGGGGCAAUCGGGCCUGAGAGCAGACGACUGACAUGGAUUUAUACCCCCGCCGAGUGGGAUAAGCACAGCGAACGGCGCAAGUCUGUUGCGCCAUUGCCGCGGGUGCUGUUACGGUUGAGCGGAGGGAUGGGGUCUUCGCGCAGUGGGCCCACGCAACAACCAGCCGCGGAGCUCGGCGUCUGUUGCGAGGAUUCCGGCGUGGUUCUGUUGUGUGCGAUUGAAGAGGACGCUCCUGACAUCAGGGUCCCACGUGACAUACGUACGAGCGGCUCGGCGUCAAGUUUCCCAGGAAUCACGCGGCGCAAGGAGCGGCUGGAGGGGUGGGUCCGGUUUGUCUGCGAGAGAAGAAUGAGGGAAGGAACAACAAUGCCACUGACAAGUGGGUCCCACACGGCAGGGCACAAAGUGCACGCGCAAAAGCAGGCCGCAGCAACGGUUCCACUGGGCCGAAAUGGGGAGUGGUAGCCCAGUAGACAUCUUAUUUCUUUUUCUUUAAAAAUUCCUGUUUUAUCUCCAAAUCAGAGAUUCAAACUAAAUUCAAAUUCUGGUUUUGAUUUUUUUUUCAGUAUUGCAAAAAUUUAAUAGAAUUCUAAAUGUGAAUAUAGUUCAUACUGUUUGCCUUAUUUAUUUAUUUUUCUUCCAUUAUUUUCACUCCUUUGCUCCUAUAUUUUAAUCCUCUAACUAGAUUUUUAAAGUUAUGCUUGUUUCACUUAUUUGUUUGAGUUUUAAUGCACAAAUAAAAUCUCCCAAAAUGAUGCAUAGAUUAAUUGCUUCAUUAGUUACUUAUUCCCUUUAAAUAUGAUUCUUAAUAUUUCUCAUGCUUGGGAGGCAAUACAUAUAAAAAGAUCUAUCUCGUACUUUUAUUGUCCAUCAUUUGGGUAUUACAUGUAUGUCUGUAGCAUCAUGGAUAAAAAUAUUGACCUAUGAGACAUACUUACACAAUUUUACUGCAUUUUCUGAACUUAAUAUGUUUGUGAACCCUGUUAUGGAUGGCUACUGUAGUGGUACUGUAGCGGGCCUUCUUGGGCCCUGACAAACCCUCUUCUAUUUGCUUUCAGAUACUAUACCUCUCCUACUGGAAGGAAACUUAGGUCUCUGGUUGAAGUCGAUAGGUAUGGCAUUCUAAUUUCUUCAAAACUUCCUUGAAUACCAUCCUUUUAUCAGUGAGCUUUAUAAGUUUCCUGAAAUUGCACUGUGAAAAGUUGCAACAUCUUGAAUUCAUGAGCAGAACUUUCACAGCAAUUAUUGUAUGUUGUAAGGCCUUUAAUGACAUAUUACGAAUAAAUAGUAUGCAGAUGUUAAUUGUACCAGUUAUGCACUGCCUUUAUUCCUUAUAUUUCUGAAUUGUAUACAUAUGCUUCAACAUGUCUGUCUUAAAGCCUCCAUGUCUUACUUUGUUCCUCCGAGAGAAUCCAUAGUAUGUUGCACAGGGUGUAACUUUAGCUCAGUUUUCGUUCCAGAUACCUAGACCUCAGGACUAUGUCAAAAAGAAACCGAAGUUGAUAAGUGCAAGUGAUGAAGCAAGUACAAUUACCUCUAAGUCUUCUGAACCAGAAGAAGGUCUCUAAUUCGGUAUCAGCAAACUAAUGAUUGUUUUCCAGUGUAAUGCAUGCACUAUUGAUUCUUUGAUGAAGUUCUCCAAUUUCCAUGUUAAUCCAUGAAUGAUAUAGCUUGAAACACAUGGGCAGACAAGCUGAGGUUUGGAAUAUGAUUGGCUAGGAUGAUGUAGCUAUCCGGCAUCUUACUACUUGAUUAGUAUGAAGCCCUUGUUAGAUAUGGGAGUAGUGAAUUUAUUUAACCUGUUGAAAUGCUUUUGUGGUACAUAAUAAUUCAAAUGAUUUUUUUGUGAGGUUAUUUGGGUUAUGGGAUUUGUUGGGAAAACUUUUUCCACCCCCAUCCCCAAAAAAACUAUAUAAACAGGCCUUGCUAACUGCCGUAUGUUGGGUAUGUGUACUAGAAAAUAUCCUUUAAUGUCCUGGCAUCUCUAUUGUACUCUCUUCGUUCCAAAUAAAAAGAUUUUGUCUUUUCUAGACACAUUAUUUUUACUAUGUAUCUAAACAGUGUAUAUCUAGGUGCAUGGUAAAAGCUAUGUAUCUAGAAAAGUCAAAAUAUCUAAUAAUUUGGAACGGAUGGAGUAGACACUAAGACAAACGAAUUAUUUCAUCAUGGUUACUUACUGCUAAGUGUUAGAUUGUGCAACAAGUUCUCUUCUACAUUUUAAUAAGAAACUUAAUUAACUAUGCCAUGGUGUUGUUGUAUUGCAGUAGUAUGUACACUGCUAGACUCACUAUACUUUUCUGAUUAAACAUUUUUUCAGUGAACCCUAUAGCCUGGGCAGUUCCUACAAAACAUGAGGGCGAUGCUAGUGAAGAAGCUUCUCUCGCCGAUGAGACACUUGCAUCAGAAGUAGUGCUAACCCGGAAGAGGAAAAUAGGAAGCUCUUUGUCAGUAGAGCCAAACCAUCUCUUUGAUGAAUUUGAACCAAAGUUCGAGGAUGCUUAAACCUGCAGGUAGUUUCUUAAACCUGAUUCUAGCUACAUGUUUCAUAUUGUGGCACAAGAACUUUUAAGAACAUAUGCUGAUGCCCACUGUAUUUAGUUACUACUUCAAGACCAACUGUAUUUUAGUUACAAAUGUGGUUUCAAGAUUGUAGAAAUUUGUAGCUGAAAUUAUCCACACCAUAUUUGUGAAUUGACAUCAUUUCUAAGAAUAUUACUGAUUAGAAUCUUUCACUUUUAUAAUGCUUUGCAGGAGUGGCCCCUCUGGAGUUGAAUAUGCAGUUAUAACCAAUUUUUACCCCUUUUAUCCUAGAAGAGUUGCCAAGACACUGUAUAAGACCAUGACAAUAGACUAAGAGAGGAUUUGGCUCUAAUUACUAUAUGUUUUAUUUAUGCAGUCCCAUGAGAACUUUGAGUAUUUGAAUAUAUAUAUAUAUAUAUAUAUAUAUAUAUAUAUUGUUGCUUGAGAACAAGUAUGUACAAUAGAGGCUUGACAAUUUUGUGAACUUGAGUUGAACAUGAAUUUUGAUGAUCACAACUCACCAUCCCUUUCAAUAUGCUUAGAAUAUAGCUUUUUAUAAUUUUCACCCUACAAUACAAAAUUGUUCUAUGAAGGCCAUGGUACAUUAUCAUAUCCUGUAUUAUCAACCUAGGAUUUGCCUAUUUCGAUUAAUAAUGGCAUUGAGUCAAAUUUUGGUUGUUUCAAAUGAUAGACUUCGACAUUUGUUAUGAUUUAUGAGUUGAUUCUUAAUAGCAUUACUAAAAAAUGACCUAUGUAUACACAAGUGUCUUCCGUUGCAACGCACGAGCAUAUACCUAGUUAAACCAAUGAAAUGUAGAAAAGAGAGAGAAGAUUCAACAAAAUUAGUGUUAAUACAUUACUGAAUCUGUUGCGAUGGUCUAUAAAAGGCUCACGAGUAUCUUACCCGUUGCAGAAUAAAUAGGCCUAGACAUAUCUUCUCUGGAGCUUCCAAGAAACCUUGCCAAAAGUCAAUCGCACUGUUGAAGAAAAAGUAUGGACAACUAAGGAAUCAACCCGAUAUAUAAUUUUCGGACCAACUAGUACAAGGUGCCCCGGUGCGUGACGGACGCGUGGGAUCCAGUCCUGCUCAGUCCCGCGUGUCAGUGACUCAUCCACAGAUUGAGAGGAUCCCAAUCCGUGCGUGACGUUCCCGCCCAUCAUCGAGCUCCUGGACUCCCGCGUCGUGUCCAGCCACUUCAGCCCCGCGCUGCCGCACUGGCACUGGACCGCCGGCCAGCGCUCCGGCUCCGGCUCCGACUAGACACAGCGGCAGGCUGGUGAGGCGUGUCCGUGUCCGGCGCGCUUAAUUAGACUGUGGAAUCAUCUGCUGCGUGUCGCAGACGUAGAAUGCCCGUGAAAACUUAAAUACUAUUUGUUAAUUUUGGAGUUUUGAGCACGUGCUGCCAGUUAGAAGCGUGCGGGUAACUUAACUCGAUGCGAUGAGAGUUGGGCUGCUUCUGCUUGAACCGAUCAGCUGAAGCAACAGUGUACGCAAUUGUAUUUCCGGUCCGGUAGUAGUGGCACUGCUGUCCGUAUCACUUAGCAGUAGGGAGAACGCAGCUAAUUUUAACGUCCAUCCAAAUCUGUGCGGGCUGUGCGCCUGCACAAGACAAGAUCUUGCUGCGAUAUUCCGAUUACUACAACCGGCUAGGAGCCUGUGAAGAAAGCUUCGUAAUACAUGAUUCAGUCUUGACUCUUGACUAAAAUAAAGCAUAGAUAUGAGCCAAAGACCCUUAGAAUUUGCCUCAUUACUGGCACAAACGAAGUGCUUGCCGGCUAACCAUAGCUGAUAGCUCAACAGCUUCUGUCCCUCACCCUCUGAUCUUGUGCUGUGCGGGUGUGACCUCUUGUGCAGUUGUGCGACGUUGACGCGCGGACGAUUAAUAAACUUUUGUGCUGAUAGCCAAAGACCUCUUGUGCUGCGUUGUCAUUUGUUCACACUUUUGUGUCAUGCUCGCCUCUUUCACCUUCUGCAUUGUCUCACUUAAUUUCCGACUGCAGGGAAGAAGAAAAAAACCGUUAUAAGGUGCUACAUAGAAAAUUUUAAUCUCUUGUUACAAAUAACUGUGGUAAACUUAAAUUACGCACAUAUAUAGUCAUGAUUUUUCUUCAUGUGAUAGAAAGUAUGCAAAAUAAUGAGCUAGCCAAAAGAAAGAAAUAUCUUUUUAUCAGAAACAAGUAUAAAACCAAGUUGGGUUGUUCAUCUUUACUACUCUAUUAAGAGUACAACGAAGGCGUCCACACCCCUUGCCCCCGCCUACCCCUGCCCACGCGUCCGCCAGCUCGCCCACAGGGCGAGGCAAUGCCUCCGCCCCCCCGCCCUCGUCUUCACCCUCAGCCACGCAAUACCCACCCCUAGCCUUCGCCCCAACAGAUGACACGCGACUGUCGCGCCCCGCCCGCUUGUGGUUACCUCCCCCUCCCCCACUCGCGACACAUGCCCCUUGCCCCGCGUGCGUCGUCUCCCGUCACACCACCCCCUCGGUCGCCUCGACGUCGACGCGAGGCUCCAGGCCAUCGGGGACGGGUCCGGGGAGGGGCUGCCCGAGCAGGCCACGGUCUACGACGGUGCCUACGAUCCCUAGACCUUGGAGGACACCGACGUGUGUGAGGUCCUACCCUACCCCCGCCCGUGUGCGUCGUCUCCCCUUGUGAACUUGUGAUCUAUUUUGUUUAGAUACUCUAUGAUUUGAAUUUUCCCUCUUUUUUUGUUAUUUGUCUUCCUUAACUAUAAUGAUUGUGAUGAAACUUUAUUGUUGUGUAAUUUCUCAUCUAUGUUACAAGAUAGCUAUUCACCACUUUGAGGUCUGAAAUAAAACAUAACAGCACUCUUAGGCUCACUUUGAGGUUUGAAAUAAAACAUAAUAGCACUCUUACAUGAUUACCACAUAACUAUUCACCACUUUGAGGUCUACAGGUCUCAGGCUCACUUUGAGAGGCUAGCAGAUUUGCUUACUUCAGAUAUUUUGAAGUCUUGUACCAAGCCACCAAGGAGCAGGGUUGCAUCAGUAUUACUGCCAAUGAUGAUCCAUAUAAUGCUAAUGAAAUGAGCCCAAGUGACCAAAGACAAAACCAUGUUUCAGCAUCGAGAAAAAGCCUAUUUCCCUCCCAAAAAGUGAAGAAGUAAAAAUUGGUAAACCUACAUUUCUAGAAAUAAAUUUGAUACUGGAAUGUUAUUGUUUAUCCAUAUCAGUUAAGUAUGUCAAGAUAGUUAUUACUUAUUCUCCACUUUCCCCUCUUAUUGGUUGAUGCUUGACAUAUCUCCUGUUCUAACACAUUUUCCAUGCACAAAAUUUUCUUUUUCAGGGAAGAGACUAAGAGAGAAUGACAAUGAUAUGAUCCCAACACUAGAGAACUAUAGACCUGAAGAUGUUGUAGCAAGGGAACUGAUCGACCAGAAUCAUUUACAACAAAGAAGUUAAGGGAGGGUGACUACGAUGAUGAAGGAAACAUUGUCUCUUCAAGCAAUAUUUUUGCGUAUAGGGUGAUACAUCUGCCUUGUGUAAACUCAUUUAGCGAAAUUGUGUAUAAUCAUCUAUUAAAUAUAUCAUGAUCUGUUGCCUCAUUAUGUUAUUAGAAGAUGUUCUCUUUAGUGCUCUUUGUUAUCCUACAUCUAUUGUAGUUCUGUAAAUGAGUGAACCUUACCAUACAUGUCUCAACUUGUAUUGUCUCUCUGUUUGUAUGUGGAGAAAUUUCUGAAUGUGAAUCCAGUGUCUGAACAGACUUAAUUAAUCGUUGUCUGCACAGGACUAUGUUUAAACAAGGUUUAGCUCUAUGAUAUAUAUAGAAACCGUAGCAACGCACGAGCAACUAACUAGUAAGAACAUGAAGAUGUCGAGAUCAUGCAACUAAUACAUUUGGUUUGUGUAGAACUAGCUUGGUUUGUAAGGUGCUGCUUGGGCGAGGGUCGUAAAUGGUUUUACAUGGGGCGCUAUGAUUUUAUUUGGAUCCCAGACAAGUAAUAUAUGCCUACUGGAUGCUCCAGGAUAAAAGGGUGAAUAUAAAUCUGAGUCAUGCUUAAACAAAGCCUAAACACAACAACACUAUUUUUUUUGUUAGCUUGCUGCAUAGUGUUGCACUGUCUUUAAAUCAUGAUAAAACUGGGAUAUAAUUUGAGCAGCUAAGCCUAACCUAAUUACAACAUGUCAAACUUGUUACCAAAUUGGCUAGUCAUUACACCUAGCACAGAAAUCACAGCGAUACAUCAACAUGUUAAAUAUCUAGCCACUUGAACACCAAACCACCAUCAUGUUACGAAAUGUACCUUGAGGCUGCUAAACACAACAAUAUAAUAACCAGUAAUUAAUUUAAGAAUGAAUAUGCCAAAUUCCUACAAGCAAAAAAAGCAACAACUGGCUGUGCAAAGUGUUGCAUGCAAAAAACAAUGGCAUAGAUAAACUAAAUACAUGAGGAGAUGCAGUAAUACCUUUUGAUGGCGUCUUCACUCAAGUAAGAGGAGAACUUGCUGGCAAUGAAGUCAUGAAAAAUGAAAUAGUUCCUGCAAUCCCUUUUAGGAGGGUAUCCUUCUUCUUCUUCUUCGUUGAUAUAGAUGGAACUCGAUAGCAGCAACUUAUUCCGCAUGUUGACUUGAACCAUCCAGAAAGGGUCACGGAACUUGUCCUCGAGGCGGAAGCAAAUGACAUCUGGAUCAACCAAGCUCACCACAGGAAAACUUGGCAUCACUCGUGGGAGGCGACUCUUGGCAGUGUCGUCGUAAAGAUUGAAGAACUUGUUGGCUCCCAUGGUCAAGUUGACAUCCUUCUCCCAUCUAUCUUGGUGGAUAUCAACCAAAGUCCAUGUUUCUAUGGUGAAGGGAUAAGGAGAAGGGUGCUCUUUGGUAAUAAUGCAGACGAGCUUAAUGAUGCCACCCACCAUCACAGACACUGAGACGCCGAAAGGGAUCAGGUUCACCGUCCUUGUACACACGGCCAGUCUUCAAA